rnacentral:lncRNA from 1 species
UUUUUUUUUUUUUUUUUUUCUAGAAAUAGCUAGGGUAGUAAAUAACAUAAACGCAUACAUAAGGCUGCAAAGAUACAAGGUUUCCUUAACGCAGGACGAUGACACCGACGACCAUCCCUAUCUCUUGGCUGUAGAAACCGGAAUAAUCUUCGGUUUCAUCUCUCCUGCGAAGGGAACCUCAUCUUCGUUGUUCUAUACUCAGAAAUAUGUGGCUAAGGUCCCUACUCGAUAUUUUUUAGAGAUUUACUGGAGGAAUGAAACGUUACUACUGUCUAAUAUGUUUUGCUUGGUCUGGCCCCAAGAGACCCAACCUUACGACAUCUUUUUCUUUUGCAUUUCACUUAUCUUUAAGGGGCUCGCAUGCUUAAUUUCUGUCCUAUGGUGGUUGCCAUCUUGUGAUUGUCGUACAAACAUGGACAGAUGUCAUAGAGAUCUGGCAAUGGACAAAGAUAAUGACAAAUUGUAUUAUGUCAGCUGGCUGAAGUCAGCUGCUUGCUAAUAAAAAGUUUACACCACCAUAUCAGACUAUCAGUCUCCCGAAAAUUAUAUUUGCCCUCCAGUUAACACCUCUAACACUCCAAUCAUUUAUUUUAGGGUUAUUAUCCGUCUAUCCCCUUAAACUAUAUCACUACUAUCAGUUUAUCUCUUAACGUUAUCUUUUAAUCACUUUACCCCUAUAAGUAAUUCAACUCAACAUGUUAAUAAAUUUUGGACAAAAAUAUCCUUUUAUUUUAUAGCAUUACUACGUUGUUAUUAUCAUUUUAUUCGUUUGAAUUAUAGUGAUACAAUCAUUUUAGUUCCUAACAUUAUUUUUUAGGCAUUUUACCUCAUCAUUAAUCUAACUAGUAUGGUCAAAAAAUUUUAAAUAUAUUUAUCCUUUUUUAGAUAUAAUUAAAAAUAAAAAGUUAGAAUGGUUAUUCUUCUUUUUUUUUCACUUUAAGAGAUCGAAAAACAUAAAAAUAAAAGAGUUUUCUCAAAUUUUUUUUUCACACUUAUUAAUACUAGGAAAAGAAAAGGAGAUAGGAAAGAAGGAGACAACAAAUUAGAUUUUGCAAAAAAUUAAAAUAAAGAAAAGUCUAACAUUAUCGUAUUACUUUAAGGUUUUCGGGAUUAGAAUUGAAAUUUGGUGGUAAACGAAAAAGUGAAAUAAUUUUAAAAUAAUAAAAGUAUUUAAUUCUUUCUUAUUUGUAAUUUUUUUUUAAAAAAUUGAGUUCUCUCUCUCCCCCUCCCCCUCUCCAUCUUUCUAUUUUUUUUUCAAUAUUAAUAAGAUUGUCAAGAAGAAAAAAAUUAAUACUUUGACUUUUUUUCUUGAUAUUAAAAGGAGAAGAGUCGCUCUAAAUUUUUUGUUAUUUUUAUUAUGCAAAGAGAAUGGUAUUUUCUUCUAAAGUUUUUUAACUUGCUAAGUUGGUUUAAUGGUAGGAUAAAUUAUCUAAAAAAUAACUCUAUGAGGUAAAUUGAUAAUGAGACUAUAUUUUAUGGGGGUAAAGUGAUAAUAAUUUUAAGGGUUAAACAUGUCUUUUCAUUUUAAUUAACAAACUCCGUUAAGUUUGGCCGUUAGUCUUGAGGGUAAAGUGACUAAAAGAUAACGUUAAGGGGGAAAUUGAUAGUAACACCAAACGUUAAGGGGGUAAAGUGAUAAUAACCCUUUAUUUUAUGUUCCUUGAGUUUCCAAAAUGCCCUCUUUUGUCCAUUGUUUAUGGCAUUUCUUCUAUGCUUAUUCAAGUCCUAGAUUUAUGCUUGUUACUUUUUCGAAUCAAAAUCAUCCCUUUUCAUCAAUUCAAUGUAAUCUUCUACUCACAAUCUAAACAAAUCAUUACACCAGAAUUUUAAUCUAGCCUCAAAUGCAUUUAAAUAUCACAAGAAUAACCUCCAAUUACAAUAAUGUAUCUUGUAAACACAUCAAAAAAAAGAGAGAGAGAGAAAGAAAAUGCUGAAAAGUGGUCACAGAUUUAUUCACGUCCUAGUCUUCAGAAACAACUGAAGACAGAAUUCGAACCAAAACAGAAGGCAAAAGCCGAACACAGGAGUGGUGUGCUGUGAAAUGGUGUGCAUCAUUCCAGCAUCAAUGUGACAAAAAACAACCCUUCUAAAUUCUAAUCAAAACCCAUGAUCAUGUCACUGCCAAAGCUCCUGAUCAUUUUUGGUACAGCUCUCUCUUCCCUACUACUAGGCUUCGUCGGCUCGCCCUCGCCCGAUGGUGCAACAGGUGAAGAAGGUAAGAUUGUGGAUUCGCGCUGAGCGUCGAGGAUUUCUCCGAGCCUUUCCUCAUCCACACCAAAUGCAGCUGCAAGUUCAGGUCCCCUCAUGUUAUCUAGAAGUGAAUUUGCUCCUACCAAGAACUGGGGCCGGUUGUCUCGCGAAGAUGUGGUGAAGCCGAAGAACUCAAACGGGCCAGCUCUUGAUGCAAUUUGGCAGAAUGGGAAGUACCUAGGAAUCCAAAAUGCAUCUCCCUCUUUCACUUGUGCAUCCAUUGCCAAACUUCCAUUCGGAAAGACAAUCUGGAUUCUACCGGUUCCUCUCAAAACUAUUCCAUACUCGACUGCUCUUGGAUUAACGUGGGGUGCCAUCAUUGAUCCCUAGAUUCAUCGAACAAAUAGCACUUUGAUACCAUAAUACAGUCUUGACAAAAUAUUAAGCCAUAUAUAUAGUCUAAGAAAUGCGUGAAGGGGUGCAGCAAAGGAAAAGAAUUUACCGCGGUAAGAUUGACGAGGUAGACACCAAUAUCAGAGUGGCGAAGAGGAGAGUAAUCAUUUUCGUCCACGGCUUUGCUCCAUCCAUAAUCGUUCUUGAAGUCGGCUUUUCUUUCGUAAAUGUUGCAAGCCUCUGGGCCUCUCCCUCUGCCUCUCGUGUCAUCAUCUCUAUUCUUUUCCUCCCCGAAGAUUGAUAUCAAUAGCUUCCUGAAUGACCAAGUUGGCUGCUCUUCGUCUUGGUUUGCCUCUUCUUCAGCAUGCACGAUUCUCUUCAAGUGAGCUAGCCUCUGAUGCUCUUUUAGGUCCAAGAAUUUUGACCACAUGCUUGGUGCACUAGAAUCAGAUAAAUACACGAUUGGGCCUAAAUGUUGCCUUGUCAUGAAAUCUCUCAAUUCAUCCACUGAGACCUGUUGAAGAAAUUUAUUGAAGAAAAGGUAGCAACAAUGAUUGUUUUAGGAAACAUUUCUAAGGUUUGUACUUACAUUAAACGCAGUCGACAUUGUUAAAGGAUCGAAUCCAGAGAGUAUAGAUGUGGGAUUUGUUCCUCCACCGACGAAGAAAGACUGCAGACAGAUCAUGUGUGAUUAAUUAAGACACGGCUAACAGAUAAUCAUGCUAUAAAAUCGAAACAGAACACAGAAGUAGUAACCCGGAAGCCAUGCUGAUGCCAAUGCCAUCCAUAGUUCUCGGACGUUUCAAUGCUACAGAUUAUGUAAAGCUUCUGGCCUUCUGCGGCGUUAACCAAGUAGAAUGCAGAACCAGAUGCAAUUCUAUACAGAUCCCCAGUCUUCAAAUGCCUUUCUGCAAAAUCAUCCUCGUAGACGUGUCCAAUUCUUGCUUCCCCUGAAAUAUCAAAUCCGUUUAUAAAACAUAAAUCAUCUAAACCAAUUUGCAAUUACAGAGAUGAUAAACAUAAUUAAUAAGAGGUUUCCAUCCCAAUAUGGCACAGCUGGUCAACUGAAGAAGAUGAGACACUUUGUCAUUACGUUGAUAGUUACUAGGAGACACAAUCAUGGACUAGCUAGAAACUUCUCUAGUUCUCUCUUGCCGUAAACAUAUGAACAUAAAUCCUUAAGUAGUAGAUCAUAUCAAUUUCAUUUGAUGCUUCAAUUUUUCGAUAAACUAAGCUCCAUAUUUCUAAGGAUAUUCAAUAUAAGUAAGUGAGGACGUAGUCUAACAGUGUCGAGUUCACAACCAAGAAACUCUUGAGAGUUGAGAGGGACUGAGAGAUCAAAAGAAUACCUCUACGGACGAAGAGGAUGAGAUUGGAAUCAAGAUACUGAGGGAUGAAAAGACUGUUUGGUUCCAUAGUAAUCAAGCCCAUAUGCAUUGGACUUCUCCAGAGUCUAUGACCGCCAUUCCUUAUCACCCUCAUAUGCCCAGCAUCAGUUCUCACCACAUCCAGUGACUCCCGCAACAAGAACCUGCUGUUUCCCCCCACCCCAGGCUCUCCUCCUUCACCACCGCCCUCCUCCCUCUCUCCUCCUUUUCCUCCUCCACCGAUCCCUGCUCCCCCUUCAUCUUGGUUAUAGAAACCACCAACAGUGGCCACCAGUGCAAAACACACCACCAAUAAAGCUAAAAACACUGCAGAAAUCUUUCCCAUGCUCAGUUUUUUCUUUUCCUGAAUUCUUUGUUUACUGCUCUUCUUUUUCUUGGGUUUUUUUUUCCCCUCACUCUCUUUGAAAUCUCUGAUUGUGUGAAAUGCGAGAGUGAAAAGGGGGUUUAAGUAGAGGGGGAUUGACGAGUGAGAAGGGAGGGAGGAGUAACAGGUGUCUUUCAUGCAGGUUUUCAAGGCUUUGCUGGCAAUAUCCAGGAGUAGCCAGUUUGCCACAGUACUAGCGUCGGGGCAUGCACCCAGAAAUAUCCGUUCUGCAUGCGAGACGAAGUCUUUCUAACCACUCCUCUCCUGCAUUCCCUGGUCUAUUAUUACUGCUUAAUUACCUAUUACCAGUUAAAACUUGGAAGAAAAGGCCCAAAGGCCUUGAAAUUUUUCUGUCGUGAGUUCUUCAUUGAAGGCAUGUCAUAUUUGUCACUUGUCUCCUUCCUUCCUGAAUACUACAAUUCCUCUUGGGCAUUCCUGAAUCAAUUGCAGUUCGUUGAGGUCGAUGAUUUAUCAGUUUCAAGAGAGAAAUAAUGAUUGGUAUUACAGUUUCAUAAUGAAUACUUGCUUGAGAAAUGGCCAUUGAGAUUGCAGGUGGGAUUGAAUAAGGGUCCUCAGUUGCCAUCAUGAUUAUAUUAUUAUUCACUUUUGUGUACCAAAAAUAGGAAAUUAGGUAAGGUACCUUGUGCUUCUUUUUUUUUUACAAGUAACACCUAUGGGGAAAAUGUUAUGGUAAUGUACCAAGGCAAAUACACCUCAACAAAUCUAUCAUUUAACACACUCCCAAAAAAUAUAGUAUAUAUCAUUUUGUUAGUCCUCUCAGCCUUUGUAUAUAUAUAUAUUUUUUGCCUUUCUAUAUAUUUUCUGUUUUAGCAGGGCAAAUAUUACAGGUAAGAUACUUGCACCAGUUAUUCGAUAAAUAAUCAAGUGGACACAAAACCAAAGCUUCCAAUUCAAGGGCAGCCAUUCUUUGCCCAAUUUUGUCCCAAUUCCUAAUUGUUGCUAACUGAACUCCAGUUUUGUAAUGAAACCAUUCGAUCCAAAGAAAUAAUUACAGCUUUCUAAGUUGAAAUAAGUUUAAACAAGUAAUAAAAGAACUUGUCACCACAGUCUGAUCAAUUUUGUCAAUAUUAGGCACACAUUGAUGGAGGGGGGAAAAACCACCAAAUGGAUCAUAUUGACCAUCUCGUUUAACCUUUUUGGUCAAAUAUAUUUUAAACUGUGAAUUCGUUAUUCAGGAGAACAAUUAUCGGGAACUAGUAGGAAAAGCAUGCUCCACGUAGGCCUGUCAACGGGUCGGGUCUAGACCCGGAUCCGUGAAAUUAUUGCGGGUAUGGGUAGGGAUUUAAUUCCGUUUCCUGGAUCCGGAUCCGGAUCCGGAUCCGUUUUGUCAAACAAAAAAACGGGUCGGAUACGGAAUAUAGUAUUCCGGCUUGUAUUAGACCCGGAUCCGGAUAUAAAUGAAUUAAUAAUUUAAAAAAUAUAUAUUUAUCAAUAUAAUUUGAUUAGGGUGAUGUAUUUGAAUAAACUCAAUUUGAUUUCUUUUCUUAUUUGGUUUUUUCUUUGCAUUAGUUAGAAAUUAGUUUACAAAUAUAUUUUUUUCUCAUUUUUAUUAGAAAUUAUAAAUUUUGCUAAAUUUGUUCGGGUAGACCCGACUCGGAUCCGGAUCCGGAACAUAUAAUAAAAGACCCGUCGGGUAAACGGGUCGGAUCCGGGUCCGGUAUAGUAAUUCGGGUCCGGAUCUAGAAUAAUGAAUUCCGGCCCAGACCCGGCCCGUUGACAGCCCUAGCUCCAUGGACGUGUAAUUUAAAAAAAAAAUUAAAACUUUCGUAUAAUGAAGUUAUUGAGAGUUUUUUUCUUUAUAAAAAAUAAGUUAUUAGAAGUUAAAAUUAUUAAAGUUACUAAAAUUAUUGUUUGUAAUGGUUAUAUAGUGUAAAUCCUUACCUAUAUGAGAGUAAAAAAGGAAUAACAAAGCGUGACAAACAAUUUUAGGGAUAAUAUCAGAAACCUCCCUUGAGGUUUUCCUUAUUGUCACCUGGCACUCCUAAGGUUUUAAAAAUAUCACUUACCUCCCUUACUUUUGUUAUUUAUGUUACAAAAUUUUUAUAAACCCUAAACUACCCUUUCACUUGUUAAAUAAAAAUAUUCCUAAUCCACUUUGUUAAUUUCAAGAAAACCAUCAUAUAAAAAACAAUCUCUUAUAGUACUACAUCAUAAUGCUAUACCCUGUGAAAAUAUAAAUUUACAAAAAAAAAAAAAUAUUUGAAAAGAAAUACACUUGCACCAAUUUAAUUCUAUAUAUUCAAAAUCGAUUUCUUAUGAACUUUUAUAUUUUUUUCAACAUCUUUUGAACCCUUGCCCAAACAAUUAAAUUGUACCAAUCAUUCUAAAAAUCAACUCAAAGUAAGCAAAUAAAUCAUACUCCACUUUAUCACAAUUACAAAAAAUAAAAGAUAAAAAAAUUUAAUCUAUUAUAAUUUAUAAAUAAAAUAUUACAUAGUCAUCUAAAAAAUGAGUAAGAGAAAAUGAUGGAGAAAAAGAAAAGAGAAAUAAGCGACUUUUUUUAUUUUUUUUUCAUUUAUUUGAUAUGUGAAUUAUGUGUCAAAUGAGGGUUAAUAUAGUCUUUUUACAAUUAUUCGGGGAGGUAAAUGAUAUUUCAAAAACUUCAGGGGUAUCAAGUGAUAUUAAGAGAAACCUCAAGGGAGGUUUCUGAUAUUAUCCCAAAAUUUUAACACCAAAAGAAUCUCCCAUGCCUUAUAUUUAGAGAAACAACUUACUAAUAAGAAAAGCGCUCUGUCGGGAAAAUACAUUCUUCGUAUAGAAGCUGUGGCUUUCUUUUUUUUUUGAAUAAAAGGCCAAGUCCAGAGUCCAGACCCAAUAAUUCGUUUCUUCGCCUGUUGGUGGCGUUUCCAACGGUCACUGCCCGCAAAACUCGGUCCCGACUCAACACCAUCAUCAUCAUCAUGACCAAGUCCCCAACUGACUCCCCUUCAACCCAAGACACCACCACUCGUACUUGUUCAACCCCUGACAUCCCAAUUGAGAUCAUCCCAGACGAAGAAAUGGCCCUCAUUGAAGCUGCUUUCGCCUCUGCAACUCGGACCAUUUCCUCCUUGACUCGAUUUCAAAGAAAUAUUACAGCUCCGCCUAAUGAUAAUAUACGGUCUAUAAAGUCCAUAACUUUAUUGUCCAAAAAGCGGAUUUCCAGAUGUAGCCGAACUGGGUCUGACUCGGUGGCAGAUAUAGAGGACUCGGGUGGUGAUGAUGGGCUAACUCAGAAGAAGAAGAAGCAGAAUCGAGUUCACGGCUCACUUUUGCAUAAAUUUAGGAGGAAAAGAGGCUUAUCUGUUACUGAUAUUACUGCCGGGGUACAUAUCUCAUUAAUAUUUUGUUCCCUUCGUCUUUUAUAAAUAUUGAUGCUUUUUUGCUAUUCGGAUUCGAAGAAGAAGGUUUGUAAAAUUUCUGAUUUUUUUGGGUGAUGUUGAUGCUGCAUUGCUGCUGUUCUAUGAAUAGCGAUUAACUCCAGUUGGCUUUUUUGGCUGAUAUUUUUAAGAUAGAAGAAAUAAACAAUGCAUUGUCAGUCCAAUUUUAAGUAGUAUUUAGUAGUACUACGUAGCUCAAAUGAAGGCUUUCAAUGAUUUGGAAUUUGGAGAUUGUUGAAUUUUGCAGCUGAGGAGGGGCAAAUGGGAUAUACCUAGGAGUUUAGGACCUAACAGCUAUUUUAGAGAUCACAAAAUUACUACAUUUUAAAAUUCAUCGUGGGGAAAUGUUGUGCUUGUGAUGGUCCUGUUGCAACAUCUGAUUGAAUCUGCUACUCGUAGAAUCGAAAUUGAUAUCGUGCGUGGACUUUCAGGAAUGGUGUGAGAAACAAAUGGAGUUUACUCUGAACCUUGGCAGAGCAAAAUCAAAUAAAGCUAUGGAAGCUGGUAUUGCUCGCCAUGCAGCACUUGAAGAAGAGGUAGUCUACGAUCUCCUAAUGGACCUUACAUAUGGAUAAUGCCCAUGACCUGUCAAGCUUCAACUUUUUAACCUUCCUAUUCUAAGUUAGCCUUACCAUCUUCCUUUUUUAUAUAUGUCCAAACCCUGAAAUCAAUGUGUUUUUUGUUAUGAUUCUGGUUAAUUAUGUUUGGAUUUUAGCUGAAUGAAAUAGAGCACUAUCAAUUAGAGAACAGAAUAUUUUUCGUGGAUAAUUAUCAUUUUAGUCUUUAUUUAUUCAGAUUGUUGCCUGACCUUCGAUUGUAUGGUUGCAGGUUGUCAAAAAGGUCAAAAUCCAUGUUGCAUCCGUUGAAGACACAUGGGCUGUGAAGUUUAUGAAUUUUAUACUUGGGGCAAAUCAGUUGCUAUUUGAUGGACUGACGCGUGAAUUGCCUUUGUAAGAUUCUCGUGUAUUUUAUGCAUUUUAUGAUUUCUUCUGCCCCUUUCCUCUUGUGUGCAUUCUCAGUUUCUUGCACACCAACACGUUCGCACAAACAUGCACCUUGUUGUGUGCAAAGCUCAUGCUUCCAGACACUGCAUUUCAUUUAUUGGGUGAUUCUGGAGUAUAAUAGGUCUUCUUGUGAUCUGAUGGCCUGGUAAUACCACCAGAGUAAGCUUUGAAGAAGGUCUAUGGAUGGUGGGAGUAAUUGAUGAAAUUCGAAUGCCUGUUACAGAAACUGAAAGAUAUCCUACAUUAGUUGAUACAAAAACUCGUGCACGAGCAAAGCUUCCUACUGAAGCACAACAGAGAAAUGGAAGGUACUAUCAAGUGUGGUUUUUGGUCAGGUUGCUGAGGAAGAUACCAGCUAAUAGCAUUGCUUCUUGAAAUUGAAGCAAUACAUUUUUCUUGGAGAUCAAACAAAAAUGGUGAUGAAGUGCAUAUUUCUUUUGACAGGCUUCAGUUGAUGUGCUACAAGCGUCUGUGGGACAAUUUAGUGGCUGAUAAAUUUCCUUCUGGACAGUUUUUUGAUUUCUUUGCUUUGAAUCCUCACGUCAUUCUUUCAGAUGAGAUCAGAGAGCACACAGCCAAAUCAGGUUUUCCUGCAGAUGUAUGAUGCUUUUCUUUCUUCGCCUUUGACUUACUUGAUUUAGGAGUCCAUUACAUUGGGCAUUUAACUACUUGAUCUCACUAAUUUAGACGAGAAUUUUUCUCCAUGCAAGCCUGUAUGAUGAAGUGACACAUGUUGAAAUGUUCUCUUCCAGGAACUUUCCUGCUCUAUUUCUUGCUGCUGAUAUAGCAUGUAUAUGAAGUGAGACGUUGAUAAAUUGGAUAGUGUUCUAGUCCUGUAGUAAAAUAUCAAUUUACAUAUCAUUGUGGCUCAGUAUAAGGGAUUACCUGUAAUAUACCCAUUUAUGCACUUUGAGUGCUUAUUUUUGUGUUUAAUUGAACAUCUUAUCCUUUGCAUUUAUGCAGACUCUGAAUGAUUUGGUGGCAUACUAUCGAAAUACUUGUUGUAUGCUGCCUCCAGCUCAGGACCAACUGUUACUAAGGUUGGUUAAGGAUUUCCAUGUGUGUUGUUAGAUAAGCGUUAUAUGGACUGCCGAAUUUUUUCUCCAUCUCCUAGCAUGGCUUCUGGUGAUGAAUUUUAACCAAUUUCAAAAGAAGACAGCACUGACGUUUCAUAUGAUCUGUGCUCUUCAUUUCCUUUUCAUGUUUUCUGACCUCCUUCCCUCCACAUCUUCCCCAAAAUUUUCCACUUUCAGCAUGUUUUACAACAAUAAAAUCCAUAGGUCUAGUUUCUGCCAUUUGCCUAUAUUGAUGAGUAUUCUGAGCGCUAAGAAAAAAGAUUUGAGGCCAUGUCCACCCAGUGACCUUAGGCAGACUAAAAGUUUACAAGUGCUUUUCUUUUUCCUAGAAGAUAUUUCAUUUGCCCUUUAUCAAGUGCCUACUACUAUAUAGAAGAAGUUGAGACUAAAAACGAAGAGGGACUUGCAGAAAUUAAGCUUGUCACUUAUCCUCAACAUUGUACAAUUGAUGUUCACUUGUUCCUUAUCCAAAAGUUUGCCUUUUUUUAUUUGUCUUUUUGGGUUAACGCUUUUAAAAGACUUUCAUUUGGAAAACCACAAAUCACUCAGGGCACUCUGCGGUAGUCCAUUUUACACUAGCAAGAAUAUUGUCUUCUACAGGUAUGAAUACCAAGAAGAUCAAUCUUUAAUCGGUGAAGAUCAGUUUGCUUAUGAUGCUGAUUGGCUCAAUAAUCAACUCAAGUCUUGUCUGGAGUUCUGGCGAGGGGAACGAGAACCCAGUUAUGCUGCAGAAGAGGAGCGGUGGAAAUGCAACUUCUGUAGUUUUUAUUCCCAGUGUCCAGCAAACUCCAAACUUGAUCCACCUAGCUAAAGAAGUAGCCGAAAUAUCAAUUUUUUCACAAGGGUUGCAUUCGAUCAGAUUUCAGAUUCGAACUGGAAUGCUUACUUUGAAGGAGCAUGAAUUUGCUGAUGAGCUUCUUCGUGGUUCAUUUGGCAGUUCUUGUCGGUCAUCUCAAAUUACUGAUUUAUUCAUUCUUGUACUACUGUACUCUCAGUGCUGCUGAGGGAUUUGAUUAUUCAUUGUUGUAGCAAGAAAAUGUCACUGAUCUCCUUGAUCGGUUAUUUGUCAUUGUUGUCCCACCCAUUGUAGGAUGGUGGGACGGGAAUAUUAAGCGGUUUGCUAACAGGAUGGAAUAAUCGAUGCUUACUGCAUCAGAAAACCAUUAAUACACAUAUUUGGCUGCUAUUUUCAUUUCUUCCAUUCUUUGUGCACUGAAUUUAUUUAUUUAUUUUUUAUAGCCACUCUAGCUAAAGGGGCUAAAUUUCCAGAAAUUUUGGGGAUACAAAUUUUACCUGUUAGGAUUUUAUCAGAAGGAAAUUUUAGGAUCAAGAUCAACAACUUUUACCAUGAUGACAUUUUAAUAUCAAGUAGUACCAGAAAGUUACCUCUUAAAGGAUACUUUGCCUUGGUGAGAUAUCAUUAAGAGGUUGAGACUCGGGAAAUUUUAAUCCUCUUUCUCCUACGCUGUUUAUUAUAAAUCCCCCACCCCUCCCCGUUAAAAAAAAUUUUAAAAAAAGUUACCUUAGUAUACAUACAAUUUUCAGUGAUUAAGCAUUGUUGAAUGUAAAUCAAAUGAAUUAUCAGUUUCACCUGGAAACAAUAUUUUAGUCCCUUGGUAAUAAUAGUGAUUUAAAAACUUACUAAUACGACUAGUUAAUUUUAGAUGAUCUUAAAACUUACGGAUCAACGACGGAUCAUGAACAUCGUCAAGCUUGAUGAGUUGAAGUUUAUGGGCCUAUGGACUAUCAAAAUAUGGACCUCAACAUUAAAUUUAAGCCCAUUUUGCAACUUGUCAAUCAAAAGUGCAGUCCAAUUCAUCACCUCCUCCAGUCUAUACUGUCGAACUAAACUACUGGUAUGCUACAAUUCAGAGGAAGAGAGCUUCAUUCCCGUUGUUGUGCAAAAUCUGCUUCCUCAGAGGUUUGAUCUUUCUUAUCGUUACUCAUGGUUGCUCCUCCUAAUCCGUAGUCGAUCUAUUUAUGCAACCGUGAAUUCCACCUGCCUAUGUAUUGUUAUUGAAUCAUGUUUUGAUUCAAUUGUUCUCUUUUUCGAAGCUUUGCUGUGAACCCUUCACCUUACCUUGCCACAAAUUCAAUAUGUUUGAGUUUAAUUGCUUCCAAGAAUCGUAUCACGAACUUCUGCUGUAGCUUUUAAUAUCCAUAUGUUGUUCAUUUUGAGUUGGGCUGUGUUCAUUUCACAUUUUCAUUAUGCUUUCAGUACCAAGAAAUCAUGUCACAAAAAUUCGGUCCAAGAUGGUAUCUUUGUGGCAAAAUCUAUCUGUUAGGGGCUCAGAAGUUCAUAGUUCUUACUUAAAGAUUGCCCCACGUUUAGCAUCCUUUUAUAAUCAUUCAAUAGUUACUCAUUCUUUUCAUCCCAUUUCCAGUAUAUGGAAUUUUAGAUGCCAUUCAGCUCCCAUCCAGAUUUCAAUUGCUUCAAAUCAAACACUCCUGGUUGCAUUUUCCCUCUCACUUUUUCUGGUUUCUUUUUAUUCUACAAGUCCGUAUCCAAUUCGACGCCUGAGGGGACCCCCUUCAAGAUCUUUAAGGAGGAGAAUGAGUAAGAGGGCAAAAGCUGCCGCAAAACCUGUUCUAGAUGAAGCCCAAUUUGAGAGGGCUAUUUCUGGGCUCCCACCUAGGUUCACUCCCGAGGAACUUUGCAAUGUCAUAGUUUUAGAGAAGGACCCUUUAGUUUGUUUGGAGUUGUUUAAUUGGGCUUCAAAACAGCAUAGGUUUAGGCACAAUGUUUCAAGUUUCCACAUUACAAUAAAGAAACUUGGUGCUGCGAAAAUGUACCAAGAGAUGGAUGAUGUUGUUAAUCAAGUGCUUGCUAUUCGUUCUAUGGGUACGGAAGCUCUUUACAAUACAAUGAUCUAUUAUUUUACAGAAGCUCGAAAAUUGACUAGAGCAGUGAACAUAUAUAAUCACAUGAGGGAUAUCGGAAAAUUGGACUGCAGGCCUUCAAUUACCACAUUUAAUAUCCUUUUUGCAGCUUUAUUGAGUAGGGGAAAGAACUCAUACAUAAAUCACAUGUAUAUGGAGACAACUAGAUGCCUUUUCAGACAAAUGAUCGACGAUGGGAUUGAACCUGAUAUUUUCUCCUUGAAUUCUAUGAUAAAGGGAUAUGUGCUUUCACUUCAUGUUAAUGAUGCCCUCAGAGUAUUUCAUCAGAUGGGAGUGGUCUAUAAGUGCUUGCCUAAUUCCUUUUCAUAUGAUUACUUGAUCCAUGGAUUGUGUGCACAAGGAAGAACGAAUAACGCCAGGGAGUUGUGUAUGGAAAUGAAGGAGAAAGGAUUUGUCCCUAGUAGUAAAUCAUACAAAUCAAUUGUGAACUCCUUGGCUCUGAGUGGAGAAGUUGAUGAAGCGGUGAAGUACUUGUGGGAGAUGACUGAAAACCAAAGAUCAGCUGAUUUUAUCACCUAUAGGACCAUACUUGAUGAAACUUGUCGCCAAAGAGGGGCCGAAGAUGCCAAGCAUUUAUUGCAAGAGUUACAAGAGAAGGGCCUGCUAGACGGGCAUACUUGCAGGCAGCUUCUACAUGAGGUUGAAGGAAAUAUCGGAAACUCACAUUUCAGAACUCAAUUCAGGUACCUCAAUUUGUAGAUUUUUCAUUUUCCCAAGGAUCUAAGAGGGAAAAAUGCCUCGGCAUCAACUCUAGGAGUAAUAUGCCAGCAUGACCUGAUACCUCUGCUUUCUUUUUGUCCUAUCAUUUUUAGGCUCUCAUGGCAUAAGACAAUUCUGAACUUUGAACAAAGUUGCUUUCGUUAUCUGUUUCUCUGUCUUGUUUAAAACGAACUGCCCAAGACGAGAGUUAGGGUUUUGAGUUGAUUAGAGUUCUUAAACUAUAUCCAUUUAUGCUAAAGUUGAGCCAUAACUACAAGGACUACUUAGAAAGUGCUUUCAUUAGGUUCUUUGACUACUUGGUUAUAUUUUUAACUCAGAUAAUACAAAUGUAGUUUGUCGAUAGGUUUACAGCUAAAAUUGCUUUGUUGCUCAAUUAAAUCUUUUGCUGUUCUUGCAGCUAAGAGCGAGCGGUGGAAUUUGUCUACUUCAUAUCCAUGCUAAGCCACCAAAAAUAUGUGAGAUCUAUGGAAAAGGCUUUGCAAUGGUCUUGUUAGCUUGCAAAAGAACCAAUGUUCUUCAGAUAAGUCCAUGGUAAUUUUGUUUUCCAGCCUUGAAUGGUUUUCUAAUGUUAAUAUCAACUUAGCGACCUGGUUCAUGUUUUUGUUUUCCAGCCUUAAAUGGUUCUCUAAUAAUAACUUGAACCUGGUUCAUGUUUACGAUAACGAGCUUUGUUUGUUUAUAAUAUACUGUGAUGAAAAAGCUGGAGUCAUUUAGAACUAUGCGCUAGGGAAGUGACUGUCUCUAACAAGAGAUUUUCACAAGAGGGAGAUAUCAUUUAUGGGGACAGUGAAUAAAUAUGGAUGUUGUGAUGAAGUAGCCAAAAUUAAGCAGACCUAUGCAGGAUUGUGAGAAAUUGUUCAUUGUGGCAUUCCAUAACAAUGUAAGGUAAGUUAAGCCAAUAUCAGGUUGGCAGCGAAAAGUCAGUAUUUGCUUGGCAUUAGGCAGUGUUUAGUUGUUUUUCAAGUUCUGAUGGACCACAUUUGUCAGGAUUGAGGAGUUUCUUCUAGUUGUUUAACUUAUCCCUAAUAAAACUAUACAGAAUAAAUCAUUACUUCAUGCACUUCCAGAAGUCAAACCUAUUCCGUGCUAUUUCCCAGUGCUCCUUUUUCCCUUCCUUUCUAAAGAGUGUGGAACGUCUAUCUUACCCUGUUCUAAGAGAAGGAAAAGGAACAUUAAAAUGUUGGAAGACUUGAAUAAAUCUUCCGGUAGCAGUUGGUGCCUAAUGUUCAAUGGUCUUGAUUAUUUGUUCUUGGUUCUCUAGGAAUUCUUUACGUGGAUAAGCAUUCAGUUCUGGUCUAUCUUGACUGAUGACUAACUGGAGUUUGCCUGGAAUCAAAAUCAAUGGCUGCAGAUGUUGUGAGAAGAUCAGUUGCUUGUCUGCGACAAUUGAGAUGCAUAUACUGAUUGGGCCGGGAAAAGAAAAACAUCAGUCUGCAUUGCUGGAAAAGAUUUUCUUUUUCUUUUAGGGAAGUGCCCAAUUAAGUUUAUAAAUGUGUGGUGGCUUGGAGGUGACCAGAUAACUACGCUGUAAAUAAAGGGUUGUCUACUGCCAAUGAGCACUGUUACUCAUGAUUAAACGAGCUGGCAAAAUCUGAAAUCUCUUGUAGAAAAAAUAAAUGGUAAAAAAGAGCACUUAUGUUUCUAGUGUGAGGAGAUGGCUUAGGUCUAUGCCCAGCUUGCCACCUUAAUAUGAUUUUCGGUGCGUUUGUUAAGCCUGGCUUGCUUUUCAUUCUAUAUUAUGGUAUCAUUUUCGUGAACCUGCUUUGUGAGUUGAGAUGUAUUACUUAAUUACCAUACUUAAGUUAGUAGACCUCAUUUGGCAUUGCUCCUCCUGUUUUGUUAUGAGGGAGAAUGAUGACAUUAGUCAUAAUUGCUUGGCAAAAUGUGCCAUUAAACUAGUUUAGGAAGUUAAAUCAGAAACAAGUUUUCCAAUGUGACUAAAAAGCAAGUCACAGUCUGUUGAUGGGCCCAACAAUUGUAAUACUUUUGAAUAUCUUAUUAAAGUUUAUAUGAAAGUUACCGUUUGCUCCCAAAAAAAAACUGAACAAAUUGAUUAAAAUACUAUCCUAAACACAAACUUACUGCCCUGUUACAGAUGGAUCAACUUUCAAGUGGCGGUUUUUUUUUUUUUGUGUUUUGGGGGGGGAGUUAAAGAAAAAGAAAAAGACAAAAUCAUCAUUUUAUAUAGUGAAACAUCCAGAGCUUCUGUAAUUAUAAUGUAGAACUUAAACACUAAAAAUACAGACAUUAAACUAAUUAAUGUAAAUAUUAAGACUACGAUAAAUGUAAAAACACAAUUUCUUUUGUUACUUGUUGAAAUUUGUGCCCACACUUCAAUUUUAGCCAUCAAAUUACAAAUUACUUUAUCUGAACCAUUAAUUGCAUUCUGCAGCUACUGAAGAUAUUAUGAAUCCUGAAAACAUCAUUUAAAUCCAAAUCCGUAUUGGGGGAAGGACACGCAUUAGUAGUUCAAGAACUAGAGUACGAGUACGAGUAGGAUUAGGAUUUUUCGUAAAUAUGAUACAUGAAGUCAUGUAUUAGUAUUUAGAAGAGUUAAUAACGUUUUGCCCCCUGAAUGUAAGGAGUAAUAACACUUUGUUCCCGUCAAUGAAGAAAAGGCACUUUACCCACUCAAGAAUCUUUUGUUUGGUAUUUAUAGCAAGUAUUCUUUUUUUUUUUUUUUUUGUAAAAAGUAAGAAAAUGAACUACUCAUAUACGUUGACAAUUCCACCUCUAUAUUAUCUUCAAUCAAAUUAAUCUUGUGGAAACAAAGUUAUAACCUCCGCCUCCCUCCACCACUUCCCCUCAGUUUCAUAUCAUAGAAUUGUCAACAGUCUAUUUUUGGGAAUACUUGACACAAGCUCCAACUGAAAUAUUCUCAAGUAGGCAAAGAGCUUAUUGUUUUUCAUUGAGGGGGCAAAAUGUUAUUACUAACCAUAUUUAGAAUGCGAGCAUAGAGACACAACAACGCCCCGGCUCAUGAACAUUAAACUGCAACUUAUACGAAAUUGUUGACCGUUUCUGGAUUUCUGCUCCCUACCAAAAGAUUUCCCACUCAAAUAAAGCUAGGACCCUAUAAAAAAAAAAAGAAAAAGAAAACAGAAGAGCAAAGAAUUGUGAAUCAAAAUGCCGUGACAACUCCACAGACUGUCGAUAUUCCAUGAUCCAUCCCUCCAACUGCAAAGCAUGGUCUCCUUUCUCAAGUCCGUGAGAGUGGAAAGGAUCUGAAAUUUUGCAUUUUUUUUUCUCUUAUUUGCGGAGUCGAGGCAUGUAUAAUUCCUAUGGAACUGCAAAUACAGACUACAAAACUGUAUCAGCUCGGCUUAUUAUAUACAUGGAAUCCGCCAAAAAUGCUCAAAAGGCCACUUUGUACUCGGGUAACUGCAUGGCCUAGAUUAUCUUGAAACAUGGAACUUAAAAGAAUUGUAGGACGCCAGUUAUCGUGAUGGGGGGAUCAAUCCCUACACGAGUAGCCUUCCCUUCCGUAACUAACUGUGGCAAUGCGUUGGCAUCUUUGGCUGCAACUCCUUCACCAGUCCAUAAUGUGACAUGAGGCCACUGGUUUUUAGAAGUUAUCUUUUCACCAUUUACCGAGCCUGUGUGAGCUUCUAAUGCUGCCAAUUUCCCAGAAAAUAGUAGCGCAGUUAUAUCCACAGGUACCUUUUGAUUAAGAAACGAGCCAUAAUUUGCAACAGCAGUAACACCAUGACUUCUCUUGUGAGCCAGCGUCACAUGAGCUUUUGUGAGACUAUCCUUCAGGUUUUUCUCCUUGAAGAAGGUUUCAACGUCAGGAUCCUUCUCAGCUAUCUGAUUCAAGAAAGGAAACAAUACAAAUCUGUUAUACUGAUUUUCAUCCCAUAAAUUCAUCAUAAGAGAAAUGAGGGAAAUGUGAAACCAAAUCCUUGAGUAAACAAGAAAACAGCAAAGAAAGAAGUAAAACGUAUUCAGCAAUCACAUUGCCAAAUUUCCUGGCUCUUUUUUUCAUUUCCUUUUUUUUAAUUAAAAAGAAAAGGUAGUAUGGGACUCAAAACCAGAAAAGGUUAUCCAUCCAGAAUGAAAUGUGAAUGCCACCACGUUGAUACUUGCUUAACCCUUCCCAGACCACUCUACAAAUUAUAGACGUAAGAAGACCAAGACAAAAAGGUCCGUAGCUAUUAUCAACUGCACAGAGGACUUCAGAAUCUCAAAUUACGUAUGCCACAUGGUUCCUCAUGAACUUCUAGAAGAGCAAGUGGAAUGAGGCAAGACCUAUCAUGGGUCUGAAGGCUAUUCAAUUGCAAAAGGUUUUGAAUCUUCAUGGAAAAACAGAAUUGGACUGGAGUUGGAGUAUCCAUAAAAUUUAACGUUCUACUCAAGUGCUACAAGCCCAAUUUAUAUCCAAUUAAGUUCCCAUCCUAAAGAACCAAAGAUAGAAUAAAGAAAAUCUCACUAAAUUUACUAUGCUAUGCAAGAGAAAACACUUGUUAACUCACCCUUUGGAGGAAUUCAUGGAUUUCUGCAACAGGCAAACUCACAGCAGCGUAUACAAUAGCCCCAAGCCUUCUUUUCUCAAUUACUGGUGCUGAAUACUCACCCUUUGCAACUGCUUUUAGUUGUUCCAAGACUUGCUUGACAGCAAAUUCAAAUGGAACCUGAAAGAACAUAUAACGAGAAACCAACACAGUGAAAUUAAGAACUUCACCCCACAAAUGAAGGACAAGAUGUUUGACCAGAGCAGAUUUAUUAUGGUUGUUUUCCCCAUUAAUUAUAUAUGUUCACAUUUUAGUAUGUACAAACCCGAGUGAGGGGGUUUGCUUUGGAUUUGGUGUGGGCUUCAAGGUAAGGCUAGUUCAGCUAAUUCUUGUGUAAUAAGCAACCAUGGCAAAAGCCUCCAAGCAAACCACUUAUGCAUCAUAUUGAUCCUCAGUGCACCAAGUUCUUCAGGAAGAGGAUAUCACUAACUGAUGUGCAAAUGAAAAUGAUGAUAGGAUAUUAUACAAGCAUCCAAACCAAAUAGGCAUUCACCUGCACCGAAUCAAGGUACUCAGAAUUGCUUGAUAAAAUCUCUCGCAAUUCCUUCUCCCAUUUAGUCCAUUCUGUUGCAUAGGUUCCUUUGGUUGACUCCAAUCUGAAAGAAACACAGCUCUCGACUGAAUCAAUUGGGAAACCUCCUUUAUUAUGGUUCUCAGGACACAAAUCCAGAACAAGAUGGAAAUCUGAUUACCAACCUUCCAUGCCUGAUUGUGUGAAGCUUGUACAGGUUUAUCCCCUCUUCCAAAACAGAACUCACAGAAACAGGUAGAGGAGACCUACAGGUAAAGGUAAGAAAGAAAGACACACUUGAAGCACAUUAAAUCAGAAGAAAAUAAGAUGACAAAAUAAGCAUGUCUCAAUUUGUAGCCCUCAGGAAAGGAAGGAACUGAUUAUACCAUUAAAGAAACCAAAGGGAGAAUGGAAAUAACAUGUAUAUCAGAAAAAAACAAACGUUAUAGACACAGUACCAACUUAACAAUUUGUUCUGAUAUAAUCCAUACUGUAAAUACUUCUAUGAUAAUGAAAUGAGUAUCUUGAUAGAUCACAACCAAAUUGCUCCUAUUUCAUUUCUAAGUUAGGGAUGCUUUGAAAUGCAAAUAUAUUGGAUGGAGUUGACAAGAUUACAGAGUUAAAAUCAAAUAUUUUCUUUACAUUAGCGACGAUUAGUAAGCCAUAGUGUAGACAAAAUUGACUAUAGAAAUUGGUGGGGGCACCAGAAAGUGGAUAAGUCAACAGAAGCCCAAAAGUUUUAGUGGCAAGCAUGUAAAGCUCUUUGUUUUUAAGAGACACUGUACACCAUAACUAUGUACACUAACCUGAAGUGUUGAUAAAUUACCUUUGCAGAAGAAAAGUGAGAAAGUAAAACUACAAAUAUGGUUCUAAACAUCCACAACAUUUGUCCUCGCCAGGAAGACUGAUCCAAUUUUAAGAAAUUCAAAAGUUUAAUGAAAGAGAUCUUCAGAGUAGAACAGCAGACCUAUUAGGCUUCAGUAAAGGCAUCUUCACAAGAGAGCCAAAACGUUCAAUUAACUCGGCCUCAAACUCCUUGCGGCUCUGAUAAAGAGCAGACAAUAAGAUAAGGAAGAAAUUUUAAAUAAGCAACAACCAAAAAAUGCGUGGAAAAACAACUACCUUGCCCUGGUAAAGGUGGUAAAACAUCAGCAACACAUAGCCAACAUUUGGAGAGGACUUGUCAAGGUUCCCCUUCAAGUCCCAAAAAAUAAAUAAAAUGUCAGCAACAUUGUACUCGAUUUCCUAGGAGGUGUGCAUCAUACAAACUAUUGAAAACGAUAGUGAGAAAUACCGGAUGAUUAACACGGCGAAGCACUCGAUGUAUGAAAACAGCAAGUGCGUCAAGUGAAAAUGGAUUUGAUUCGGUUCCUGUAGAUUUAACCCAUUAAGUUCUACAUACAUGCUACAUGAAGCUAAUUUACAAAUCUAAUUAAUGAAAACUGGGAACAAUUUUAUUCUUGAAUCCUAGCAUAUUACUUCACCAAGCAAAUAUAAAAGUAGACAUCUGGAAGGAUAUUAAAAUGUCAUUUGAAAACAAAUGUGAAUCAGGAAGAUUUUACAGAAUUAACAUAUCAUAUGAAUUACAUAUAAAACUGCCGCAGAUCCCUGAUACUAUCUGCCAGAGCAAUGAAUGAAAAGAUCCACAAAUGAAAAAGUAAAGAUUGCUGUUCGUAUCAUACCGGCGCAGGCCCUAUGCAUUUCUUAGACUUACAACCUCUAUAAUAUGCAGCUAUAACUUCACAAAAAACUCAAUUAAAAUAGAAUUUCAUAACCUUCUCUAGAAGACUAAACCCAGAAAACAAUUAACCCAAUCCAUAUUGCAGUCCUAAAUGAUUAUGGUAUAGGGAGAUCGGCUCAGAAAAUUAGCCAGAAUGAACGAACACUUAGAACAAAUAGGGCUUUAAAACACCACUCUCCUAACUAUCCAUUUAUAUAUUACUUAAAUUGGAGAGAAUUCUACAGAAAACACAAGUACUCUGAUGGUCAGACAUUUCUGAUGGUCAUAAGCGAAAGCACUUGAUGACCUAAGAUGGUUGACUACCCAUUUCUCUCUGUACUACACGAGCAUGCUGCUUCUACACUAAGGAAUCACAUACAUCCUUCUUGCACAUGCAUGUGAGCGUUUCCUACACGCUAGUGACAAUCAUGCAGCAAGUGCAUAGUGGUUAGACAUAGUAAUUCCUACCCUUAGCUGCAAUGAUUGUUGACCGAUAAGUCAAGAAAUAACAUUUAACAAAUGAAUCCAAGCAAAUGUCAAAAUUACACAACAGAGGAAAGGACAACAUAAGAGUGCAAAAUAGCAAAACAAAUACUUUCAACAAACAAGCCAUAUAUAAUCUAAAAUAAAGUACACUCUGUGAGUGAGAAUAUAGAAGAUCAAGAGAAUGAAAGAAGAUGCUAGAAUAGGACCUUCUGAAUCUGGUACGACCGGAACUGCAGAAGCUUUGGUGCGUCGGCACAUGUCCUCAAUCUGGAGAAAUUAAAUGAAACCUCAUCAGGCAAAAUCCAAAGAAUAAAUGAAAGCAUAAAGGAGAACAGCAAGCCCUCCUUCCGCCGGCCCCAAAACACCCCAGUCCAAGAUAAUGGAGCACAGACCAAGAAGAAAAAGUCCCCACACCCAACUUCCUUUGAAGGAAAAAGUAGAAAAAACAGGAACAUUGUGUGAAAAAACAGGAUGCUAAUAGGUGAUACGUAGUUCAACAGGUAUAAAACGAAAAGGAUUGGAAAAAAGGAAAAAAGUGAACAGUGAAAUUUAGCAAAUUUGGUCCCUACAAGGCAAAUUGUUACUAGUCAGAUUCAUUAACAAACUCAAGGGAAUGUGAUCUCAACAAGUAACCUGUUUCCAAACUUCCUCGUUCGGUGCAUUCUUGUCGGCAAGCAUUAUCGAAUAAGGCUUUCUCCGGCGUUCAUCAGCAACCUUCUGCCAAUACCUACCUAUUGAAAUUUAAUGCACCAAGAGUAAAUACAGUAUCAGAAUCUAGAAUGAGCAAGCCAAUCUUAUAAUCAGAUUUAAGAAGCAAUCCAAUCCCCGCUCUUUAAGGGAGGAGAAAUAAUAUGGAAGUUGAUUCAAUUCUUGGAGUGGAAUGAUCACAAGAAUGCAAUGAGGCAUGCAAAAUGAGUACCCAUAUCAUCUUGCCUUCCUCAACAUUUCGCUGUCUAUCCCCCUACGGUACAUGUGCCCAUUAACCAUCCACUAAAUGAGAAUUAGUGAGCUUUACUAGAAUAAAAUGUCCAAUGGAAGUAUCCCAAGAUUUCAGUUUUCAUCAUUUUAAUCUACUGUAUUUCCAGUAAACUUCCUAUUGGUACUGGUUUAGUAGUAUAGCCAGCACAUGAUGUACCAAUUGAAACCAUGAUCUCUGAUGUCAGAGCAGAAGGUUCAUCUCUAGUCAUUUAUAAGACAUGCAAUAAGCUGCAGCACGAAAUCUUAAGCUUUGCAAGAGCUUUCUAAACAGGAAAGGUCUUAAAAAUUGAUAAUCUCCCGAUAGUUGCGAUUGAACAACAAAAAAUUCGAACAGAAAACCAAUUCAAUAACACUCUACAGAUGAACCUGUAUGUUUAAAAUGCAUCAGAUAUUUAGAAUGUCAUUGAGCUCAUACCUUUUAUAAGAUCACCCAUCAAAGUGUUAACUGGUCGGUCAUCCUCAAGGACUCCAGGGGCAUUUAAAAUUUCCCUACAAAGCGCAGAUUUUGCACAACCAGGUAUUCCUGAAAGUCGAAAGCAGUUAGUCCAUAUAAGAUUGAUUUAGUGGGUGCAUAUCUUAGGUGGAGAGGGAAGAAAGAAAGAAUGCAUGACAAGUGAAAACAUCUUCAAUGGUAUAAUAAUAACAAUAAAAGAGAUGUGUGCAUAUCAGGAAGUGUUAUCCUCCAACCAACAGGUAAACUGAUAUGCAACGAGCAUAAAGUGGAACACAUACUUCAGAUUAACAUCAUGUAACUUUCAGCAAAUAGAAAAGUCAAUAAAGAACGGCUUACACCACAUAAGAAGUUUCAACUAGCAUGUGAUAGAAAAAGAAAUCAGAUUAUACAUCUAGUGGAUUUCUAAGAUAUAUAAUUAACAAGUUCAUGAUCAUCAGAUGGAACAUACUUCUAUUCUCUUACCCUCCCUACCUAAAUGGAACCAAAAGGAAAUGAAGGAGCUCAAUGAUUGUCAACAUUAAAUAAGCAUCAAUAUAAUAUUCAAUCUAAACCCGAUAUAUGUCAAAAAAAAAAGUCAAUCCAGUGAUCUCAAGAUGAAUAGGCUGGCCCACAAUUUUCCCAUCCAGCCAUACCUGGAAAGAAGACAAUGAGGCCCUCAUCCUUGGCAACUCUGUCCUUAACUGUAGUUACUGGUCCUGCAUCCCUCUCUUGCUCAAGGUCACCCUCUUCAUCUCUUCCUCCCUCAAUAAUGGCCAAGAAGUCUUCUGAUCUUACUAAGUUUCCAGCAGAUCCUAUCAAAGCUUGAUUUUGUGGACUGCGCUUUGCAUAUUGCUCCAGAAAAGGCUCAGCCUCACUAAGGUAUACAGAAGAAGACAGCAUUUUGUGUCCAUACUUUCUGCGUAUGUAUACUGCCCUGAGAAAGAGGUUAGAUUAUUAGAUGCUUCACAUAAAGAAAUGUAAGUGAUCAUGAAUGAAACCAUGGAAAUGAUUCCAACAUUACCAUUCAUCGAGCAUUUUGCUCAAUUCCCUUUGCUUUGUAGGUGAAGUAUUCCAUAUCUUCAUUUGUCUACAGAAACAGGAAAUUUUUAAAUGAAAAGUAAGCAAAAUAUAUCUGCUGUAACAGAUUCUUUCUAUUCUUAUUGAGACCUUUAAGCUUCACCAAAAUUUCAUUUACCUCAAAUAGUAGGCUUUGUAGGCAGAUGGACCUUCUUUAAAGAGAAUAGACAAGCCAUUCCUGAUCAAAAAGGUUCGCAACUGCACCAUAAAGAAUCAAAUAAGAAACUAAAGAGUACUGCCAUGAAAUUAGUUAGUGUCCCACAAAAGAAUGUUCAUUUAAAAGUUCUUAGAGUUGAAAACAGAAGUUCUUUAAAAUUUCCAUGAAGUAGCAAAGGGAAAGUAUAUGAAAUUUCCUUCAUGUCAUUAAAGUUGAAAAGUUCUUUAAGAAUUAGGUAAUUGGUUUUGAAAGCUGGUUAUUUACAUACUCCAAGGAACUAGAAGUUCAAAGAGAAAGUUAUCCAAAACUGUGCUUACAAACCAAACAUUCAUUCCCUGACUUCAAAAAUUCCUUGACUUUCCACUGUUCCUUCAAUCAAAACAAUGUCACAGUUUACACUAAAUUUCAUUCCUUGGCUUUCCACAGUUCCUUUGAUCAAGCAAUAUCACAGUUUUACACUAAAUUUCAGCAAAUGAAAUUAAAAAAAAAAAACCAAGUUAGAAGAUGCAUUGUAAUUAGCACAGUAGAAGCCAACUGAGGAAAGGAAGAAAACAAAUGUUGUAUCUGUAUACUUAAUCUACAAUUUGUACCAUUGUACUUUCUAUCUGAAUAUCUGUUGUUUCAAUUUCAAUCAACAAGCAAGAUAUAGUUAAAUGAUAGAAUUAAUGAUCAACACUUGAGGAAGGUUUAACGGAUAAAACAGAAAAAAUUCACCACCAAUGAUAUGAUUAAAGGAUCUGUAGCUCAUUUUAAAGAGCAUGCAACAUGCUAGAAGCAUUGGGAAACAAGUAGAUUAACUAGAAAUCUAGCUCCAUAAAGCACCUCCAAGGUGUAAUACACCCAGGACUUCUCUGUCAAUACCCGACAUCCUUGACAGAAAGUUUUGACAUGUGCACAGAUCAUCAAGUGUAAUAAAGCAUGCAUCAACUAGAAAUUUAGGACCCUAAUUAUCGCCCAAGUAUUACUACAUCCAAGGCAAGAUAUCUGAAACAGCCCUUGAAAAGAUAACAGAAAAAUCAAGGUAGUUGCAAAUAGUAAGUGCACUGGAGUUGAAUGCACAAAAUUUCUUAUAACUACAAUAGGCACACAUGAAGCAGAAAACCAAGCCUGACUAGGCUCAACCUAAUAAGAAUGGUGAUGCAUUUCAGUCAAGUAAAGAGGAUCGCGGGGAAUGUCAGUUGCAGUUUACCUUAUAUGUGAGAAAUUUCAACUUGAUCAUCAGAUUUGCAUCUUCAUCAGCUAAACUCUCAUUUGUGAAAGUGCCAUUAUUCUCAUCAACUUUUUUUGCACCCUUCUCCGUUCCAGCAAUUUCAGCAGCCUUUUCCUUGUCUGCCUUGAAUAAGUUUAAGUCGACAAAGAAACCUGUCAAAAAAAUCACCAAUUAGCAUCCAACAGAGAAAAGUAUGUCAUUAUUAGUCAAAAGGAUAUUCAAUCGUACAGAUAAGGAAGCUGAGAAUUGCAAAACAUCUACGAAAAAGAAUGAAAAGCAGAGGAAGAAGAAAGGACUAUAGCUGAAUUACAAAGCUGAUGGUACCAAAAGCAAUAUGGAUAAAGCAAAAAUGGCUAAAGCUGGAAUAGAGCUACAAGAAAUAGACAAGCAAGCAUCAAUUUUCUGAAAUUGGCUACCUCCUCCACUAUUCUCAGCAUUUGAAAGGAUUAGAGAAGAAGAAUGGAUUUAAUCCCUAGUGCAAAUCCCACAAACUAACUGGAAGUCUACCAUAUGACCAAUGGCACAGCUGAAACCAGUAAAAAAGCAAGCACAGCAGUGAGCUUACCUCGAUAAAGUGGCCACAGUCCUGGUUUGUUCCUGAGACAUGCACAUCCCAACCCGUUAUUUCAGUCAAAGAAUGAAAAACUACAAAAAUAGAUUUAGCAGCAAAAGUAAAGUUAUUUCCCAUCAUUAAGAUAUCAAGACAAAUUAAGUAAAGACCUCAUCUCUUUUUGAUAUCGCCGAAAUGCUGAAUCACUGUGUACAUGGAUCACCAUUUUGAAAUGAAGAUUAUUGCUAGAGACAGAGUUGAUCUUUUGAUAGUUAUGGUACAAUUUAAAAGCAGCUGGAUAGCGGUUUUCGCGCAUCAAGCGAAUCAUUUCCUGAUUGAAAUCAUCAAUCAUAGAAAUGUUUGGUAAGAUCAAUUGAAUAAACUCUUGCAAGAAAAUUUGACAGAUUUUGCAAAAUGAGUAUAUAUAAACUGGGAAAUGACAAUAAAAGAAUAUCAAAUGACAGAACCUCUUAAAGCAAUCUCAACAGGCAUUAAAAAACUCUUAGCUAAAUUUGUUUGACUGAUUUCAUUUUUAUCUGAAAUAAAGACAUUAAAUCAAAGCAAGACUCUUGGUCUCUUACAUCAAGCGCCUAAGAAAGGUUCCAAAAGCUCUCUUACUCCCACAGGCAAUGAGGCUUUAUUUGUAAAAGAUCAGUGGCACAACUUAUGUAUGAGAAUGUAUAAAUGAAUACACCAAACAUCUAUGUGGAGAUACAUUGUUACACGACCGCAUCAUGCAAAACAAUGCCAUUAAAAUGGAAGUUAAAGGGAGAUACAUAAAACACCACCUGCAACUUUAUUGUAGAAAAAUCAGCAGGCUGUGCUUGCAGGAACUUUGUAAGAGCCGAACGAUCAACAUUUCUUGAAUGUGGGUCGGACCCUUCAUUCCCAAACCAAUCCAGAUAGUUUGGGCAGAAGGAAGUGCCAACGCUCUGCAGAAGUGCCUUGAUUUGCUGCAAGUCAUGUAAGAAGCAAAAUUGAUAACACAUCACGAGAUACUUGUGUACCAUAAAACUUCAAAUGUUAGGAAAGCAUGUUAUCUGUUGAGGACGAAGGUUACCUGCUUCUCAUCAGAUCUAUUUGCAGCACAAAUUUCUCGCAGGCUAGCUCCUAAAUCUUUUGCAUCUGCCACCCGAUACACAAUCACAUACAAUUACUACACAUGCUUAAUUCACAAUUACACAAACCAUAAGUACGUCCCAGUAGUUUCCUUCCACCUCAGAACUAAAGAAGUAUCAGAGAGAGAGAGAGAGAGAGAGAGCAAACACAAAAAGAAGGAAGCAAAGGCAAUUUCAGUUUGACAGCAAAAGCAAGAACAAGCAAUUGUCCAGAUAAUAAUAUUUCAAAAAAGCAAGUCCCAUAAUUCCAGUAUUUUACAAAUCAUUUUACCAUUCACGACAAAAUAUUUUAGACAGCAAACCCUUAUUUGAACCUUUUCUGUUAUCUCUUUAAUGUAGAUUUAGCAUUACAUGUGCAAUCAGAGAGUGGAGCUUCAUCCAAAGCAGGAUCAACCAUUAAUGGUCUAUAAACUCAUUGAAAGGUGACUUUGAGUUCAAUGGCUGAAUACCCACUCAGUGACUCCUAUAGCGUGACCAUGUUCAUCAAUACUGAAGGUGAAAAAAUAAACCUGUAAACAUGUUUAGCAGUUUGGAAGUGGCUUAAAAAAAGGCCAAAAAAAAAGAGGUACAGCAGAGUGAAUCGAGACAUCUUAAAUUUGUUGCUUAAGAUACGAUAGAUACAUAUCACUUGCUCGAGCUAUUUAAUAGUAGCAAAACAUAAGUUGAAAUUUCCUGGAUGGUAAGAAAGAAACUUCAUUGACAAUAAUCUCUGGUCAACAGAGAGAAGCAACUCAGUGACAAUUGCUUUUCCCUUCCUUUCUAACCCCUCAAGUUGAGUAGCACAAACAAAAUCCCACGUGAAAGUUGUUUCACAACAUCUAAAAACACUAGGCACACAGUCAAUAGAGAAGAUAAUUCCAGAUGGAAAUUCUUUGAACUUCCACAAAGAGCUAAUGAGGGCCAGCAAGAUUUAAGCACUUGAACAACCAAAAUUACAGAGAUACAGCAUGAAAUUUUACCUAGAUUCCUGUUACUUACAAUAAGAAACUAUGCCUUAAAAGCUUACACUAGUCUGUGCGUGAUUUGAACUUCUUAAGCAAAGGAGAUUGUUCACAAAUUGCAACCAAAAUUUUAAGGCAACCAAGAGAGAGAGAACAUGUUUUUCACACAACAGAAAAGGGAAAAUACUUUUUACCUUCAUCCACAGUAGGUAAAGGAAAAUCCCUUAGAACUUGUUCCAUGUCUUUUGAACUUUCAUGGCUUACUAUGCGAGCCACAAGACCUUCUAAAAUUUCGCCUUGUACCUUUAUGUGGUCUAUUGAUCCUGCAGCCAGUGAAAGAGAAAGGGCAAAAUUUUAGGAAUAACAAAAUACCUUGAUAAUUUACAGAUGUCAUAAAAGAAAGAAAACAACUCUGUCAAUUUAAGAAAGGCUCUAACAAUUACAGUAAUUUCAAGGCAAGAUGCCAUGGGCAUAUAUUUAUAUUAAAAAAAAACAAAAACAAAAGCAUAAGAGAGUUGGAGGAAUAAAGUCCACUAGCAUUUAGUACAAACUAUAGCUAGGAACCUUAGGCCAGCUUAAGACUUGAUGCCUGUACUGUCUAAAAGAUCUAAUUUGCAAUCAAAGCAGCACCAGCUGCAUGCUACUAACAGAACCAUACCGGCAUACAGUGCUGGACCACAUUAAAAUUGAAAAUGAAAAAUAAAAAAGUUGACAAGAAAAGGUAGAAUGAUGGUGAUGAGAAGAACUAGGUCUUAAAUUACAACCCAAUGAUGGAGGACGAACAAGUGCAACUGUGCAAGCCUAAUAACAAAUAUUCUGGAGAAAAUGAUAAGCAUCCAGCUACGAAGAAGAUAAAAUAUGACAUCUGCCCACUAAUUCUCUCUAAGUGCCUGUGUGGAUGGAUUGAACAACAGUCAUUUUCAUCUCGUAACAUCAGCUAUUAAGAGCCAAGAUCGAGUGGUUAGACUAAGGCAUCAGAAAAUGGAUAUAAAUCAGGUCUAUGAGAAUUGUAAACAAUAAAAGUCUUAGCUCACCACGAAAUCAAAAAGAGAUUAGUAACUAAAAAAAGCAGGGUCAUCAAGUAGAAUAUAAGGGACCACAAUGUUUAAAAGGUUUGCAGAAUGGUGAUUCAGCAGUAGCUGUCAAGGUGGUUGGUUUAUCUUGAUUUGCAUAGGAUAUCAUAGAAAAUACUAGAAAGCCAACAUCAGGAUAUGCUGCUGGUUGUAUAGCAUGCCUAAUGACAGUUAAGUAGCUGGUAUACAGAAGAAGCACAGUGAGACAACCAUGGCAAUACUAGUAACCUGGUCCGAUUCACAGACAAAAAAGAAUUGCAGCCACCUGCAACUGUAAUGUGCUAUACCUGAUCUAUACUGAAACAACAAAGGUGCUAAAGCCAAAUUUGGAGGACAAACAAGUUAUCAAAACUUGAGCUUUCCAUGGUUUCAACAAAUCACAUCAAAUCAACAAGCUUUUGCUUUACAAAUAAAGGCACUGUUCUCAAAUAAACUUCACCUGGAACAGAUAUAUCUGCAACUUCGUCAAGAGCCUGACAAACAGGAGAUGCUGUUCCUUCUUCACACAAUGCAUCGUAUGCAGCAAAAAAGGAUGUCACCGACUUCCUAUAGUAUUGAUGCAAAAUAUGUAUCAGGGCAACAACUUUCAUCUUAGAUUGCCAAAAGUACUCCAACAAAAAUAAAUAAUAAAGAAUAUUUUCUCCACUAGCUAGAAACAAUUUCAUUUAGUAAGAUGCCUUGUAACUAGUUUACCAAAAUACAAAUAAAAAGGAAGAGUUAAUCACAAAAUAAGAUGCAAGUACACUAAGACAAAAUUUCUGCCAAUUGCACUUGUUUAAGAAUCACCAAGGAAAUUUUGAUCAAUUAUGUCAAAUGAUGAUACAGCUAUUCAUGACCAAGCUCCUGUUUUGAAUGCUUAUACCGAAUAGAAAAAUCUUAAAAUACACAUAGAUGAAAGAAGGGAGUGCAUUAAGAACAGAAAAUCAAUAAACAUAGACUUCCUCUAAUCAUAACCAAUAUAAUGUUUGUAGUUCCAACCUCAGUACUGAUUUCCAAACAUUAAGAAGAGAAGAAUUACAAAGACAUCCUAUUAUAAUGAAGAAAGUGCAACAUCAAUCAAACUGAAAUCUACAACUACAGUUGUAUUCUUUCUUAAAAACACACAUAAAAGAGCAAUACCUGGUGGAGAGCAACCAGACAUGAUUUGUUGGAAGACGCCACUUCCGGCAAAAAGCUAUUAUUUCUGGAGUAGAAUAAAAUUUUGGUCUCCCAAUGCCCAAUUCUGUGACUGCUGUCACAACCACUGCAAGACAAGAUAGACGAGGCAUACAAGCUGAAGCAUGAGAACCAGACUUUCUGCCAAAUCAUAUCCAUCAAACUAAUUAUGAAAACCAAAACCUAUGGCUCUGCAAAAACAGUUGCACAAAAUUGGAGCUCUGCCAGACACUGGAUAGUUUAACUGUUUACAAUUCUAAGAUCUAUUAAUUUGAAAUGAAUGGCAGGAAGGCAGCAUUGAUCAGCUAACAAGAACUAAGCCUGAAGUAACAAUAACUUGAGUUACAGUAAGUGCCAAAUACAUAUAUAAACCCUCUUUGCUGGUUGAGAAUGCCAAAAAAAAAAAAAUAGCAAAAUAAUUGAAAAGUUUGGCCAGCAUAUGGUAGCACUUGUACCAUCCUUCCAUAACUACCAUGACUGCAAAAACACAACUGAACAAGUUACCAUUCUUGCAAAAAUACAUUAACUGUUGAACAAAUUGCAACUACUUAAAUGCUUCAAUUUUUAGCAACCUUCAGAAAAAAGUGCGCCACCAUACGUCAAGGUAUUGUGUCCUUUCAGGUGUUAUCAUCCCUCAAAAUAGAAUAACCAAAAAAGUUUAAUCUUCCAUGACCCAGAAAAAGUGUAUCUCAGCUUCAAUCAGUCAACAGAAGGAAAAGAAAAAGAAACCAGAAUAUCUGACCACAAAAUAUACCACAUUAAUGUAUAGUAGUUGAUAAUUUUCUUUUAUGCCCUCACCAUAAUCUUCUCGAGGACGUUGUCCAUGGUCUCCUAGUACAGCAGUUACCAGUUCCAUUGAUAUGCACAUGCGAUUCCGCUGGAAAAAAUUCAAAGAACAGAAUUCAUCAAUUCAUAAGGACAAACAUAUUGCUCAAUUACUAUAGCUAUUGGGCAUCAUGUUAUGUGCCACAUGUAUCGACAAUGUAAAUAUGAAGAUGUUUCAGAAUGAUUAGUGACAGGGUAAGUGAUGCUCACAUAAUUACAAGAUUCCAGUUCCACUUGCAUAUGCCUUAUAAGAUGAAAUUUCUUGUUACUGCAGCAACGCCCCCCCCCCCCCCCCCACACACACAACACAACAACCAAAAAAAAAAAGAAAACCCCACCCCACAGCCCCUCAAAAAAAUAUUCAAAAUCAGCCAAUAACAUCUUGGUCCAUGAAGUAAUGGUUCCUAGGAUGAGCAAUCAAUACUAUUCCUCAUCUAUAAUCUAGCUACCAUUUUACUCUUCUAGAUUAGUAUGGUGAGAGAUUCAAAGCAAUAAAGUCAAGCCUAUCCCCCAGUUUAUUCUCAAGAUUCCACAGUGAAAUACCAAAAGAUAAGGGUUUCUAGUCUUCAAGAAACUGCAUAAAAAAUAUGACGAAGACAUGUAAAAACUACAAAAGCACAUCAAAAUCAUAACAUAAAUGCCUUACUCAACCAAGAUAGAAAGUUAUCAUUGAACAACUCCAAAAGACAACUCAAAACUAAAAGUUCCUCGCAUCUGUGCUCCAUCAAAGAAGGAUCAUUAUUUUAUUUCUUAUGAGUAGGCUAUUUGCACCUUAUUUUCAGUGCAUUAGGAUUUUGAUUUAAUCUAAAAGUAAUGACAUCUAGAUUUUGUUGCACAAUGUCUAAAAAAUAAUUCUGUGGAAGUACAUUGAGAAAUUCAUUGAACUCUGCUUGCUUCUUGGUUGCUUGAGCACCCCAUGCCUUGUGAAAAGUCCUCCCAAGCACAAAAACACCAACAGCAGUGUAACUGCAGAAAAUAAGAAAAGUGAAAACUUAAAUAGAAAAGUCAAGCCAUAUAAAUGACUGCUAGAAUGAUACACAUCCAAGAUUACUGACAUUAUACAGAAAAAGAUGCAUAUUUUUAUUCAUGUAAACUUAAAAACAACUCCAGCAGGCUGGAUGUUCUCAAAUCUAUUCCAUUGUGAUUACCAAAUAAUUCUCAGAAAUAGUAUAAACCUAGUGCACCAGAAAUAACUUUAACUUUAUCUUAUUCAUCAAACCAUGUGGAAUUCAUCUUCCUAACCAAUUGCACUACUGAACCAAGAAUCCCCUGCCCAACAUCCCAAUAGAAUAAAUGAACUCCCAACCUCUACAAACGUGUUUCAUUCAGUGAUUGACUGAAUCAUCUGAAUGCACUAUAAAGCACAUUAUAAAUUUUCACACAGGAGGAAAUGACUGGUUGAACACCAAACCAAUCAUGCUAACGGUUCAAGAGAAGAGAAAACUGAAUGUUAUAUUUGUUUAGCAGUUCCACCUUGACCUCCCCAUAAAACUACCCCCACCCAAGUAACUCCACCCAAAACGAAGAUCAACAAUAGCAAAGAGGCAUAAAAUCUCUCAGUAGCAUACCAGCAAUGGAGCACAGUUCAGUAAAUUAAGCAAACAAAAGCAAAAGCUCCAUGAAAUAAGGUAGGAAAUGAAUAGAGGAUGCAAUGGUUAAUCAUGAGCAUACACGUUGCCAAAGCUGUUCUUAGCAUAUGCUCCUCCCUCAUGUCCAGCAUACAUGAAAAGAGAUCCAGAAUGCUUGAGUGAUACCUGUUGAAGGCAUGAGAACGCUAGAGAAAAUGAGAACAAUGAUAGUACACACAUCAAAAGAAAAAAUUGAGCUCCAUUUCAGCACAACUGAAAGGAAAUUAUGGAACAAAAGGAUUUGUAGAACAGAAAAGCUAAAUUCGUACCUCCAAUGUGGCCAAGCCUUUCGACACCAUCUCUAUCAUUCUUACUCUAAUCUGGAACACGAGAACAAUCAAGAUAUAACUCAGAAGCCCACUAACAAGAUUUAACUAAUGCUCAAAAAAGCACAAUAAGCUAUACUUUGGAGACCAAAUAAUCGAUAAUAUCCAAUUGGUAUGCGGACAUUCCCCCAACCACAUGACUAAAGGAAAAGCAGGAGAGAAAAACAAACCUCAUGAUCAGACUUCUCAUUUUCAAAUUUGGGGUAAAAGGUAGCUCUUAUUUGCGCAUGCGAGUAUGUUGAAUUGUCCACAGUGAAGUUGUCCAGUAAAUUACCCUUAAACAAUUUGCUCAAGACAGCAUUAUUUAAUCCACCUGAUGCUGCUUGAGCUUCACCCCCCUGAGCCGGACCCACCACUUGAGCAGCUGGUCCUUUUUCAACUUCUACAGCCGUUGCCCCACUUGUUGUUCCAUAUGACUUCGUCUCCCAAACGCCCUGUCUCGGAUUGUUGUUCACCAAUCCUACCCCGGCAAACUGUUGAUCUGGGGGAGGAACACUGGACUCUCCAUCAUUUUGAGGAAUGCUUAAUGAACUAAAUUUAUCAGUCACAGCUUCCACACCUCCUACAGAAGAAACCUCUUUCGCAGUUGAUGAAGGCCUGUCAGAUUUUGGCUUCUCUAUCCAUCUUUGUCCUCUAGCUGCACUCCUUGGCUGCAUUUUCAUAAAUCAGAACAAUGAACAGACAAAUAGUGCCAACCAUUAUAAGAAAUUAGGAAAAACUUAAAUGAGCAUAUCCAAAAUACAUAAGGAUUUGGUUACCCUGUAUUCUACAUUUGUCCAUAAAAGGUAGAACAGAGGAUAAAAGGUAUCUCUUAAAAGGUAGAACACAGGAUAAAAGGUAUCUCUUAUCAAAGUUACUAACAGAGAACCAUAGCUACUAUUUAGAUGGCAAGCAUUUCUAAACAAAAUUAAGCUCAAUAAUGCUUACGUGUUCAAGUAGAUGACAAUGCUCAUCUUCCACUGUGAGUACCUUUUUUUCAAUCCUUUUUCUGUUUCCUUCUUAUAAUCACUCUUAUUGGUGACAGAAAUAAGGAAAAGAAAAAAUUAUUCAACAUUGUAAACCGAAAAAAAAAAUUUUCAACAUCCAAUUUUGCUUCAACAUCUUGACAUUUUACCCGCAAGGAGAAAAAAGAAAACAAUAGCCAGGGUUAUAAAAAUAAAAAUAAAGUACCAAGUUGCUACAGAUGCAGAAAAUUAGAGCAAGAAUAAAUACUUAGAUACCAAAAAGGGAAAAGAGAUAGCAUUUAAGUCCAAACUCUAAAUUCCUAUUUUCGAUCUUUAUAGCUCAUGCAAUCAAACAGUGACCAACUGCGAAAAUGUUACAUAUUUAAUCCAAAACACAGCACAAAAGUAGGGGCAAAAGCAGGUAAGAGAAAGGAAAGACUCGCAUCGCCAGGUGGGCUGACAGCAUUGCGAACACAUCACAUAUCCAUUAGACAGCUAUAACUACCGUGUUCGCAGAAUUUAAUCAAGUCUUCUAUAAUUAAAAGAAAAUAUAACCAAUUCAUCAGAUAAGAUCACAAAAAAAAUUGAAAUAAAAUACAGUCACGUAAUAUAUGCCCAUCUAAAUAGAGAAGAAAAAGAAAACCUGUUUCCGUUGCAUGGUGGAGUGAACCAGUGAGCUGCUGAAAGAGAUGGAGCGAGACCGGAGAAGAAGAAAGCUUCUGGAAGAAAUUAGAUGAUGAGGUGAAGAAUGAUAAUGCGAAGAGGAAGAAGAACGAGAAUAGAGUGCUAGAGUGAAACCAGAGAAUAUUCUCUGAGAAACCAGCCCCCUCGACAACAUCCAAGUUUUCCAGAUAGUACAACUUUGCUAUAAAUAGUAGGGAAGAAGAGUGGGGCGGUGAGUGGUAAAACUGCAAUAGCUAAGAAAUAGGACGUCAAAUACUAAUUUACGAGCACCGCGGACACCGCCUUAGACCGGCGUCGAAUCAGAAUCGUUCUACUGUGAGACACUGUAGAGUGAGGAAAAAAAAAUAAGGUGCAGCGCAACUGCUCAAGGAAAGAUUAAUUAACUCUUGGUCGCAGAAGACUCGUUCAUUCAGUCAAUGGAUUUGUUUGGAUUGAAAAUUAUUUGUCAAAAUUUAUUUGCUUAUAAUAUCAAUUUAAAAUAUCGCGGUAGUCUGUAAUCUAUAUCAGGUCGACGUAUCGUGGUCAUUUGCAGUUCACGCUUCCUCAGGUUAAUAUUUUAUUUGUGUUUUUCUCAUUUUUUACCUCGGGUUAACCUUCCAGGUCGUGGCCACAUGAUGACCAAUUUCUUAAUGGAUAUGUAGUCAUAAAAAAAAAAAAAAAAAUUCCAUGCGAAGGGUCUAGACAUUAAUUAUUGUCAAUUACUUUCUUAACUAUCUAAUCUCCCAGAAUUCCUAUUCGGGAUAAUAAUAGUUCACAAUAAGAUAUGCCUUGAUUUUCAAUAUACCAUUUUUGUCUUUUUGUUGUUAAUCAGACAAAUCUACCCCGUAAUAUGUCAUUUUAAAAGUUUUCCUUUUUAUCUCUACUUUUUUUCCUCUUUACCUUUUCUUCCCUUCUUUUGCCAUUUUCUUCUUUCUCCUUACCGUAUUUCGGUUGAAGGUGGCCCCUUCCACACUUGAAGGAAACUGAGUCUGACUAUUUGAAUAGGAGCAGGACGAUUUGAUUGACUGCACAUUUUCAUUUGAUGAAAAAAUGAAUUAGUUGUGCUAACUUCUGAUUCUAAAUCUCAGAGCCUUCAGCUAAUUUACUGCCUUUGCUUCCUAUGAGCGUUUUGAGGCAUGGGUUCUGCCUGCUUUUGUCAGCUCGCCAGGGACGCAUUUGAAAGAUCAAUCAAUGGCACAAGUAUGGCUCUAACAGAAUGAUAUAGAUUGCCUCUCUUUCAGCUUCUUCCUUCCUGCGGUCGAAUUCAACAACUUUACAUUCCAGUGAGCAAUCCAUGUGCCAAUGGAAUGGAGAUGUAAUAAUUUAUAGUGGAUAUUAUUGCAGUAUGGUAAAUGGUCUCCAAGUGAGUAAUGUGCCUUAGCAUAUUCACAAUAUUUAUGACUACCAAUGUUUGCCGUGGCUCUGUUGCUCUAAGCUGGCAGCUUAUUUUGUCAAACUAUAAAAGUCUAAGGUGAAGAAACCCCCUAGCAGUUCACAAUGUUAACUAUCUCCUCUUUGCUGCAAAAAAUUUCCAUAUUUCGGCGUGUAAACACUUACUGUCAACUAAUGGCCUGUCUUUAUGCUUCUAAAUCAGAACUGUUAAAGCAUACUUGAGGUACACUCUCUGUCGGCAAAAAACUCGUCUGGGGGAUUUCACCAAGUACUUCCAGGCCUUCUGUGCCCGUGUCUUCGGUGUCUUUUAUCGUAGGUGUUUGAUCCACUUCUGGAGCCAGCGGACCUUGAGGGGUUCCAAAAACAGUGGUAAAUAUCUGUCUAUGGCAUUCACCGCAGAGAUAAAAAUAGGUGAAAUGGCCCUCAUAUAAGAGCUUGUGCACCAUGGCAUCUGGUAGUACUCGCUGCACAAAAUCGCUCAUUGCUGGAGGGACAACCUUAUCAUCCAUUCCCUGUUUGACGUUGGCAAUUCAAGAUGCAGCAAAAGAAAGUCGCCAGAAUUAAUAUGGUGCUCAAGUUCUUGUUUUCAACAGAACAAGCAUAAAAUGGACAUCUUGCCUUUGUACAGAAAAUAGUUGUAAUAAACAGAAAUGACUUAUUCGUUAAACAGUUUGAGAAUUUGGCACGCCAAUUGCCCAAUGUCAAAGCAAUCAGGGUACAGGAGACUGCAAAAUUCAAAGAAUUUGCUGAUCAUAGUCAUCGUACUACAAAAAGCCUUCACAAGCAAUUCGUUUAAUGGACUUCUAUCAACAUGGUUUAAAAUCUUAUGACAAAAUAUACCAGUCACAACAGACAUGAAGUCAUCAAUUGCAUCAAAACAAAGGGAACUAAAAUCCUCAGAAAACAGUCACAUUCCUGAGAUAGAUGAGAUUCUUUUCAUGGUAAAGUCAAUUAAAGCAUACUUGAGUAGCAAUGAUGCAGACAAUACACUCACCUGCCAUAUGUGAAUUGGACCAAGGAAUCCAUUCAUACUUUCAUCUUCUUGUUCAUAUAUGGAUUUGAGCCAAACCAGAAAGCCUUUUCCCUUGUGUUUCUUUUUUACUUUGAGUUCAGUAAGUUUGAAACCCCAAUUUGAAACCUGUAAGACGGCUUCCUGUACAAAAGGAUUUGCAUUCCCUUGUCGAACAGAUUCUUCCACAUCUCUUUGCCAGGACUCUUUGAACAGUGGAUGCUCUAUCAAUGCUCUAUCCUAGAAAGAGCCAAGAUUUGAGUAAAGAAUGUCCAAAAAGGAAGUAAUUUACCCUCCUAUGCAAAUUUUGUUUGAAUAGCAUUAUAGUAUAAAAAUUAAAUCAAUAAACAAUUAAUUUUAUGGUUUCCAUACUAAAUCUUACCACUAUUCUUCAAUUAGUUUAACUAAAACAAAUCUUGCAAACAAAAAGAUGUCAAUGCAUUUCAAACAUCAUCAGAGUCAAAAACAGAAACCAUAGUCAAGAUUACUCACCCUAUUUCCAAGUGCCAAUGAAAGCCACUUGUCAAUUUGACCAUGUUUCCCAGACAGGAAGCUUCUACGAUAGAAAUAAGGGAGUAAUCUUGGAAACUUUUUAGCUAACGUAUACAUUAGCUUCUUCUUUCCAGUCCAUUUUGCCCACAUUCUACGCCUCUCUUCCUUAGUCAUACUUGGGUCAUAUGGAUUUACCAUCGGAGCAACCAUGAUAGCACCUUCACGUUAAAAUCAAGGCAGGGUCAGAACCUCAGAACUGAGAAAGGAGGAAAGGCAUUUAAUUCAUCUCUCAUCAUCAGGGUAUGAGUAUUGUUCUGGUGACCGUUCAAAGCAGCCAUCAAUACCCACUGGUACUCAUGAAACAUAGCAUUUAUCAGUACAAUUCAUGUUGGAAUGUGCAUACAGAUGCAGAACCAUGAAAAAUAAAAAAAAUAACAGCAUAGGUAGACAUUAAAUUAUGGAUAAGCAUCCAAUGCUCCAAUAAUCUGGAAAAAACUAGCGAUCUCUCCGGCUUCACAUUAACCUUAUUAGAACUGGGGUUACCUAUGUAGUACCUUUGUCCAUUCAGUCCUCUUGCAGGAAAAGUUGCCCACUACAGAAAAAUUUAUGCAUCCUUAGGGUAGUGUAGGAUAACACUAAAUGACGAAUAACUUUUCAAUUUUUCUCUUCUGAAGAUAAAAUCAUCUUCAUGGCUGACUUCAAGAAUUAAAAGUUCAAAAUAGAUAAGUACCCUUAAACAGAAAUAUGCAAUUCAUUGAGACCGUUCAUGAAAGUAUGCAAAAGUGCAAAUUCUGUAACUUAAAGUCCAAAAUUGACAAAUCAGCCUACUUGAGCUUAAACCAGUUACUUCAUAAGAGUAAACAUGAGAUCAUGUUCAAACAUCAAUCAAUCAUGCAAAGGAUGAACUGACCUGCCACCCUAUCAGGAAUGAAUCGAAGGGCAGCCCAAGCAUGUAUGCUCCCACCAGAAAAUGCCAACACCCAGAAUUUGUCAGUGAUAUUCACACUAUAUGAUAGAUGUACCAUAUCCAGAGCCGAUGAUUCAAGGCCACGAUCAGGAUCAGGAUCGCUUUCCCCAAAUCCUGGAAGAUCAAAUGUCACAAGCCGAAUACCGAAUUCUUGCAGAAGGGAAUCCCUAAUACCUGGUAUUCCUGACAUAAUAAAAUUUUGGAAACAAACAAGUGAAAUGUGAGGUUAAACCACUCUUUGCUCAUCAGAUCCUUGGUUAAGAAUGUGUUGCUUCAUCUCUAUAGAAUCUACCUGCCAAACGAGAUGAAAGAAAAGAAUGUGGCACAAUCACAGAAUAUCUAGCCUGGUCAGCAGGGACACCUUGCUCCUUAUAAGCCAAAUAUCUACCGUUUGGAAGCAAUAUACGAGUAGCACUUGGAGGGUGUAUGCACAUUUUCUUCACCAAUGGAGUAGAAGUGUCGUGAUCAGUAUUUACAAUCAAUACUGCAGAUAGAAAGUGCAGUCAGAAUGAUCCAGCAGAAAUAGGAAGAAGAAUGAAAAGCAGGUGUGCACUAGGUUUCAGGAUGAAAAAAUUAUCUUCAUCGCCUCAUUCGUUUGACAACUAUAUAUAUGAUUGCUAACUGUGAAGUAGAAUCUAUGUUUAAUUGCUAACCACCAUUAGAAUAUAUCAAUCUCUGUUAAUUGUAAUUAGCACGUUUGAAAAUUUUAAUUGAUUACCAAGUAGAUAUUAAUAUCCAAACUGCAUUUCAUCAAUAUAAAUCAAUCCUCAAGAUGACAAGUUCUCCAUGAAUUUCUUUAUCUCGCUCCAAUAUUCCUUAGGAAGGUAAUCUCGGUUUUAUUUCUCUGUUGAUAGGCUUUGUUGUCCUGUCAAACUAAAAUUCGAAUCAUCUGUAAACCUCAGCCAAUCUUGCGUUUUAUCUGUAUACCUCAAACAUGUACAAACCUGUGCUGUGCAGUCACAUGCAUGUCCUAAAUCAAACUCAGCUGAGCAAAAUCAGGAUAAAAUAUAGCAUGUCAUCGCAAAACUUACAAUUACGUGGAUAUGCUACAUUACUUUCACAACUUAAAUAUUAUUGUAUAUUAUACUUGUUUACUCUGCUGAUUUUGAAACAAAAGAUAAUUACAAUCUCAAAACAAUUUAAAGCAGAAAAUCAAUCAAAGAGAAUCACUGUAAAACACUGUACCGGUAAAAGCGAGAAGUAAAACGAAAAGAAUCACAGUCCACGAUUGGACAGGAUCGCGAUCCUCGGGCAGAUACUCAUUCAAGAACCUUAAUUUUCCACAGAUUCUCUCACACGGUCCUCUCAACUUCUUCACAAUCACAGAAUCUUCCCUCACAAUGCUCUGCUUCACUACGUCUCUCACUCCCUUCCCGAACUCCACACUCAUCUCCGCAAAUCCUUUGGCAAACUCCACCACGUGAUACCUCCAGUCCUCCUCGGCCGCCUUCUUCGUGGCCGCCGCAGCAGUGCUCGUGGAAUAGUAUGAUCGAUGCGGUGGUCCGGUGUCGUCCUCCAGUCUCACGAACUCGUCUCCCCAUGUUGACCUUGACUCAUUGACUUCCGACAUUCCCAAAUUUUCAAAAUUCCGGUACAAUUCCAACUCAACUUCGCCGCUCCUGAAUGGCGUAAUCCUCACGCCUCCUCAAAAAUUCAUACUUUCCAUCAGUGCGUGUAGUGUGUGUAUUUGCUUAUAUAGAAUUGUAUCAGUAUGAGAUGUAUAUAAUGACGGUGUGUAUAGACAUAGGUGGGGAUGUAUCUAUAUAUGGAAAUGCAUAUACCAUAUCAAAACAAAGGUGUCAUUUUCUACUUUGCUGAUUCUUUUUAUCUUUAAUUUUCGGUUUGUUUGUAUAAGCCAUUGGAGGGAGAGAGCCGGAGACUAGCAAGCCGUGGAGGCUUUUAACUGGGUUAGGAAAGCGGAGAAUGGAGAGGGACUGGAGUGUUAUUUGGAGAAAGUGUUGGGGUUAAUGGAAAAAAGGGACAGAGUGAAGCUGGGGAGAUAAUGGAGAGUGGAGAUGUGGCCACGUAAGUGAGGAGAUGAGAGUGAGAGACAAAGGCAGUGACCCGGAGUGACAGCGGUUGUUGGUGGUGGUGGGGACGUGGUUAGUUAACGACUGUUACUUGAGAUAGCCGGUUGCCCGCACCGGAAUCUUAAAUUUGGUACACAUAAAAAUUUGCCCACAAAUCUACCAUGAUUAGGGUGAUAUAGUACUAUCAAACGAUGAGAUUUUGUGCGUUUGGAUUUUGGCCUCAUUAGCUGUAAGUUGAUAUUUUGACAUUGAGGACAACUUUCUAAUAAUUGAUCAAGACUUGAACUUGAAGGAUGAAAUUAGACCAAACAAAUUUGGUAAGAUGCAAUGGAUCAGUAUAUUUUUCUAAAUUGUCAGUGUAUCACUUACAAAUUUAGAUGCAUGACACAUUAUUUCAAUUUGAAUUUGAACACUAAAUUUUACAUAUGUAACAUGCAUCUAAAUCCUCUAGUAUAUACAGUUAUAAAGAGUUAUAAAGGUAAAUUUUGAAGUUUGAAAAGGUAUUUUUUUAACAUUACAGACCAGUACAAAAAAGAAAUCAAGGAAUGAACAGUUCAAAAAUGUAAAAUCCAGUGUGUUUAGAUAGUAAAUUAUUUGGAAUAAUUUUUUUAAAAAAAAUAUUAUAACAUUUUUUCUGACGUGAUGUAUGUAAAAUAAAAAUAUGAUUGAAAAAUGCGUUGAUAAUGCAAGCAAAUAAAUUUAUACUAAUAAACCACUGACCAAACAAAUUUGGAACGAAUGGUGUGUGCUCCUUGUUGAGUGGCUAUUGGUUUUCUAAAUUUACUGAAUUUGGCACUGUUAUAAUAUUCAAUUUUUAAGAACUAAAAUCAGCAUUUGUAAAAGUACAAAUUACUCUUAGAGGCUUAUAAGUUAAGAUUCACCCGUUCACUGUGUCCGGAUUGUACUUAGAAGAGAAAAAAGAGGCCAAGUUGAAAAUUAGUCUCAAAUUUUUAUGCACAUGGAAAGGUCGAGGAGUGGGCAAAAAGUCUUCGUCAGUCUUUCUACCAUAAACUGUUGACAUUGAUGAGCGAGCAUUUUAACAGGGACGCGUAAGCAGCUUUCGUUAGCAAUUACUAAUCCUUUCUUUCUCAGCAAAAGACAAUAGAUGUUAAGGUAAGGUACGCCCCCACCGUCACCGCCGGCAUGCACAUCAGCACAUGCAGGAAGACAGCAGGUUUAUUUAUGGUAAGCGAUGCCUGUCCGGGGUAAGCCAAGCAGGGGCGGCUGGACUGAAUCAUUGGAGGAUUGUAUAGGCAAUUGUUUAGAGGUUGGCGUGAGAUUUUAAAAAGAGGGCCGCAUGCUGAUGUUGCCAAAUAUCUAGACCUAAUUCUUUUUGCAUUAUUCGUCAGUUACUAAUCUAAUCCUACUUAUAAACAACAGGAUUCAUUACUAGGCCGAUAAUUGACUUCUAAAACUCCCAUGGUUGGAAAAGAGAAAUAGUAGUGUAGUGUAGUGUAGUCCCGUGGCCUAAUAAUUGCACGUGAAUCUCAAUACUUCCAACCCAUAGUUUAGCCUGAUUUGAGUGGCAGUGGUCCAAACUACAAUGCCACUUGCCUAAAUGAUGCAAUCCAUGGACUGUAAGCAUCAAAGAGAAUUGCCAAAAAACAAGGGGUCGGGGUGUUGGGGGAAAAAGUACGAGGAUGUGGCGCACGUACCGGUCAGGCCACCAUGAACUCAUUUCCAUACUCAACAACUACGGAGCAUUUCAGUUGCGAGAAAAGCAGAAAACAUGAUUGCUAAUACAGAAAACCAACAACCCAUUUUUUUUUUUUUCUUUCUGACAUUUUCUCACGAAAGUAAGAAUUUUUUGCAAAUAAACCUAACUCCCCCGGCCCAUUUAACUCUUUGCAAAUAAACCUAACUCCCCCGGCCCAUUUAACUCUGUGAAUUCCAAUUUCUUUCUGCCGGUUGAUAUAGAUAGUCACGUGACACACAUUGCUCCAGUAAUUGUUUACCUCCGGCAUCAUGAUUCCUGACAGUGAUUUGAUAACUUGGAUCUCCUGUAUCACUACUUAAUGCUUCGCCUCAGAAAUCUAGCCACUACUUCUUUAUGCCUAGAAGCCUGGAACUCCAACACCAUUAUCCACAGGCAAUUGAGGCUGAGAAACAGUAGUGUAGUGCUUAUGAACAAUCAUUACGUCAUCCAUAUGCACCAAGUGUAAAAACCAGAAAGCAAUCGCACGAAAGAUGCAUUAUCUAAAGUUGGAGAACCCCACUUUUUGGAGUACAAAAUACAUCUUCAGUAGACAUUCUUCAAAUGCCCAAGUAAUAAUAAGCCGAUUUGUUUUUCUUUUUAUUCCUACGGAUGAAGUCAAAAAGCUUAAGCAGAAGCCGAGUCUCCAAUCAAUUCUAGUAUCCCCAGUAGUCGUUGCGGAUUUCAUCAUCAAACUUCUUCCUGAGUUCUGGGUGCUUCUCAAAGUACUCGUCUGCUGUCAUGGUACUGAGUUUCUUCUGUAAAAACCAUUGUAGAAGAUUUGAUAAACGAGAAAUAACGUACCAUGCAAGCCUUUGCUUCCACAGAGCCAAGUAAGAAAUCAAGUACUAUGGAGAGAAAAGAGGAAGGGGUGGAUCUGAAACAAAGAAAGUCCAACCUUCAGCUCUUGAACUUCAGCAAUUUCCUUCUCCAGUCUUUCAGACUCUUGGAGUGAUUGUUGCUCAGUGUCUUUGAGCUCCACCAACUGCAAGAAAUGAGAGAAUAUGAAGUUCUUCUUUUACAGUGCUAUCAAACAUGCAUAUCAACACCCAAUAACAAUUUAACUUUUAACUGUAUUUACUAAUAAGAAUCGACUUCAGCCAUAACAAUUUAACUCUUUCUCACCAAAGCAUCAAAUUUCGGCUUGUACUCUGGAGUAACCGUAUCAACGUAUUUUGGAAUCUCAACGCCUAAAAAAAGAAAAAAUCCAUCAAUAAUUUUAGACCAAAUCUCAGAAAAAAAAUUGGUAAUCAAUAUACUCUUGGUUUCCAAAUGAAAACUAUCUUUUGGUUAAAAACAAAAGCAGUACUACAUUUUUUUAUAACUCACAUCAAUACCCUCAACAUGCAAACACAUUUAUUGGUAAUAGAACUAGUUAGAGCCCAUAUGAGAGAGUGAUGUCAUUUCGUUUUCUACUUUUCAAAUUCGAAGUUCCAAGGUUGAUCUUUAUCAAAAUGACCGAUACUGCAUAAAGUAAAUGCAUGAACCUAUGAACUAAGGUUGCCAGAAAGAAGCUAGGUAAGUAGAUGGAUCAUACUCUCAUAUGCCUCUUUGUACAUAUCAACCAAUUUAGAUCCAAUCCCCUUUCUGUAAAAUUCCCAGUCUAUGGGCUCUGGUUCCUGCAUGAUUUAGAAAGACAGCUGGACAUUAUUCUCACAGAAAACAACUAGUAGAAUUAUUAAUUCAAGCUGAUUAAGAAAUUGGAACAUAUAACUAUGAACAAGCUAAUCAUAUAAACUCUUGCAGGAGAAGAAUUUCAUUAGUCUGCUUGAUCUCGAUACCAUAAGAUGAAGCAAUCAUGCAGGGUUUAGACGGUGACAAGUUAAAUAAACCCACUGUCAACAUACAACAAAUUAAUCUCCAUACACAGAAUUAUUGAUUACUUUGCAUGCCACCUGUGAAGGUAUUAGUUAACAAAGAAAGGAAAGAGUCUUCAAAAUCCUCUCUGCAACACCCAUUAACAUGAAAUUAAAAAAUGCAAGAAGUUUUAAGCCACAGAGAAUAUGACAUGGUGGAAUUAACCACUGCUUAUUAGUUGAUAAAAAAUGCCAUGAUGUCUGUGCUCUUCACUUUAGCAUGUCAACUGUUUAAGUUUUAGCCAAUGAAAAUAAGAACUGUGGUACAUCAUGAUUCUUUAGGUAAGAGCAUGUGUUAUUUUUUCACAAUUAUGUAAGCUGACUAGAAACACAAAUUCCAUUAAAAAACUUCGUUUGAGAAGCAUGUGGUGCGCCACACAUUCUUAAGCCCCAGAAGGCCUUAUGAAACUUGAGUCAACAACAAAAUGAAAUGCCUUUCGUUCUCUUUGCAUAAGCCUACAAAGAUGGGGACAUAAACCAUAAGCAAAAUGCCCUUGACACAGCCUACUAUUAUCUAAAAGCAGUCAGCGAUGUGCACAAUUUUUGUGUGAUGAGUCAUGGCAGUUCCAGUGCCCAGUAUUUGUCCUUAAUCUCUCAAUAAAGUCCAUUAUGCUCACAACAAUUUAGCCACUGAAGAAAGGUUGCUGUAAGGCAUCCAAAUGUAACAAAGAUCAGUCCACCAAUUCUAACCAAUCCAUAUUUGUAUAGGAAAUCAAAUUCACCAGAAUCCACUAUAUUCAUAAAUUCAAAAUAAGCAACCAUAUCAAUCAUCUUACCCACAUACUAUCCGUGAAGCAUGGCAAACAAAAAAUAGGGAAAAAAGAAAAGAAAAUGAACAAAGAAAACUACAUCCCAUGCCUACUCAGUAUUAAAAUCACACAAUAUUUCAGCACAAAAAAAGAAAAAAUCCAAUAAUCAAUCCUUCUAAAUCUAUACCAACUCAAUUUCAACACAACCGGAAGAAACCAUCAACACCCCAUCACCCAAAAAACUCCUCCAAAUGAAACAAUCAAAUCAGCAUCGACUUAUUCAUUCCAUGCUACAUCACAUCAGAAACCCUAAUAAGCUACGCAAUCGCAGAUCCGUACAGUACAAAUCAGCCAAAAUCUUAGGUUCACAAAAUCCAUCGAUGUACUAGGAGAAAAAAAAUCAUACCUGGCUGAAUUUAGUUUGCAGCUGGGAAUUGACUUCGUCAAAUGUACGGCGGAGAUUGGCGAACUCCUUGCGAGCCUCAUCGGAGACGAUGAGCUUCGCCAUGCCUUCCCAAUCGAUGGUUUUCCCGGCCUUGAAAGUCACAUCGGCUAUCUUCUUCGCCACUCCGUUCAUUUUUUACACACUUUCACACACUACCGACGUGGACUAUAACUCACUGAUUCUCUCCGAUUCAGCCACAAAAAAAUGCAGAGAUUGGAAAUGUUGUUCUACCAGGCAAUGCCUAUGUCUAUAACCCUUUCACUUCGGAAUAACAAAAGAAUGAUGGCGAGGACCAGGGCUUAUACCAAUUUUACCUUAACGGAUUUACUUUACUAGUACCAUACAUUUUAUCUUUCUAGUAGGCUAGUAGAGUUUUACCUUCAUUUUUCUUUACCUUACCUUAUUAGCCCGAUGGUAGGAAAAAAAAAUUUUGACUAUGGUUUGUUUGGAUUGCUUCAUAUUUCCCCAAUUUUAUUUGCUUACAUCAUCUUUACAAUUUCCAAUACACAUUUUUAUCUUCCCAAUAUCUUUUUAUCUCACAUACAUCACAUCACAAAAAGUAUUACAGUAAAAAUAUCCCAAAUAAUCCCAAAUAACUUACAAUCCAAACAGACAGAAUUUACUUGCCCAGAGGUUUGAUCAGAUUACCGAAUAAACCCUGUGGUUCAACCAAACUACAAAGAGACCCGUAAAGUUAUAGGAGAUAAUUUUGGAAACCCAAUUCGUUAUUUGACAAUUUUACACAAUUCCCUUGGCGUUUCAAAAAUUACACAUACCUCCUUUCAAGUUAUCAUUUGAUAACAAAAACAAUUCAGUGGUCAAAAUUUUGGAUAAAUAAUCCAAAAUAUUCUCAUGAUAUUGUGAAGUUCAUUUUAUUUUCUUAUAAAAUUCUCAAAAAAAAAUUGGAACAUAUAAAACAUCACAAAUUCACUUUCAACCUUUAACUCUAUUAUUCUAAAUCUUCCAUAUUUACACAUGCCAAAUCAGUACCAUUAUGUACAUGAACACUAUGACCAUUAGUUCUAAAUUCUAAAAUCUCAAUCUACAUGAAAGAAAAAAAAUCAGCAAUAUAAAUUUCGAAAGUGUUUCACUAACUACAUUAAUAUAGCACAAUAUCACUCAAAUGUUGGAAUGCUAACACUAGUCUUGUCCUUCUUAAACCUUUUGCUAGUAUCUUCUUCUAUUUAUCUCUAAAUCCUCCAAACAAAACUAAAAUUAAUUUAUAAUAUGUUUAAAAUUGUAUUUAUGAAAUAAUUGGUUAUUUCAUAAGUGAACCUUGUUUUUGUUUCUUUUUAAUGUCUAAUUUAUGAAAUGCAUUCAUAUGUGUAAGAUUAGGACCGGAUUGUUUAAUUAUAUGAAAAAUGAGUGUACUUGGAUAGUAGAUUAUCUAGGAUUGUUUAAUUAUAUGAAAAAUGAGUGUACUUGGAUAGUAGAUUAUCUAGAAUAACUUUUUGAAAAAAAAAUACCGUAACACCUUUUUGAUAUGAUACAUGUGAGAUAAAGAAGUGAUUAAAAAAUAUGUUAAUGAUACAAGCAAAUGAAUUUUGACAGAUAAUAUACUAUCUAAAAAAAUGUUAAGCUUGUUAUGGUCAUUUUAUUAGGCUAAGGGAGAUAAGUGAAAUAUUGAAAACUUUAAGAAUAUUGUGUGAAAUGAUUAAAAAUGUCUAGGGAGGUUUCUGAAAUUACCUCAAAGUUAUAAUAACAAACUUUUGAUUGGAUGUUUGGAUUGUGUAUUGGAAACUCUUUUUCAUGGAUACAUUUCUAAAUCAUUUUUUUACUUCACACAGUAUCAAAUUAUUACGAUAUAUUUUUUUACAAAAAUUCUUAAAAAUAGCAAUCCAAAUAAAAACUCUAAAAAAUAAUAAUCCAAAACUCUUAUAAUAAUAAUCCAAACAUAUCAGCAUAACCUUAAAUUGGAAAUCCUAAGAUAACCGCGAAAUCGUAAAUUCCUCGUGCUGUUUUUCUACCCUAACAACCAAAGCCCAAACUUGAUGGCAACGCAGAUUGCAGAGUUUCCAUAAAUGGGCUGCUGUCAAAAUUGCCGAGCCAAUCAAACUAGAGUUAAGAAUCCAACAAAACAUCUUUAGAGUGGUUUCCUGAGUGAAAAAAUCAUAUGCGGAAGUAUCUGAAGGUGAGGUGCAGGUGGUGGUGACAUUCACGAUCAGUUUUGUAGAAUUUUGCAGAGGCAACUUCGUUCUUUUUUUGGUUUUCUAUUUCUUCAUUUUCCCUUCAUAUUGGAUAUCUAUAUAUCAAGCCACGCACACAUCCUUUUUUUUUUCAAACCAACAAAUGCCGCACCAUUAUCCAUUGUAAUCCACUCGAAAAAAAAAAGCCCAAAACCAAUUUAGAUAGUUCGGAUGUGUACAAAACCUAGAACAACAGGGGAGAGGAGUUGAGUCAUGAGUGGCGCUGGUGCCGGAUCCAGAGAAGUCGUCGAAGGUGGGGUUUGACUUUGAGGAACUUGCCGCAGCAUCCCAAGCCCAAGGGAGUCGCUCAUGGCUUCUUGCAUUUGGAGCUGGUAGGCGACGCCGUGGUCCUACUCAACGGUUUCCGCCGCCGCGAGUUCACGGCAUUGAUCGGUGACGGCGAGUAGUGUUGUGCGAUCGCCAUCAACUUCCGUAGUUGUUUUGGCGCCAAGAUUGAACUCUGUGACGUCAGGUAACCGCCGGAUUGUUUGGUAAAAUAAUUGCUACACAAAAGUUCGCCUUUAAUUGAGCCAGGGACUGAAUAAAAGUUCGCCUUUUACUUCAGCUUUUCACAGAUUUACAUCUUUUUUUUUUCUACCCCUUUUGGUUGGUAGUAACUGCUUUACUUCCACUCUUUACGUCUUUAUUAUUAGGCAUGUCAUUCUGGUCGGAAAAUUAUUGGUUUAAAUAGGGUCUAAUUUUAUAAAACUCGAAUCCAAACUCAAGCCAUUACCAUGGGAGCUGCUGAAGAAAACUUUUUCCUCCAUGCAAUAGAAUCGAUCGUGAGCCCUCCUGCUAAUUAUGGACAAAAUCUAGGCUAGUGAAACACCACAGGAGGUCGACCAAAAAAAAGCCGCAACAUCAAAAGAGGCAUUUGUGUGUGUUCCUAAAAAGAUCGAACUCUUUACUCUACUAUAUAUUGAUCUGUGCCAUAGAUAAUGAUCCCUUGAAAUGUACGAGCUAGCAAAUAUCGGAAGUCCAGUAAUAAGUUGUACAUCGGCCAUAAACAUUCUUCUAAACGCAGGUCUACCGCGCCUAAGUUAAUAUAUAAUCCUGUCCUCAUCCCAGAGUGGACAAUUACAAGUGGCUUUGUUUUCCUUCCACUCCGAUCCACAUGUAUAACAAAACUGAUGUCCGCAUCUACACAGACGACACAGAGAAAAGAUCAGAUUAAACAAGUGGGAACCAGCAUCAUCUUAGUGUCAACAUCUUAGUGUCAAAAAAAGAUUAGCAAGAAACAUCAGGAGGCUUGGAAUAAGUACUUACCUCGUUCUUGGUUUCACAGAAGCAAGGAAAUCAAGGACAAUUACUCAACUGUGGCCUUUGAGUUGGAAAGCAGAAAUUGGUGAAAAAGGGGAGCAGAAUAUCUCAGUCUAAGGUUAUAAAUUGGCAGGAUGUAAGGUUUUAUGUGUAGACCACAAGAGAUAAAAAGAUAGAUGUGGAAAUAUGACUGAGCACUAUCAUUAGAUGAGAAACUAAAUAUUAACAGCCAAUGACACAGUCUCUCCAAUCUAAAACUGCCUCUGUGAUUCUCCAUCUUAUUAAAGUACGUUGAGUCAAUCAUUUUGCCAGAAGCAACAAUCUGCUGGAAUAGACUUCGACUGAGAUUGACUAAGUCAUAUGGCACCUGUAGUUAGUAUGAAUUGUUAUUAUAUCUGAUCUGGCCUGCUGUCUGUUAUACUCUACUUGGCCGUGGGGGAUGUCUAUGUAAUGCAAUGACAACAGAGAAGCAGGUCGGUGGCCAGUUAUAGCUUAGAAACAAAAUCUCUUAUCAUUUCAAUUUGAGUUAUUUCCGACACAAACUAUUACCUCGAGAGCAACAUUAGAGGCAAUUACUAAGAAGUAUACAAACAGACAAAAGUACCUGCAAAUUAUGUGGUAGCAACCUACAUCAAGUUCAAUCAUAUGGCUGCACUUGAUGCACUGUUGCCACGAGUUCCUCUUGGCAAGUGAACUUAGCAUUUCAUCCUCUAUACACGAGUAAGGGUGCAGCUCUUUGUAGUCAGAACAGGUCAUCUCAUUGUGCCAAGGCACCUUGCAAUUGAUGCAAAAAGGGCCAUGACACUUGAAGCAUAUCCUACAUCCGUUUUCAGUAUUUUUGUUUCUGCUUUUAGAAUAAUUCAGAACCUCUGUUUUUGACAUCAGAUUUGAGCACCGUGGGUAGGGACAAUAAAUUCUAUCCAGAACUGGAAUCUUAGCUUCCUUCACCCGUUGAUUCAAGACCUCAACUAAUUCAGGGCUUAAUACAUUUAUGCACUUAUCAAUCUUAAUGUCGGAAUGACAACCAUCUUGAGGACAUUUAGGCAAAGUUCCCUCACGCAACUUCACCUCGAUAUGCUUUUUCGCACAAGAGGAACAGCAUCUAUGAGUGCAAUUAUGAACUGAAAGCAUGUUGACCACAUCAGUAUCCUCCAUACAAAUUUCACAAGUUUCUUUCGAAAUUACUUCUGGACAACUCACUUGGGGAGAUUUAGCUUUCCUUGCAAGGUUAUCCGCUCGCCUACCAAACUCAGCAUCAUCUUUCCUGACAAGAGAGGGGCUGCAUUCUUCAAAUUGUGCUCGUAGGGAUUUCACCCUUCCGAUUGUUGGUAUCAUCCGUAACUCCUCUGCAGUCUCCAUAUUCAACCCCUCUUCAGCGUUCUCAUCAUCUAUCAACUGCAGAUGGGGAAAAAUUUGUCAGUUUUUACUUAAAUUACUUGCUUACCAUCUAGUGGAGCGAAAUGUUAAGACUCAUGCAAAUCUGGCAUGAGAAGGAAAUCGAUUUAACCAAAGAAAUAGAGCAAAAGAUUUACGAUAAGGACUGGAGACUUUCCACAAAUACCAACUCAAAAAGUAUUUUUCCCCCCCUCUAUUCUCCUUGAACGGGUUCCACAGCAGUGACCACUCAAAUUCUACUGCAACAAGGUUUCAUAAAUUGCCUUUCACCCGCACAAAGAUUCUUCUGCGUCGCAAAACUCUUCAAUGUAUAUGAAGACGAGUAAUGCUCUACAUGUUUUAUAUAACACCACACCUCUUAUAUGACACCCCACUUGGUAUAAGCGUUCUACUCCAUCAAGAACUUCAAUAACAGCCACUACCCUUCGAUUGGAUCACCAAUUCUCAUUUCAAUUUGAUCUGUAAAGUUCUAAACAUUGCAGGACUUACCCCUAGUAAUAAUUCUCGAGAUAUUUGGUUCAACAAGAAUUGCAAUAAUAUCCCCCCACCCCAACUCGACUGGCCUGGCCUCCUUAUAUUCGGUAACAACAUUAUUGUACGCGUACAAGAUACAAACCCCUUCAAUACGAGAAAUUAUUAGCAUCCUAUAUAUUUCAAGGAAAAGGUACAGGGCUCCCAAAUUUUUGUGGGAUUGUCUGAAAAUUCGGGGCUAAUGUACACUAGUAUGAAACUAAAAAUUUGUUUGCUAUGAUUAAACUAAGAAAACCAAAAGCUUUCAACUUUAUAACCUCCAAAAUUGUCGGAUUACAUACAAACAAAAAGAAAAAGUAAAACAAAAUUGUCAACCUGCACUUUUUACUGGAAAAAAAUGACUCACAUAAUUGUAAAGCUUGCGACUCUUGCAGAAAAACCUCAGCCUCCUAAUCCCAAGUUGUUUAGCACUAGUUAAUCCUUCAAUCAAAGCCUCAAGUCUCGCCUCUAACCGACACGUGUCUCCUCUGCUAUUCAUGGCCUUGCUCGACUCGAAGAUCAUAUGUUUCAUCGAAUCACAGAUUACAACUCCAAUUCCAAUUCCCACCCCACCCAUUUCCGAGUCAUUAGCCUUCUCUUCCCUCACCAAACCCUUGAAAUACACUGAAUAAAUCUCAUUUUCAUCAACCGAGGAAGACGACGAUGACGAGGAGGAGCAGCCCUCGACAUAAGCGUAGUCGACGUUAUUUAGGACUUCAGCGUUCUCCAUGUAACGGAAUUUGGCGCCAGUACAAUGAUUUUGCUUUUUUUUUUUUCCUUUGGUUUCUUGUUUUGUCCUCCCUAACUUCCACUGCUGUUUCUGAGACCUGAUGAAGGAAGAGCUUGCCGGUUGGCGAAGAAAUAUAGCACAGAAGGGGCGUGGAGUGAAUCUUAGUACAAUGAAUGAACUUUAAUAAAGGUAUCAGAAAAACGAAAAAAAAGGAGAACUUUGAUAAAGUGGGUGCUUUUUAGGCUUAAACGUAUUGAAAAAUAUGUGAAGUAAAGUUGCCUUGACUUCCUCAACACGUUAUCUUAUUAAUCUACUCAAAAAAAAAAAAAAAAAAACUCAAGGAUUAUUAUAUUUUUUGUUUGUGUAGGUUACAUGCUACGCAUGUGUCAUGCAUUAAUGGCCUAUUAUGGCUAGGUUAAGCUUUUUCCAAGAACGAUUACUUCAAAGUGAUUCUGAAAUUGCUGCUUGAAAAUAUUAUACAUUUUCAAGAAGCAACUGUUUAGCAGAAAAUGAUGUACUGAAAAAAAAAAAAGAUGAGAAGUAUUUCCAAGACAGGUAUCAUUCCUCUGUGUAGAGGCAGGGGUAUUUUGUUGUACAGCCUAAUUUCUUGGUCAUUCCCAGCGCUUCAACGAUAUAGUUUUGGAGAAGACCCUACAGCUUUUAGUAAAUGAAUUUUAUCAAAAUGGAACGUCGUGACCAGCAAUUAGAAGGUGAUAAAACAAGACCAUUAUGAAACGACAAUAAACCAAACAAAAUUCAACCAUAUGUACAAUAAUUUUGUCAUUUCCUGCGACCAUGCACCUAGAUGGCUAGGUCACGAUACAUUCCUACAGAUGUUCCUCCUCCCCUCACCCCAAAAAAAAGGAUCACAAUUGAUUGUGAUGCUACUCACAAACUCAUUAAAUGAACUCAAAGAGUACGUGGAUGGGUGCGGGUGAAGGUGAUAGUAGCUGAUUGUUCAGUAAUAAUCAUCUGAAUCGGAUUCAUAAUAAUCCUCAUCUUCAGAAUCUUCAUCAAACUCUUCAUCUGAAUCAUAAAUGAUAUGAACAUUAUCCCAAAGUGGACAAGAGCAUGUUGCUUUCUUCUCCUUCCACUCAGCUCCACAAGUGUAACAGAAUUCAUACCCACACCUGAAGAAAACCAUGUAUGUCAAUCAUACUGCUGAAAUCAGGUUAAGAAAAUUUACACCACAUACAAGAACACGUGCCAUCGACAAUUUCAGCUCAGGUUUCCACAGAAAGAAUUUUAGGACAGAAGCAACACAAAUUAUGGACGUUACCAGUCAACUCUAAUGCUUGACAUGGUAGAACCGUUCCAAUAAUCAGGCGGACCACAAAGUAUCCACCGGUCUUGUUUCAUGAUCAUCCUCAGAUAUCCACAAUAAUUAACUUACUCAACAUGAUUAUGACUAUAAUAAUGAAACCAAGUCUUCGAGUGUAACAACAUAUGACUAAGUUAGAAAAUUUAAGUAACUAUAUCGCUACUGCUAAACACCCAAAGAAGUAUAAUCCUUUUUGUUUAAGUGUAUAUUCAAUAUUUUGUUUAUCACUUGGUCAUCAGCUAAGUGGAGCUGGAAGAUAAAUUAGUACCUGCAAGUCAUGUGGUAGCAACCCGCAGCAAGUUCAAUCAUGUGGUUGCAUUUUACACACUGACGCCACAUAUUUCUUUGUGCCAGAGUCUUUAACUUGAGGUCUUCUCCAGGAGGAUUAGGAUAUCUCUUCUUGUAAGCAAAGCAAGUCAUGUUAUUAUGCCAAGGAACUUUACAGUCGAUACAGAAAAGGCCAUUACAUUUUAUACAUUUUCUGGAUCCAGAUCUUCCUACAUCAAUGGCAGAACUUCUAGAAUAUUCUGAAACCUCGCCUUUCGACAUCAAAGCUGAGCAUUUUGGAUAAGGGCAAUACACUUUCUCCGUAACAGGAAUUGAAGCUUCCUUCUUGCGUUGCUUCAUAAUCUCAACUAGCUUAGGGGUCAAAAAUUUGCUGCAACUAUCAACUUUUAGUUCACAAUCACAGCUUUCAUGAGGACAUUUAGGUACCAUCCCGUGAAGCAUCUUGACCUCCACAUGCUGUUUCAUGCAAGAGUAGCAAAAUCGAUGCAUACAACCAUCAACAGAGAAAAUUUCGUCAAUACUCAUUUCCUCAAAACAUAUGACACACGUCUCAUAUAAACUCCCCUCAGCACUAGUGUCUGUAGACCUAUUAACCUGAGAAACUAUUGCUUCUCUUGCAAGCUUAAACGCAAACUUUACAUCAUUUCGAGCCACUAAAGAUGGGAUGCAGUAAGUAAAUUUUUCUCGGAGCUGAGUCACUUGAUCAACUAAUGCCUCAAUUUUCCGCUGCUUUGGAUUCCAUCGACCAGUAACCUGCAUCCCAAAGAAAGUAUCAGAACUGCCAAUCUUGAGUUGUCUAUCAAGCUGAUUGCUGGUUGAACACAAUAGAAACCAGCUAGGAAAAUAAUAAGAACCUAAUAAUUUUUCUACAAUUUGGCUUCACAAAGCUCCAACACUUGCAUAAACAUUUGAUCAAAAUAAAGCACGAAGAUAACCUCAAGAGUUAGGUCAAAAUAAGCAUUUUGCAGAGUCACCUAAAAACACGAUGGUACAGAUAUGGCAUGCCCAUAUUGCUUCGCUAACACAAACUUCCAUGGUCAGGCCAACCAUAUUCAAACCUCAAAAUACCAAUGCAUGCCUGCUCAUUCUCACAAGCUAAUAACCUCCAGCAAAAGUUUCUGGAGCUAAACGUUUUUUGUCCUUAAGUUUAAAUUUCCCUUCUUCCUGCAAGUAAUAUAGCCACACCCAGAUGACUCAAAAACAUUUGACCAUCUAACCUACUUCAAUAUCCACUAUCAGCCAUCACUCCCCUUCCUGCUAUUGUCCUGUUUCCCACACGAGACCAGGACCAUCAAAUAACUCAUAUGCCUUACCUGCAAAAUCACCUUGCUCUCGCCCUCCCGUCCUUUCAUCGCCACUAGACAAAUUUAUGCUCGUGGCUUAAAGAAGAAAAGACACAGCUUUUCUCUAUUGGGUUGAAAAUAGUUGGUGUGGAUAACAAAUUCGUAUCUAACCGAACUGAGCCUUAGUUACAGAGCAAUUAGAAAUCAUCCAAAUGAGGUACUGAUCACUGCACUACUAAAAAAUGUGGCUAUGCAACUAUCAAAAUCAAAUACACAUUCAAAACACAAAUAAAAAAGAUGCACAAAUACGAACUAAGAACUUACAAAUUGAUAUAUCGGAAAAUAGUCGCAAUAAAAGACAAUCCUUGGCAAUUCCAACGUCAGUGCAGCAUUCAGUCCUUCAAUCAACGCCAUAAACUCAGCAAUCCGCCGAUUGAUUCCAUUCGCACACAACGGUUUUCUCACUUCAAACAACAAUUCGUCUCUCGAAUCACAAAUUGCCACUCCAAUCCCACUGAAAACCCCACUCUUAUAGCGACCAACAUUAUCCUUCACCUUAACCGUAACUUCACUCUCCACCAAACCCUUAAAGUAAACCCUUAAAAUCUCGCUUCCCACACUCUUCGAACUUCCUUCUCCAAAAGGUCGCUCGAAAUUACCCCCAAUUUCCUCCCACUCAUCCUCCGGCAUGUUAUCAAUCUCCUCGGCCAAUUUCUGAUCGUGAAUCCGACGGUGGAGAUCGUCUCUUAUUUUCUUAAACUCAGCUUCGGAGAGUAACCGGUCUUUUAUUUCUUGCUCGAAUUUUAAGAGCUCGAUCGAUUGGAGGUCAGGGACAUUAUCUUUUGAACCGUCCGGUUUAGCCAAAUCUCGCGCGGGAGAUCGUGGCGACGCGGCUGAGGUGGAGGGCACGAAGGAGAUGGAGGCGUUGAUUGCUUCCUGGAGUUGGAGACGGAAGGCGAGGUCCAUGUCGGAUUCUAGGUCUUUCGCCGCCGCGAUUUCGCGGCGUUGCUCGGUGGCCAUAGCUCGGAGGUUGUCAUCGGGACUGUCCAGGUUUAUUCGUGACGACAUCGUUCGCGCGGUGGGCAAAAAUCGGAUUGUUGGGUUGUCUUAUUUAAUGGGAUUUCUGAAGGUUGACGUGGGCUUCAAUCGACUUUGACCGAAGUGUAAUGGUGGGCUCCUCAAAAACUGAAAGAUGUUUGACAUAUAUCAAAGUGUAUAAAAGAAAUUUGAUUUUUCUCGCAUAAAAUAGAAAAUUUAAAUUGAAAAAUUUUGGGAUGAAUUACUCCAAAAUAUUAAUUGAAAGUUGGUUCAUAUAUAAGCUUGCAAGUUUAUUCAUGCACAAGUUACUUGGUUUACUUCAACAUCGUGCUAGUUGAUAAAAAAUAAUGCCAAAAUAAUCCAAAUCCUAAUUGCAAAGGAAAAUCGUUUAAAACAUUCUUUAUAUUUUAUAAAAUGGCUUUUUUCGUCCCUCAUAUUUAAAAAUAUAAUUUCACAUUUCUUACAAAUUCACAUCAGUCAAAUUUGGUUUAUACCUAGGUUUGCGAUUAAUUUUUUGUCGAAAUCUACCAUGUGCCUUCCAUGUGAUCACGUUUUAGGAGUAAAAUUGUCAAAUCAAAUUUUGCAUAAUCUGAUCCAUAGUCCCUCAUAUUUCACAAAAUGAAUUGUGUUGUCCCUCAUAUUUCAUAAAAUGAAUUUUUCAUCCGUCAUUGAUCAUGUAUACGAAUAAUUCUUUAUUUUUAAACCGAUUUAUAUAUAUUUAUUUGAUUUCAUUUGAACAGUACGAAUAUCAUGUAAUAUAUAUCUAUUUGAUUUCAACUAAACAGGCUAAUUGUAGUUUACAUAUGCUAUUUAAUAGAUAUAUACAUGGGUUUAAAACUAACAAUUUUGUUUUAAACCCAUGUAUAUAUCUAUUUGAUUUCACUAUAUGAAUUUAUUCAAUAUUUGUGGCCUUUUCUCAUUUGAUAAUAAUUUAUUUAUUAAGUUGUAUAAUAAAACCAUCUAAUUAAAUGGGUCAUAACUUGAAUUCUAUAGUCAUGCUAACAAAUUCGUAGUUUUUAUUUGAAAUUUCUAUUCGAUACAUUUAAGACCAACAGUUGAAUUACUUGUAUUUUAAUUGUUUUAAAAUUUGAAAGUACCAGUCAUUUAUUUCUUUUUUGUCAUUCUUUUCAUUUGUUUAUUUUUUCUGUCCAAAUUUAAUUCGAUAUAAACAUUUGAUAAUGUUUAUGAUUAAAUGUCUUCUUUGCUUUCAAUUUUCAAGUAAAAGGAAAUAAACAUGAGUGAAAAACUAAUUUUUUUUAAAUCCACGUAUAUAUCUGUUUGAUUUUACCUGAACAGUACUUUUAGGUGAAAUUAAAUAGAAAUAUAUUAUUAAACAGUAUGAAUAGCAUAUAAUAUAUUUUUAUUUAAUUUCACAUAAAAGUACUGUUCAGGUGAAAUCAAACAGAUAUACAUGAAUUUUUUUUUUAAAAAAAACUAUUUGUACACAUGAUCAAUGAGGGAUGAAAAAAAUCAUUUUAUAAAAGAUGAGGGACCAAAAAAUUCAUUUUGUGAAAUAUAAAGGACUAUGAAUCAUAUUAUGUAAAAUUUGAUUUGAUAAUUUUACCCUUUAAAAAUAAUCAAGUGCAUGAGAUAUGGUGGAUUCUGGCAAAAAACUAAUCGAAAACCUAGGUAGGGAUCAAAUUUAAUUGAUGUGAAUUUGUAAGGAAUAUAAAAUUAUAAUUUUAAAAGUAAAAGAUGAAAAAAAUUAUUACGUUUUAAACGAUUUUCCCUUAGACACGAGAGAUUUUUCAAUCUUUAGAAAUCAAUAAUUGAGACUGGCCCGUUAACUUUUAUAGCUUAGGCCAUUGUUGUUGGCUGAUCACAGGACCUGUAAAUCAACUCGCCGAGCCGAGGUACAAUAGAAAUGUCCUGCAAAUCAACGGUAGCCUAGCCACAAAUAAUGUAAAAACGAUUGGGUUGGACAAGACAAAUCUAAUGUAACAUGGAUCGAAUAAAAGCUAAAAGAUAAAUGGCCCACAAACCUUGUUCCUUUCCCAAAAAUUUAUAGCCCAAGUCUUUUUUUGUUUUUUGGGGACGAUAUUCUUUGCCUAAGUUAAUCGUCCAAGAUAAGAAAAGGAUUUCAUGUCACUUGGUCCUAGUCUUGUUGAAAAUUGUUUAGGGUGACUUCCAGUUAAAAAUAUGUAUAUAUAUAUUUGUUUGGAGUGCAAGCUUGGAAAUAACGGACCAAGUAACAAACAACCGAGAUUGAGAUCCUUGAAAGUGUUGCUUAAUGUCUCUAAAACUGGUAGCCCACAGAGCGUGGAGAUUUGCAUAGUCGAAGAUGAGAAAAGGUAAAGAUAGGUACUAUGAGAUUUUAAGUCGUAGCCCAACAUCUGCUCGCUUGAAAGCAAGAGUGAGAUCCUAAAAUUGAUGGGCUUAGAAAUAAAAGAUAAUGUGCAUCUGUCCACAGGCCCAAAAGAUUAUAAAAAGCUCUCUUUGACUUUCUCACUUUGGUGGGCUUGCGAGGUAUUAACUAGGGCUGUAAUCGAGUCGAGUCGAGCUCGAGUAUCACGAUACUCAAGCUCGACUCGACAUACAGAUAGGGGUGCUCGAGCUCGAGCGAGUAGUAUUAUUGAAGCUCGAGCUCGAGCUCGAAACUUGCUCGCAAUACUCGAGCUCGACUCGUAUGGACUCGAGUCCAUUUGAGUCUUAUCGAGCUCGAGUUAUUAAAUUUCAUUUUUUUGAUAAUUUUUGAGCGAAAAGACAUUAUUACCCUUUUAAAAUUUUUAUAUGACUUGAAACAUUUCGUAAAUUCGACAAUUCUUUUGGGUAUAAGGGUAAUUUUAUAAUAAUAAUAUAUUAAAUAUUAAAUAUUAAAAUAUUAAAUAAUAAAAAUUAAAAAUAUUAAAUAAUUAAAAUUAAAAUACUCGAUAAGGCUCGUCGAGCCUUCGAGCAUCACUUCUGGAUGCUCGAACUCGACUCGAUAACCUUAUUGAGCUGCUCGAAACUCGACUCGAACUCGGUUUGACCGAGUUCGAAUUAAGCUCUUGACCGAGCUCGUGAGCAGCUCGGUUCGAUUACAUUCCUAGUAUUAACGUGCCAUUUAAAAAAAAAAAAAAAUUCCACAAAAUUUGAACCUAAAACCCCCUGUUUUGCUGCACGACAAAACCUCCCUGAGCUAAGUAGCUAACGCGCCUUUAGGUGCAUAUCAUUGCAAUUCUGACUCAGAAAAUAGAAGUUCCUCCCACCCCCCAACCCCCCUUCCCUCAAAGAAAACUGCAAAGUCCAAACUGUACAAAGACGAAAGGGAAAGGGGAGGAAUUCAAAAGGAAAAUAUUUUUGAUAUAGAAAUAAAGUGCCAAAGAAUGAAACAGCUUGAAUGGACUGACUCUGCCAGAAUACUACUGUUUAGUUCAUCUUUUUCUCCAUUGUGAGCAACGUGAUUAGCCCCUUUGUGGUCAUAGAGUAACUUCAUAUUUGUUUCCAUCACUUUCCAACAAUUCAAUUUUGGAGAAACUCUUCAGAUACCUACAACAAAAACAGCUUACGUCUUAAUUAAGCAACACUCAGAAAAUCUUCUUUUUUUUUUUCUCUUUUUUAAGAAAUUUUUUUUUCUCUAGAUGGUCUGCUCAGUAUAAAAAUUGUGUCCGAGUUCUAUGUAUUAGCGUAGAUCAUGGAUCAACUGACAACCAUAAUAAAACUGAUCGAUCAGUCUGGAGCUUGCAUUCCUCAAAGACAAUUCUAGAUUGAAAUUAUGAGUAUGGGACAAACGUUAUUAUGGACAAAGAAAUUAAUUGCAUUAAUCUUUAAUAUAGGUGCUUCCAGAUGUGGUAGGCUGCUGCAAAGGGAAAGAAUGGAAUGAACUUGGUGGUAAAUAAUCAAAGUGGAGAAAGAAAUUCUUUGAAAGAGAAAGAUCAUUGAAGAGAUUGCUGGACAGGGAAUCAGCUGAAAUCCAAAAAAAUACACAUCAAUAUUUGUUUUUUUGGAAAAAAGGAGAACUACGAGACCAAAUACAAGCCAACUUUCUGAACGUUCAAUUCACAUGGAGAUCAGGGUUUGAAUAAUAUAAAAGAAAAGAAAUACUACUACUCAGAAGACAAAGUAACGUGCGUCCUGUGUCUCAUAUUCCACUAAAGAAAGAUCCCUGCAACAUCGACUCUAUAUCCUUUUCCAAUUGAGCACAAGGGUUCCUCUUCUAAUUAAGCAAAAAAAAGAUCUCCCCACGGAAAGAAAAAAAGCAAUAUUUGAUAAUUACCAGAGAUGAUGGAAUUGGUUUUUAUGGUAGAUAACAGACGCACCCCGGAUCCAACGUCUAAGAAAACAAAAAAGUUAAGUGGGAAACACAAGACUCAAAAUCAUACUACAGAUGAUCUUCUUGUUCUGAACCGUUUGGUGGCUGCCCUUCCAUGUACAUUUUACACCUUCUUGAUUGCAAUUUCUGCCCUAUGCAAAAACAAAUGAGAGACACUUCACCGCGUAUUUCAUUGAUGAUCAGCGGAUCCGUAUCUAUAGUCACACAAAAAGAUCAUGCAACGCGUUUAUGCAAUCAAUCACUUCUCUGCAGCAACUUUUGAGAUUGCCCUUAAAAAAUGGAGGCCUCAUAUCCCUGAACUCGUGCACAGCCAAGAUCGCGUCGAAGUUGAGCUGCUUUAAUUAAUCUUCCCAAGCUAGACACUCAAAACGGUACCAAUUUCUCAUUCUGCUGGCUGUUGCCAAAACUUUUAGUCUAAUGAUCACUGGCCAUACAUACAGAGUCAAGAUUUUCAUGGACACGCAGUUCAACAAUCUCGUUAUUUUUAUAUACGGUUCGGUUGAUGGAUGCCUAUUGGGGAUUGAGGUGUUAGCGUACGUAUUUUAGAAAAAAUAUAGUUAAUUUGAAAAGUAUCUAAAUGCAAAGGGUGCAUUAGUUAUGACUCUGUGUGUGUGUGUGUGUUAACAGCAUAGGUUAGAUGUGAUUUAUGUAUGUAAACAGAUGCUCAUACCUCAUUAAAAAUUGACACCCAUAAAGCAUUAUUUGUUUCGCAACAUUUUGUUACCCUAAGUAGAUUGAACUUUGAUUUAUUUUUUUUAGGGUCUGUCCAAUGAGCACCCCUUAAUAUAUACAUAUUUCAAGUGUUAGACUUUUAGAAAGGUAAGAUUAAUUAGAAAAAGCGUAUAAAUGCAAGAUAUGGUAAUAAUUAUAAGUAUGUGUCUAUAGAUGAUAGAUCAGGUGAAAUUUAUGUGUAUUAUUAACGUAUAUGAUAGAAAAACUCUGUUUUUUUUUUUUCUAAUUUUUGGUUACGACAAAAUGUGACGGAAAAAAAAUAUGAUACGGGAAAGGGAAAGAAAGAAAGGAAUGUCGGCUUCAUUCCGCAAUGUGGGGUGCAAUGAGAAUAGAGUUACGCAGGAAGGAGCAGAUGAUCAAAGACUACUGCGCAACAACAUGCAGCGAUCGUCGAUCAUGUUCAUACGCACAGAACAAUUAUAUAAAUCCAAAAGGUGUUUCCACCGUCUAUAUAUGUUGCAAUCAAAAGGACGAGGAGAAAUGGUGACUAGAGCAUGGAAGAUCAAAAAGAUUAGAUUUGGACCCACAAUUUAUUGUCAAUUAGGAAACUUUCUUGAGAAUUAAGCAUUAUGAAUAGAAAACAAAAAUGCCUUCAUUCCCAGCACUUCAAUUAUUGUGCGUUAUUUGUUCGGGGAGAGUUCCCAUUCAGAUUUUUUCUUCUUUGCGUUUUCCUUUUUUUUGUUUUUGUCAAUUUAUCUUUUCGGUUGCGCACGAGUUGCACAAAGUACAAAAGGGCAAGCGAUAAAUCAUAAAAUAAACUAUGGGAUCCAUUAGUGUCUCUUAUGGUAAAGCAUCUUUCUUUCCACAUCUGAAUAGGACCCAAAAUUGGGAAAAUAAUGACCAUAAAGAAAAAUUAAUGCUACUAUAUACACAAACUAGAAUUCCACGCGUGCAACAAAUCAUAAGCGUUGGACCAGAUGAUGGGUAUUGUAACCAAGUCGAUAUUCAACAACGCUGGGGGAAAAUUGCAGAUUGGAUGGUCUACAAAUAAGAAUUAAAGAACCCUAAAGGAAAUGGUUACAAAUAUAUGAUUUUUUUUUUAAUGAAAAGUAGAAAAAGCUAACGUGCAUAAAAAAGUACCAAUCCCCAAUUCUUCGAUUUCCCUGAUCUAAUUUCCCCAAAUCUCUAAUUAAAUCCAUUAAUUAUUAAACUUCAAUCCAGCACUAGCAAUGCAUAGAUUAUGAUGUUACAAUUGCAAAAAUAAAGAAGCCCUCAUUUAUAAAGUUUAUGAAGUAAAAUCUCUAAUUAGAGAUUUGGAAAAAUUGAGAGACAGAUAUCUAAAUUAAGAAUUGGAUAUUGGGGCUUGUGAAGCUUUUUAUUUACUCCAUAUUCCCUUUGGUUUUAAGGGUGCACAUGUGGUGCAUGUGACCAGCCCCUUUAGGGUUCUUCAAUUUUCCACUAGAAUUCACAUAUUGGCUGUAUUUUAUGCAUGCGUGAGAUUAAAUUGACAAGUGGUGACACACACACAUAUAUAUAUAUAUAUGAGAUCAAAUUGGCCACGACUCCAAGAAUAAAUAAAUGACUAAAAACAGUUGUUUUUAACGUUGGACAUGUUGCUGUACAGAUGAUCGACGUCCCCAAAAGACUUUCUCUAGUUUUUUUUUUUUAAAAAAAAUCCUACAUUAACUUUAUUUUGUAGACAUGAGGGACUAAACCGAUAAGCAAUGACAUAUAAAUGAUCGACUUGUUCGGAAUCCCAAAGAUAAUAGACUAAAAUGUCUGUUUUUAAAUCUCCAAAGCAUCAAGACGUACAUUAGAUUAAAUACCAAAAGAGCAAUUAUUUCCAAGAAUCUCCGGGUAAAUUUAUAGUACGUAGGUAGGAUAAUACGAAGUGGGCAUUGGCGUUGAACUAAGGCCUAGUGAGUCACAUGUUGUGCAUCAAGCAGGCUUUGAAAAUCUUAUGCCACUCCUGCGUAUAUGUUUGAUAAGUGUACUAAUCCAAGACAAUGACGACACCCAAGACCAACCUGCUUACGUGCAUUAGAUCUGAAACUCUGCCAAAUUGGUACUUGCAAGCUAUCGUUCGUUCGUUCGUUCAUGCUAAUGCUGAUUGCGAACAAGACUUCCUCUCUACCUACAGGGACAGCAACAGCAAAGUCUUCACUAAUACUAGCUGGUUUGUGGAUGUGAAUCACAUGCAGAUGAAAAUAUUGAUUGGAAAUAGAAAGAAUGACCACCGACAACUAAGCAAACUUGUUUUUAGCGUCUUCUUGUUGGAAGAAUAACAGACUAGUGAUCGAUCUUCUUCAGAAGAUGUCAAAAUGUUCGUAUUGGCAUGCAGAACAAGUUGACACUAAGAAGAUUGCUAAAGUUUGAAUGAUACAGGGCGUUGGAAAACUAGCUAAGAAUAUUAAUUAAGACCCUUAUCUGGUUUGUUGGAAUUUGGAGAGAAAAUUAGAUAAGGGAGAGAUCCUCAUAGAUGAUAAGGUAAAAUCAUCUUUUACGUACGUGAUUUACGUUUACUAUCGAAGAAAUAGAUUAUUAUGCCAAAAAAAAUAAAAAAAAAAGAAUGCAAGCAAGAAAAUUUUGAAUCUAAAUUAUUAAUAAUAAUUUGGUGGACCAAACUUUUUAGAAAAAUAUGCUCGUGUUUUCAUGGAUUUGCUAGCGUGCGUUGAACGUAGCCGUAUAGCAUACGCCCAUGUAUGAUUUCUAGAAGUAAUGAACGUAUAAUAUAGGAUGGAUGGAUGGUUUUGAAAUAUUUGCCCCCCAUAAAUCAAUCAACAGAAGUAGGUGAUCUAGACAUCCCAUCCACAAGAAACAAUCUUCUAAUACGACAUAGAAUUCAGUUAAAGAGUCCAACCAAGAAAUGGCGCAAACCAGACAUGUCAUGUACGUACCAGAAACUAAUCUAUUCUUCGGGGUCCAUUUUGAUCAUAUAAUCACAAGAAAAAUUUUCCCUCUCCCUCUAAUCACUAUGACCGAUUCAUACAAGAAAGAGAGGCUUCGUUUCUGUCUAUCAUUUCGAUUUUCAAAUCAGAAACAAUGCCGAACGUGGACUGGACGACUCGGGCCGCCGUAAAGGUACUAAGAAUUUUGGAGUACCUUCAGCUAAAAUCAUGAAUCUCCAUACACAUUUGACUUUCACUUGCUCAAAAUUACCGGAUAGUGUCCAAAGAAACUAUUCAACAAUGCAUUUAUGUUAUGGUACUUUUAAUGGAUUUAGCAUAUAUACUAGGUGAAGUUUCACAUUCCCCAAAAAGAAUUUUUUUUUUCUCUUUUCUGAUAGUACAUCCAUGCACAAUCAAGUGCUAGUAUUAUUUUUUUUGGGGGGGGGGGGGGAAUCAAGAUAUGCUCGUGUAGAAAAAAUUAAUAAUAGUGAGGCGGACAAUGUUGAUGGAUAAUCUGUAUAAUUAUCCUAUAAUGACUUAUGGUGAUGGGGCAGAUCCUGAUCAAUUUGGUUGUGACCCGAGCAGAAAUCACCCAAUUUUUUUUGUUAUAAAAAGAAAAUUUAUAUCCAAGGAUCAUCUAGGAAUUUUAACACCAUGCAAAACUAAUGCCUAGUUUGGGCGUUUUGGGAGAGAAAAAGAAGGAUGCGAUUUUACUUUGCUUGGAAGUGAAGAGAAGUAGAAGGAAAGGAUUUUAUUUUACAUUAGUAUCCUUGAAUUUAGAACUCAAAAUUGGUGUAUAUUAAAAAAGUUCCCUUUCUUUUUCGUCACUUUUCGCCCAUAAUUGAACAGAAGAUUUAUUAUUAUUAUUAUUAUUUUUUGACUUGUGAAGGGACGUCAGAUCCCUCCCUUUCCUGAUUCCUCCCCUUUCUUUUGUCACUAACAAAACUCCCAAAUGAAACAAUGCACCCACUUUCCUUCUAACUCUUUCGUUUUCUCUCCAAAUCAGCUCUCCCAAACUGUUGGAUUUUUUUUUUAAAAAAAAAGGAAAAAAAAGUGAUUGGACCUUCAUUACGGUUGACUUGGCAUCCAUAUGUGCACCCACGAUUGGCUCUUCCAACUAAACAGCUACCAUACAAGUCAAAAGACAAAUGUUUUGCUCCGUCUCGCAGUGUAGAAAAUAAAUCGCAUGUUGGGUGAGACUUAGGAUGGUACGGCCCACACAAGAUGGAAAUGGGCAAAUACUACUACUCUUUUUUUGUUGGGGACCUCAUCGAAUCAAUUGCCGACAAGUAUUCCUACUACUUGAGAGAUAUAUAUUUACGUGGGGAUCACAUGACGUUUUCCCCGUCUGUAAUUUGGGAAGAUUAACAUAAUUUUGUUGGCUGGUAAUUACGCGUUUUGAGAGGAAACAUGAGCAAUAAUUAUUCUCAGAAAAAGCCCUCAGCAGAGGCACGUGCCGUCUCGAUUGCAGCAAGUUUUUUGGAGUAGCACAGCACUACUGUUGUUGUUGUUACCUUGGACAUGCUUCUGUCUUGUCUCUCUCUCUUCUUAAUCACAUUUAUUGUCUAACAACAUAAUGCUUCCGAAAUCUCAUCUGCUUGACCCAACAGAAAAGUUGGGGACGUAUUCUUUUCUUGAGAAACAAUUAUCAUCAGGGCAAUUUGGCUUUACCGUAUGAAUUAUAAAGCCAAAGUCAUAAAAGAAUAAUAAUAAUAAAAGCUCCACUACGUGGGAAUAACGAUUCGGCUAAAUAACUGAAUUAAAGAUCAGAUUAAUCAAAUUGUCUUUAAAGAACUCAGGUUUGUUUGGAUUGUAAGUUAUUUGAGAUAUUUUUACUGUAGCACUUUUUAUGAUGUGAUGUAUGUGAGAUAAAAAGGUAAUUGGAAAGGUAAAAAGGUGUAUUGAAAAUUGUAAUGAUGAUGUAAGCAAAUAUAUUUGGGGAAAUAAAGGCCAAUCCAAACAAACCCAUUAUCAGCAUGAUGUCAUAAUUAUUUUGGGGAGAUUCUACCGUGUCCAAUUGGUAAACUCACGUUAAUAUUCAUUGUUAUAUUAUGAAACACAAGUUUAUGAGCCUUAGAAUCGAGGGAGUAGUUCACUAAAAGGGCUAUAGGAUUUAUAGUUCACUAAAAGGGAUUUAGUUUAAUUAAUUCACCAAAAGUCAUUACCGGAGCCCGUAAGAUUGACCAAUUGGUAACAAUCUCCCCAUUCUUUGGCUCAGAAGUCAGCGCGUACUUGGUCAAUUAGAACAAUAAAUAAAUAUUAUUAGUUCAAAGAAACACAAAUAAUUGUGUGCAGUGCAGUUGAUAAUAACCAAAAAAAAAAAGAAAAGGAAAAAAGUUACAGUACGACGGACCAUGAGAAGUUCUAUUUGCAAUUUAAUUAAUGCUUUUGUAUAAUACUGCUUGAUCUCCCAUGUAAAACGAUGCAACAAGAAGUCCAUAACGCACAUGACGCAUCAUUGUCUCGUAGAAUUCCUCCCUUGGAAAAAUUCAAGAGAAGGUGACAUAGAAGAAAACGUCUAUCUAAUACAACGUCGGCUGUCGGAAAAUCUAUCAAUUACCACCAUCAGCUCUUCUGUUAAGAUAAAGCUUACCGCGUUAAUUAACGACAAAGACUCCAUCGGAAAUUCUUGGAAGCGCAUGCAGACACAUAGUUUAAGCUGAUCAAUAGCAGCAAGUAGUCAAAGCCUUGUUUGAAAGGGAAUAUAUACGGAGUUGAUUGAUGCCAUGAUGGUAGUGUAAAUAUUAGGUGACCAUAAAGUAGUUGGAUUGGAUUGGAAUGGACAUUAUUAAUUAAUGGGAAAACGACAUAUCUCUAUAUCCCAUGGUGAUCACCACACAUCUUAGUAUUAUUAUGCAACAUGCAUUCAUGACGAUUAUUAUAACAUGCAUCAUGACGGCGACCAUGGCUGAAGAAGACCCGUCAACUAAAUUUGCUCAAUUCGUCAUAAUCAAUACAACCUAACUAAUCAAAUCGGCUUUUAGCCUUUGAUUUUAGUUCAUACGAGCUAUAGCUAGUAUAUAGGUAUAUCUUACAUGUCUCUUUUUUUUUUUUUUUUUGUUUUCUGCUGCAAUUGAGCUAUGUUUUGAAACUCGGACCGGACAAUGACUCGGUCGAGGUCAGGUCGAACCCAUCUAAGAACCGGGUGACGUCAUCAUGAUGUCAUAAAUAUGUUUAAUUUUAAAAAUUAAUAUGCUAUGUAAAAUUUCUAAAAAUGUAAUAAUCUUGAGAAAGGUAUGUUCAUGUAUAUUUGGUGGUUCUAAGAUAUUUUACAAGAAAAUACAAAUAAAGUAAUAUAGUCAAGUAGCAAUCUAUAACAUUUAAUCAUAUUCAACAAGUUUAGAAGUUAGAACUAAAUUAGAGGGCUUAUUUGAAAAAUAAUACUAGAAUUUAGGGCAGAAGCUACAAAUUAUAAAGAUUUUUAGGCAUGUUUACAGUUUUCUAUCACUCUAGGGGUCAAACCAUAAAAUUGACAAAACUUUGAAACCCCAAAGCUGAUUUCCCUAGAUCUUUCCGUUCUUUUUUCUCUCAAAGUCUCGUAGGCCGUCAUCGUCCUCUCCAUCCCAUCCUUUCUUCUCCAGAGUCCAGACGCAUUCCUCCUUCUGUUUCUUUUUUUUUUUUUUUUUUCUUUUGUCCCUUUUUCACUUCUAUAUCUUUGCAUUUCUUUUCUAUUUACCACAUGAAAAUCAUCAACACUAUUUUUUUUGUUGGGCGAGAAUCAUCAACUCACAUUAAGUUUCUUCUGUCAAAUGCUGAAGCUGGGUCUGCCAAAGGAAAACGUGGCUCAACUAUAAAUGAUUUCUAGACACAGUCUGGAAAAUCAUCAAUUUCUCUUCUUUUUUUUUCUCAGUUCUCUUAAUUUUAACUUUAGAUCUUUCAAUAUUUGUGUUAGAAUAGCCAUACGUGACUAUACCACUGCUGUUGCCGUCGAAUCUGCACUCAAGGAUCGAUAUUCAUGCUGAAAAUUUUGGGAGAAACAUAGCAGAAAUUGGAUGUUAGAAAAAAAUAUCUGGUAAGAAUAGCAGAAAUUGGAUGCUCAAAAAGAACCGGGUUUUCCCGGUUGUUCCAAGUUUCCGGUCAAACCCGGAUUUUGACCGGUUUUGACCGAGUCUUUGUCACCCGAGUUUUUGAACAAACUCGGACCGGACAUGUCUCCGGUUCCCGGUUCAACCGGUCGAACCGCCCGGUCCGGUCCGAGUUUAAAAACAUGGCAAUUGAGAUACAGCAUAGUUUUAUUGGUACAAUUUGAAUGUCUCACGCUCCUCGUCGCCGGUAAUGGCAUAAUUAACCUAGAGAGUUAGGAAAAUUGAUUAAAAAUCAAAUCGGGAAUCCUUCGGUUGGAACUUGGAAUUAAAAGCCAUCAAGUCCAGAGAGCCGGAUGAUCCCACGGGUGGCUUUCAUCCAAGAGAUUGAGAUUAGCCUGGAAAGCUGCGAGUUGGCUGCUAGAAUUGAUGAAGUUGUUGUCAAAGCUCUGUUGCUGAGGUGACGAAGCCUGCGGAGAUUGUGCCAUUUCCAUGCAAAUGAGAGCCAUGAGGUUGGCUUGUUGGCAUUGCAUGUUGACCAGCUCAGCCUGUGUCUUGGCCAAUUGUGCUUGGAGAUCGUUCACUUGCUUCUGCAGCUGGCAAAUGGCCCCCGCACUUCCAUAUACAGGAUCUCUCAGCCUGGCGUUUGCUUCAUAAACCAUGCUGCUCACUGCAUCGGCCCUCUGGGACUCCGGCAGCUCCUGAAAAUUGUUAAUUAUAUAGACUUGAUCAAUCAAUAUUCAUGAUUGGUGCUCGCUCUUCAUUAAUCAAUUAUGCACAGAACUAAUGAAUUGAGAAAGGUCAUGAGGCAGGUUGGUUUUCCUUGUCGUCAAACGCUUUGAAAGUGCUUCAAAAGUACAAACUCGUUACGCGAGUUUCUUCUUCCAGUUCCAGCUGAAAAGAGAUUUUCUUUUUCUCACUGAGCUGUACAGCCGUAAACCAUCACCUCCCGAACAGUUGAAUGCCCAGUGGCUGAUGUUCAAAAAAAAUGUUCUUUUUGCACCAAUGUGAGAAAGAAAAAGAGAAAAAGUUGUGGGGUGCAGGGCCAGGGUUAGUUGUGGAAACCGACGGGCAAGUCAAAAGUGGGAGUUGGGACUUUUAAUUAAAAGUCCACUAUGUGAACUACCCUUCAUGUAGUUUUUCAAUUUACAGUUUGAAAAAAACAGCUCAGCGCCAUGCAUCUAAUUAGGCAUUCCCUACCAUGAUGACGCUAAUACGUGCAAAUGUCUUCCUUGCGUACACACUAUUCUAGAUACAGGAGCUACUUCUGGAUGUAGUAGUGUCCCUAAUUUCAACAACGGACCGAGAUUAAUGUUGUCGGUCCAUUCUGGUUGUUGAACCUUUAACAUAAGACCUCAAACAUAUCUAGAAAGAUGAUUUUCCAAGCACAAUUAACGUAGAAAUAUCGGGACCAUGCUUAUUCAGUGCCGGAUGACCCUUAAUUACCUACCUGUAAAAACUUGAUUAUGUUGCUGGCUCCGAAGACACGGUGAGCGGUGGUGAACUUGAUGGGAUCGUUGGGAGGAAAAUAUGGUGCCAGGACACACUUCUCGGCACACCUCCGCCGGAGGAUCUUGCAUGCAGCGCAGGGGCUGACCACCACGGCCGGAGGAGGAGGCGUGGGAGGAGAGGAGGGAGAAGAAGGAGAAACCGAGCGAGAAGAUUUUGAAGUAAUAGUUGUAGCGGUUGUUGUGUCACUAUACCCCAUUUUUUUCCGACGGUGCGGAGCAGCAGUAUCAGUGUGUGAGGUGUGUGUUUGUAAGAAGGAAGAGAGUGAGGAAGUGGGAAGGGAUUCGGGGGUGCCUUCAGCAAGUUGGAUGACAUGGAAAUAUUUAUAGAGCUGGUUAGGCCCGACCCGAGAAAGGGGGAGCGGGGCCAUGAUGUAAUACCUUGAAUAUCUGAUGUCAAGUGGUUAAAAAAAUUUGGGGAAAUCAUGCGGGAUACGGCUGUUGCCCGUUUUCGCCUAGUCAGCUAUGUUUGGCGUACUUUUUUGGCUUCGUUACGUGGGAACUUUGAACCCUUUAUCCAAGUCGAAAACCUGGCUGGGUUCAGGAGAUUUAGACGGAACAUGUAGCCUUCUUAACAUUAAUUAACAAACGAUCGCAAAUUAUAUUGGAGUGGAAAUGUUUUGAUAAAUUGUCCAACCCGCAAAAGAGGAAAUUAUGGGAUGCAACUCUAAUAUUGUUUUUACAAAUGCAUGUGCAUAAGAACAUGAUUGAUUGAUUAUGGUACAGCAUAAGAGUGGAUAAGGAAUUACAAAACACUCAUUUACAAAUGCAUAAUCACAAAACACUUUAACCCAUUUAUAAGAAAACAAAGAAUUUUAUAAAAGAAAAUUCCUAAUCAGCAAUAAACCAGUUUACUCCUUUUCUACUCUAUGGUAUUCACCAAUUUGCUAGUAUUUAUUUCCUCUUCCGAUCCUCCUUGGACCGAUUGCAAGCCUAACUAAUUUUCCAACAAAAUUUCCCCUUCGUCACUGUCAAAAUAUCUUCCCCUUUCUUUCUUCUCAUGAAAAAAUGUGUAGAGAUUGGUAAAUAAUCAAUUUUUCUAUGCCAAAAAGAUAAAACUCAUGUCAAGCACUUAAACCAUAUUAAUUUGAUAUAGACAGCAUGAAUUACACAAAUAAAUUGUUUUGCCGAAAACCCAAAUGUGAAAUUACUUUUUUCAAUUUGCUUCUAAUGUCAUGGUAAUCUUUCUUUUCCUCUUUUUUAUUUUCUUUCUUGAGCGCAAGCAACAUAUAACAUAAUUGCCAACAUUUUCUAAGAUUAUAUAUGGGUGUGGGAUAUAUGGGUAGAUCAUAAUAGGGGUUUUAAUGAGUUAGAUUGGGUUUAAAAUGACAAAUAUGAUUUUGAUUAUUUUGAGUAUCAGAAUAGAUUGCUGAUGGCACCGCAGAAAAGGGAGGAUGAUACAAGGGCAACUUGGCAUGAAAGAAUGUUGCUCAAUAAUUUUUCCUCCUUGCCUUGGGGACGAAGAGCAGUGGCGUUCCAAGUAUUGGUGAACUAUUGAUGGGCGCCGGCUAGUUAAAGAAAGAGAUGAAAUAAACUUUAUUAAAAUUUGAAAGAGGGCAUUAUAGGAUAUUCAAAUGAGAAAUUGACCUAUUAGGUCUACUUUGUUACAUAAACCGUCAACAAAAGGGAGGUGACUGUAAUUUUUCUAACCUUAGGAGGGUUAUCUGCUAUUGUCAGAAACUUCAAGGGAGGUUUCUAAAAUUAUCCCUAAUUUUUUGUCACUUGCUAAAAUAUCCAACCCUAUCUUCAAACAAAAAUUUGAUUUUACCAUUCUAAUCUUAUCCACCGAAAACUCGUAUUGCCAACGAAACACAACCAUAACUAAAUUUUAUCUAACUCUAUGAAUGAAUGCAUAUUGCUUAUUUAAUCACCCAUAAGCAUUAUAACCACCAAAUCAAUUUCAAAAACCUAUUCAACAAACUACUAAAGAGCAGAGUUAACUUUUCUUGAUGAAAAUUUUAUACUAAAUUUUUUUCAUACAAAAAGCGAUUUGUUCUAAAAUUACACAUGUAACGAGUGUUACUCUCAGCACUAACAGAGGGUAAUUUGGGAUGAACUCGCGAUAAUUUAGAGUCCUUCCUACGUGGAGACUAGCUUAUACGAUUAGCAUUGGAAUUAACAUACAUGUGUUUAUUUAUGGUCCAACACACUCUGAAUCAAAGGGAUUAAGCCCUUGUUUGUCUCAGUAACUACACCCUUCUCGCGCUGAAUUGUACCUUGAGCUAUCAUGAUUCUCGAGUAGCUAGGGAGAUCAAUAGCGUUACUAUUCCUAAUUAUUCUUCAUUAUCACCAUCACUAACUCACUGUGUUUUCCUUAUUAUUGUGCCAUCUUCUCAUUAUGAUUGCUGUUUCGCAACUGAAACAUUCUAUUAUAUGGGGAGCCGGAGCAUGCAACUCUGUAGAUGAGGAAAUGGGAAUAUCUUCAGUCAGCAUUUUAUCCAAGUAUGGAACAAACACACAGGGGAAGGUUUACCAUUUUGUACAAAAUGUUUGUCAUGGACCCUAAUUUUCUAAUUAGAGUGGGAACGUUCUGCACACCACCAUAGUUUAUCAUUAUCAGUUAGUAGUCUUCAAAAUCUUAACACGUUUUUUUUUUUCCCUUCACCAGUGAUUCGGUGCAAGCAAGCAUAUUUUAAGAGGAAUGAUGGUGAAUGGAAAUCAUGUAUCACAAUGCAUUAUUCAUUCAGUGGCUUUAUCACAUUGGGAGAGGCAAAAAUUCAAUGGUAUGAUCUGGAGGCUAGCUUUCGUACGUUUGUUUCCUAAUUUUUCAAUGCCCUCAACUCAAUCCUACAGGAAAAUUAAAAUUAAGCAAUAAUUUUCGCUGGUCAAGCCUUUGUAUCCGAAAAUAGAACAUACAAAAAAUGAAGAACAGAAAGGAAUAGGGUCUAUGGAGGCAACCGUAAAUGGAAAAGAUCAAGCUCGGAGGUCGAGAUUUCAACACUGUAAAACCAAAUUUCUGACGCGUACUUGGACGGCAGGUGCACGAUAAAUUGGAAAAUAUACCGACUUCCAAUUCGACCCCUAGAUCUAAAGAAAAGUCUCCUAUAUACCCAUCAAAUUUGUCGAGACUCAGAUUCUAGAAAUUUUAAUUAAACCUCCAAUUUCCGAUGAUGACAAAAGAAUUAGCUCCAGAUUCCCUGGACACGAGUAAGAUUGUCUUAGUCAGUCAGUCCAAGGAGCAACAAAAAUUGAAAGUCAAGAUGACUAUUCAUCAGUAUUGAUGUUAAUGUUACUUACUUACUUAAACAGAAGUCCUGCUCCUGCACAGAAAUAUCAUCCACGGCCUACUUCUUCUCGCCCUACAAACUCAUCUAAAUUAACGACCACUGCUUCAAUAGCAGCAGUGUAGAAGCAGGACUUCACAAGUAGUUCGGUGUAGGGAAAGGCAUGAAAGGGGACACAUGUGCAAAUGAGAAAAUGUGAAAAAGGGGCACAAUUUUUUUUCUUUUUUUUGGUCAUCUAUUGGGGUGGCUUUAAAUCUUGAUUUAGUUUAAAGGUCAUCUCAUGGGAUGCCACCACCGCCGAGACAGGAGCACUCUUCCUAAUCCCCUAACCACCAUUUCACUACGUGUCUAUUAUUGGAUAAUGACAAGAGUAGACAAAAGUUAAUCGUGGGGCAGCGGUUGGUUGUAAUGGUCAGCCCGUUUAGCACAUGACAGUAGAAAACAUAAAUUUCUCUUCGACUUAGGUUCCGUUUGAUAAAACUGAAUCUGAAUUCUGAAGUUUGAAUUCUGAAAUCUGAAUACUGAAACAAUUAAUUUGCUGAAUUUUAAGCACUGAAAAGAAAUAUAUGAAUGUCUGAAUUUUAAUGUUAAAUCUAUUUAUACUGUUUGAUAAACAUUUAUAACUGCAUGAUUAAUAAGUUAAAUUUGACAAAUUUGCCCUUAUAUUUUUUCAUCCAAAAAAAAAUAGAACCUAUGAUUUAAUUAGCUAAAAAUGUUAGGUAUGAAAAUGAUAAUAUAUAUUUUUAAAUCAAAUUAAUAUAAAAGAUGAAAUAUAUUAUAUGAGGAGUAUGAAGAAAAUGUGAAAAUCAUUCAAAAAGGAAAAAAAAGAAAUAGAAAAUCAUUAGAUAGAGAAUAUUAGAUUGUUUAAUUAGAUAAGAAUUUUGAACAUAAUUAACAAACAAGGGUAGAUUUGGUAGAUAAGAUAAGGUAAUUGAAGUAAUUCCAUUGAUUCUUAUCAGCAUUAAGCAUUCAGUUAGGAUUCUUGUACUGAAAAAAAUACACACAAGUUCAGCACUACUUAACAAGUUCAACAAAUGGAUUUUCAUUUAUCAAACGCUCAAAACAUCUGAAUGUCUGAAAAAAUUCAGAUUCAGCACUUUUCUCUGUUAUCAAACAGACCCUUAAACUGGUCUUCAACUUUACAACGAAUAAAUUCAUGAUUAAUACUAACCCUUUUUCUUUUUUCUUAGUUUACUUAACGAGUGCCCAUCGGACAAAGAGAACUCGUUAUAUGGGUUAAUUUUUUUAAUCAAAAAAUGCAGUUAAUUUUGAAAAAAUGUUUAAAUAUAAGGUAUGCAAUAGUUAUAAUUAUUUAUAUUCAUGUAAUAAGUUGAGUGCAGUCUAAGUAUCUUAAAUAAAUACUUGUUGAAAAAAUCUCUUUUUUUUUAAUAGGAAUAUCAGUUGGAAUCUUCUGUGCUACUAUUCGGUGCUAAAUUCAGUCCCCCCCCCCCCUAUCUUAAAAGAAGAAAAAAAAAGCCCUGAAAGCCUUGCUUCUCCCAAUGGUACUUUUUUCUUCCUCUGGUUUAAUACCCCAUGUAUACUACUUAAGUUGAAUAAUUGCAUUUCAGAAAAGAGUUGUCCCAUCCCAAGUUCAUCGAUUACUACUAUAGCACAAAGUAAUAUUGGGGACUAAUGCUACUCUUAUCUUGCUUUUGACUGUUGGUGAAAGUGAAGGUACAUACUUUGUUGGACUAGAGUUUUAUCUUUAUUGUUGAUAUAUGCUGUUUUGCAUCUCUAGUGAUAUAGUAGCUAAAGUUAAGGUCGCUGUUUCCAUCUACUCUUCAUAAGCGAAAUUUUUUUUGUAUUUUGAUUGUAACAAAAAUUUGCGUUUGCAUGACUUCACUUGGAAUGAUAGAUAUUGAAAUCUAAUCUCUUCAGUUGAAAAUAAGUACAAUACGGAACUAACCUCAUCCAACCGGCAUGAAUUUCUGGCUCUUGGACUAGGGAGAAAGGAGAAAAUGAGAGGGAUGGCAGCCAAGAGGGAAAAUGGGUGCUGCUUGUCUAAUCGAUGCUUGAAAACCAUGCUCAGCAUACGCGUACUCAAGAGCUGUAUUAGUCUUUCAGUAGCAUUAUCCUAAGAUUUCUAAUAGUCGUAUACGUCCAAAGAGAUCCCACCAAUUUCCCACUUUUUUUUUUUUUACAGUGACUAUGACAAAUAAAUAGUUGCAUAAAGUUUUUUCCACCGCAUAGAAAAAUGUAGUAAAAGGUUAGUAUUAAACUCAUCGGUGGAAGUUGUUAGACACUUUGGACCUGUUGCAUUCCGUCUCCCACCGCUGAAAAGUUAUCACCUCUCUCCCUUGCAACUAUUCUUUUGCGUGUGGACCUCAGAGUGCAAAAAAAGCAAAGAAGAAAAAAGGGCAAAUCCGCAUUAAGUCUUAGAUUUUUACUUGAUUAGUUGUACGUGCUUUGCUUUAGUAUGUAUACUUAAAAUUCCAGCGUAGACUAACCGCAGAUUACAAACGGAUGCAGCCUCGAAACCCAAAAGCGUGUGGCCCGUUCAUCAAAUGAGGAGGAAAGAUGGCAAAGAAAGAAAGAAAGAGAUGCACUUUUCCAUCAUACAUGUCUGGCUUCCAGGUCUUUUGGGCAAGUUAAAUUGAUUUCUUGCACGAAUGACUCCCACCAAGUCAUACUAGUAAAUUGAUCCUUGAAGGACCCGACUGGGGAGGAGAAUGUGGUUGUCAUUUCCAAUUAAUUAUUACUGAAUAUUGAUAGCUAUGCACAAUCUUAUUAUUUUUUUUUAGCAACUGAAAGAGAAAAAAUUAAUGUGAAAGAUAAGAACCAUAAACAAACGAGUAAAUCUUAUAUACACUGACAAUUUAUACGCUAUCAUGGUUGAAUGCACGACAUAUGUAUAAAAUUUGAAUUUCAAUUUCAAAUUCGAAUCAUAUGUCAUACAUCCAACGGUGAAAGUGUCAGUCAAUGUAUACAAGAUUAAUUCUAAACAAAUUGGUCUCUUAUAAUCUACAGAACAUUCAUGCUUGGCGGUUUAUAAGCAAAUGUGCAGGAGCUGACGUUUCUAAGGAUCGGCAUUCGAUCUCUUACCACUGGAAAACAAAUCCUCAUGCGCUGUAGGAUACACUACCCAGGAGUGUGACAUGACCAAAUCAUUUUCAAAUUAAAUAGAGGUAGGAGAAGAAAGGAACGGGAUUAUUAAUUAAGCAAGCAAAGCAUGUCACAGGAUGGCUACAAUUAGUGGUUGGUCAAUUUGAUAAUUUGACUUCUCAACAUGAACUUUUAGAAUUCACAUUGUCCUGUUGCAAUCAAUUUGAGUACACAUCCACGGCCAUUGUUAUCAAUUCCCAUCCCUGCAUUUAUUAUGCAUGCUGUACCUCAAUCUGAUCUGCCAGCUUCUGGGCUCGAUCAUCCUUAUCAUCUACACAUUCUUCAUUUAUGCAUCUCUCUCUCUACACAGGAGAAUCAUAAAGAAUGGUAAGCCAGCAUGCAACUUUUGAUCGGUCUUCUUGACCAUAUUAAGUGCUUCUACCAGACUUGAUCGUAGGCCUAACGAACAAUCUUCGCAUGCAAUAGAGGAAUCUGCAUUUCGUGCACGACAAAGACCAAGACCAAACAUCCUUGACCAACCAUAACCUAUGAUCAUUUAGCCUAUGUUGUAUACCUAAUUAAUGUAGAUGCCCAUUAAGUUGGCUGCCAGGCUGACUGACUGAAAGAAAAGUAAAAUAAGACGAAAACUCAGGGCGCGUUUGAUUGAUGGCUAUGCUGGGCAGGAAUAGGUGCAUCAAAGUUAAUGAUGCCUAUACCUGUUGUUUAUUAGACUACUGUAGGAAUUUUUUUUUUUAUGGGAAUGAAAGUUUUAGAUUUUGCCAUCUGCCGUUUCCUACUUGUUCUUUGGGUUUCAAAUUGAUUAGCUUUUUAUUAGAAUGAAAUCCAUUCCACUUCUGGACCAAACAUGCAAGGAAAAACGAUCAAAACCUAUAUUUACAGUGGUGUUUAUGAUUUUGAUUCCGAUUCCGAUUCCAAUUCUACAGUACAAAACAAAUGGUUCCUCAGAUACUGUACUCAUAACGUGCUUAAUUAGUUUCUUGCUGAACACAUAGGCUUUUUUCUUUUUUUUUUCUGGUGCUUCUUGAAGACUUGGCUGAUGAUAUAGUUGUCAAGUUUCUAGAGCUUCUAAUUACCAUGGAAUAUCAGACCCUAAUUCCAAUUCUGUGCUGCUAGACGAGAAACAGGCCCACACGGGUUUCAGUUUGAGAGAAGUGAAUUAAGGAGUCAUUACUCAAGGGAAUUUGGCAUGGAGACCGCCAGAAAAAGACAGUCUUAACAGCUAAGUGUAGUGUAAAUUGCAGACUGAUCCCAAAAAUCCGAAGUCCAAAUUUUUUAUAUGUAUCUUGCCGUUCCUUACUUAUAUUUACUGUUACUAUCUAGACUUCUGGCAAGAAAAGGCCAUUCAAAAUCCUUUGACACGGUGUUAUUUAUUUGAGCCAUUAAAGUGGAGCUUGAUUAGUUAGUAUCAACUGAAAUGGGGCCAUUUAUUUCUUGAUUCCAAACUAUCUUAGAUUCUUUCUUUUUCUUUCCUUUUUUUUUUUUUUUUUUUUUUUUUUUUUGGGGUGGAACUAUCUUAAAUUCUUAAGUAAAAGGGAAAAGGUAAUGAAGUAAGAUUGACAAUGUUGGUCAUUUUUGUAUGACGACCGCGCAAUGCUCUGGCCCAGCUUAUACAACAUCCUUCAUGGCCUACUCUUUUAAGUUUUUAGUUAUCAUCCUCAAUUAUCUCGAGAAGCUUCGGGUUGUACUAGAUUCUGUUGACUACUUAUUAUUUUAUUUUUGGGAAAAAUAGAAGAAUUCCAUUGGUUCAGAUUGAGAACAUGCCUGACUACAUACUUGUCCUAUUUCAUUUUCGUCACUCACAAAUUACUUUAAUGUGUCGCUUUUAAAUAUUUUUUUAAUAUUUCGAGGGUCUUCACAGUUCUUAAAAUAUCUAUUCGUGCUUAUUUAUCUUUUUAAAGUAAGCUAUAAACAUAUGCAAUUUUUUUCCAAAUAAAAAAAAAAAAAAAGAGAUAUGAAUACUUCAGAAUAUCUAUUACAAUGAAAAACAACAAAAAAUUCAACUUACUUUAGUCAAAUAGAAACAACGCCCACAAGAGCAUGCCAUUUACCAAAAAAUCAAAAUGCCCAUAAAAGCACUAUAGAAACACAAGCAUUCAUAUAAUAGCUGCUUUUGGUAUUUCAGGUGCUAGUAUUGCUGCUGCUUGAAAUGGAACGGGAGAAAUUGAUCAAGAUUGUGUUCACAUCUUCCUUUUGGUUGCAGAGUCUAUUGCACAAAAUUGUGUCUCUAUUCUAUUCAUCGUAUGAUGGAUUUGUUAUGCCAAUGUUUGUUUAGGUUUACAUUAACCUGAAGGGAUAAACAGACCAACGUGUCUAUACUCUAUAGUAAAGGAAAGCUUGAGUACUGUAGAAACACAGCUUUCCACUGAUGGUUACCCUGAUUUUUGGCACCACUACAAAUACGCAAGAAUUCUAGAUAGUUUUGUCUGGAAAAAUUUCAUCUUAUGUGUUUUUCAUUCUGUGGGAGAAAACCCACAAACAUAUACUCCCUCCCUUUUUUAUAACUGACGUUUAAGGUUUUGCACAUCAAUUAAGAAAAGUUUUUCAUUGUUUAAAUCUAUACACUACUUUCCUUUUGUACCCUCAUUAAUUAUCCAAUUCACCCAUGUUUUCUCUCACUAGAGUACUAAAUGGUGUUGUUUUACUAGGCCAAAAGCAAUGCAAACUAACUAGGAGUAGUAAUUAAGAACCCUGUAUUGGAAAAGAGAGAUAAAAGGGUAAAAUUGUGAAAAAAUAAUUAAUACUGCAUGGGGAUAGUAAAACGACAGAUAAAAGUACUUAAGAGCAAAUUUCUUAAACGUCAGUUAUAAAAAAAGGAAGGGAGUAGCUCAUAAUGUUGUUCUGAUUCACGGACCCCAAUAUAUAUAUAUUUGGCAAUUUUUGAUUGGGUGGCGCUUUUUCCGAAUGUGGUAGGAUUUGAAAUUUGUGGUUGAGUGGAUCUAUGUAGAAGUAAAUGACACCGUACAAGUACAUUUGAUUCGGCGAAUUUGGAUUAAAAAAAAAUACUCCCUCUGUUCCUUAUUAGAUGGCCUGAAUAACUAAUUCUCUUAGAUUAAGAAAGUUGGUUAUUUUCUAAAAGUCAACAAAAGUUUUACUUUACUUCUCAAAAUUACCCUUUAUCUCUCUUCAACUAUACCUAAUUAAUACUACCUGUCAUUUAAUUAUUUAGAGUUUCAAUUCAAGAAAAUUGAAAGGGUAAACAAGGGUAAAUUUGGAAAAAAGUUCAUAAAUGCUUUCUUGAUAUCAUAAAAUGACAGAUAAAAAGAAACAAUGGAUUAGGACAUCUAAUAAGGAACGGAGGGAGUAGUGAAGAAAAUUACUUGCCUCAAAAAGCUUUUUUGAAAAUUAUGUUGCAACUUUAUGCAGUUGAAAGGGGAAAGCCAUAUAGGUUGAGUGACAAGAGAGGAGGAAUAUAAGUAAGAGGUUUCGGAUUCAAAACCCCUCACUUACGCUGCUGCAAGAGGAGGGAAAGAUAAGAAAAAAAAUAAAAAAAAGGCUAUGUGCAGUUGAUGAUGUCUGUCGGAAUCAUGAAACAUAUUACUAGUAAAUUAACAAAUGGGGCUUGUAUACCCGGUCAGUCACGGCCAAGAACUUUCAACCCAUCCGAGACCGAGUUAAAACUAAUUGCAAAAGCAAUUUAUUCUUGAGCGUGCAUAAGAAAUCCAGCUACCAUUCUCACCACAUUCUAUAUACAUUCUACCUUAGUCCCGAUUGGAUAUUAAAAUUUACUACCAGUAUGAAACAAUGAAUUUGGAAAUACUAGUAGUUAAUUUAAUGGGAAGACAUUAUUGUCAAUCGGUUUGAAACAAGGCAUCAUCGAGUCACUAUCUUCCUCCAUCUUCUAAGACUAACUCAGUCUUUACUUUUAAGUCUCUCGAAAGUCUAGAUACGCUAGUUGAGUUAGGUUCGGCUUGACCUGCAUUACACAGAACAACAGCUUCAGCCCAUGUUUGUUUAAAAGUCAUCUCUCUUGCAACAAGAAUCCGUCUUAGUUUUUCUCAGAAAAGAUAAUCAUCACAGGGACUGCUAACACCACUGACGAAUCGACUUCUGAGUCACAGGAAAGACAUUCUUAAUCUGCACCUGCAAAUUAUGAUUUUCACGUGUAAUAAUCAAUUAAGACGACCAAGGACCUGGAAACCAGAAGGAAAGAGACGUGAGGGUAUGAUGUCGAAGAUGAUUUUUUUCCAGCAGAGUCACUAGUUUCUUCACACUUGGAAAUCGACCUAAAUUAGGUGACUGUAUCCGCAAAUACUGGAGCAUGAAGAUGAUACGUCACAGCAAACGGUAGAGAGAUAGAUAGAGAGAGAGAGAGAGAGAGGAUCACUCCUUCCAUCAAGAAGACAAGAAAUUCUACUAAAUCGGCAUUAGUCACUGGUUAACCUUUCAAGCAACAGUAUAGAAGACAAAAGAGUCAAGAGCUAGUGGUCUAUAUCAAGGCUUGGAAGUCUUUAUUUCUAUUACUUAAAAAAUUUUACAGUAGACUUGACUGGAUUUGGAAGUUUGACAUGCCAAUAUAUUGAUAUGUGUCAAGUUUACUGCAGGAAUAGAAGGAUCUACUCGUCGCAGUAACUGUUGCAGGAAUACAAGGAUUAUGAUUAAGAAUUUGAAAGCCCAUUCAUUCCCGCAAGUAGAUUAACAGAAUCUACCCGUUUCAAACCAUCUUUGCAGUUAAAAGACUCCAAAAAUAAAUAAAUUUGUAAAGGGGUCCCAAGCAACAUGAUACAUGCAAACAAAGAGGCACCAGCAAGUGCUGCCAAUUAAUUAAUUGAACAUCUACUGCAACCAACAAUAAGCACGAAUUGGAACUAUGUCAUAUUGAUACUGCUGCUAAUAGAGUUACCAACAAAAACAGAAUAUGAAACCUAUUUCAGUGAAGUCAUAAUAAGCAUAUAAAGGACAUCCAUGCAAAUGAAAAGGAUAACAUGAAGACAAAAUUGACAUUAAUCAAGAUCAAUGGAAUCAGGUCAUGUACCCCAAAUACCAACAUAAACAGCUCCACUUUUGCAUUUUGGCUUCUGCUCGUCUAAGCAUUGCUGAGUUGGAAGAGCCAGCUUCAAUGGUGUUUGACCUCCAAACUGCACAAUUAUCCCAUCAGGCCCCUCCAAAUCUAUUACGUUGAGAACAUCUUCAACUAACUGUCAGUGGUUCAAAAUAGGGACGAUCACUCUUUAUCAUAAUCUAUAGAUACUGUUUCAGGAUUGGAAUUCAUCAUGAUUGUUUCAUAGCCUGCAUCCUGAAAUUGAUCAACAAAAUACCAUUAAUAUGUGUAUACAUAAGAACAAAAAGGUAACUUGAAGAUUAGUACUUGCAGGUAGAAUUAAUACUAAAACAAAUUAACAAAAAGCAAUCAAAACUCAGAAUUCUAAGAUUAUGAUUGUCUUCUGCUCUAUAAUCUUUUCACUUCUUAUUUUACUGGGGAUGCAUAAGCUCUAUGCUUUCUUCUCCAUUGGUAGAUUAGUACUUCUUAAGGUGAUUAAGAUGGACGGCAAAAAAUAUGAGCUUCUUUUUUGCCCAUUUACAGCUAUGAUGCUAGCACAAUAGAUUUGGAGUGUAAAUGAUAUAUGACUGCAGUAGUUAUCAAAUUCAAUCGCUUGAUCAAUCUGAUUUGGUCCACCACCUAAAAUCAGAACCUUUUUUCUUUGGGUAGGAGCUGAUUCACAAUCAAAGUCAUAAGAUGAGUACAUGUAAGGAGUAUGAGCCUCAAAUUCGGCAGCACAUGUAUCAACUCGCUUAUGUGCUGGUUUAACACCCAAUGAUAACCGCUUUAACCAAACUUCUUUCUCUGUGAUUUUUGUAGCAAAAGCUAUCUUUUUAUCAGUGAAACCUCUCUUUUUCACUUCAUAGAGGUCAUCUUUAGUCAAGUCAGACAAUUUCUGAGACAGAAGGUAUUGUUCCACAUCUAUAAGCUCCUUCAGCUAGGUCAAGAACCACUUGUCAAUGUAACUCAGCUCACGGAUGUCAUUCACCUUCAUUCCCCUCUUCAUUGCCACAUAAAUGGUGUGGAUGCAGUCCGGACUAGGGACUCUAAGGCUGUACCUCAAGCAAUCCCAAUCCAAUUCCUUGAUUGCGCACAACCCCAACCCCACCCAGAGUAGCCACACUCAAGUGAGCAAACAACCUUCUAAAAGGAUUCUUGGAACGUCUGACCAACAGCCAUUGAUCCACCAACAGACUUCAUUUGGGUUGUCAGAAUAGGCUCUGAGCCUGGGAACUUCUCAAUUGCAAAACAGAGUAUCUGCAUGUUCAACACCAUUUUCCAGGAAAAAGAAAAAUGUCUAAUCCAUAACAAGACAUGAAAAAAGUGUAAGACAGUAAUCUGGUUAUAACUAGAACAAAGAGCAUGCCAACCUGCAGAUAGUGAAAAUAGUAUAGGCAACAUGCAGAAUGCUAUCUUGAUUCAGAGAAAAUGCCAAGGAUUAAGUCCCAGGUUGACAGUUAUAAAAUUUAUACUAUAGGAGGUAUUGAUAGGCUGCUAGACAUUCUAACCAUAUAAGAGUAAACUUUUAAUGAAUUGGCAUACUCAAGGUAAAUGCUGACUGCAAUAUUCUUCUGAUACCUGGGCCCUUAUCCAUCUCCUUUUUCUAAGUCAUACUAAUUCUUUUCCUUUUGUUGGUAGGAUUGAGGAAGUGGAGGAAGACAUGACACUCUAAAGUGGAGGAAGACAUGACACUCUUCAAGUGGAGGAAUAGAUGGCUUGUUUCCUGAUGGUAUCUACUGCAGCAACACAGAACACUUCAAAGGGAGGAUAAUGGUAGAUCAAAAUUUUAAAAAAAAAACACUCAUAAAGCCCUUGAAUUUCAUAGCCUGCAUAAAGUAAUUCAGAAAGGCUUUCAGAUGCACCCUCUAGAUCACAAUGAAAGGUGACUAUUAGCGAGCUAGGAUUAAUAGAUGUAGAUAGCUAUAUAUAGAAAUAUAUGAAGAAUAGAGGAAUAUCAACGGAAACUUAACUUGCAAACCCACGUCACUUAAAUCUAAUUUCAGCAACAUAAUUUUUCAUGCAAAACAUUUGCCACAGCUAUGGCCUUAUGAAAAUUGUGACAUGAUUCUUUGCCUGAUAACCAGAGAAGUAAAGCAGAGAUUCAUAUCCCACCUCAAUUUAGAAUGCCUAAUUUUCUUCCUUUUGCAGGGCAUUAAAGACAGAUACAAAGGCUCAUGGACAGUGGUUUUGUUUUCUUUGUUUUUGUUGGAUGAUGAUAACUAUGCAAUAUUUAGCAAAGUUCAAAUAUUUGUAGUGCCAAGGAAAAAAUUAUAGAAUGAGGAUGAAUGAUGAUAGUAACUAUCAAAUAUUUGGCAAAGUUCAAAUAUUUGUAGUGCCAAGGAAAAAAUUGUAGAAUGAGGAUGAAAGAUACUAGUUUGCAAACACUUGGUUUUGGCCAAGGAAUUUUGCUUUGAGUCUUCUCCAGAACACAACAUGCAACAUUGUAUAUGUAGAUAAAGCAAUUUUGAUCCAAUGAAAAGAAACAAGAAAAGAUCUCACACCUGUUUAAACAUGUAACAAUGUAUGUGUAGGUAAAGCAAUUUUGAUCCAGUGAAAAGAAACAAGAAAAGAUCUCACAGCCAUUCAGUUAAUGAAGUUCACACAACCUUCUUAAAGGAGCAGCUAGUAUUAAAAUAUCCAAGACUAUAAGAAGGGAUACCAAAAAACAAAGAGCACCAAGUGGUAAACUAAAAUAUGAUUUGCAUAGUAUUUAAAUAAUAAGAGAAGAAAAAGGCAGGAUUUUAAUAUAUCAAAGCAUGGCCACAGUGAUAGUUAUCUCACAACCAGCAACACUUGGAAUAUUCCAAGUAAAAUUGUAGAGACAGGUCAUAAUCUUUAGCAUUAAACAACUUAAGUUAUCACUCUCAAGUACCUUUCUCUCAUCUAUUUGGAUCAUCUAGAAGAUCAAAACUGUCUAAUAUGAUGAACUCGAAAGGAUUAAGGAUGACUGCCUUCUAAAGCACCAAUCGUUAUGUAUCGAGGUUACUGUGCUAACUAAGAAAUUUAUGAAAUGAGACCUCAUAUUCCCGUCAAGAAAACAAUGCUCAUCAAUAAGUUCACCAAAAAGCUUGUAAAAACAAAAGGCAUGGCAAUAGGAAGAGUUGUAAUAUCAACUAUUAGUUCAUGGUCACUUGAUCUCAUGACACUGCAAAUAAAUUUGAGGAAGAAAUAAAAAUAUUCAAAGAAAAAUAUAACCAAACUGCUUAUGACCGAUAAAUUUGAAUCCUUAGUAAGUCACCAAAAGUUCUGAAUCAAAUUUCAAAGAAUCUUACAAGACAACAGCAACAAUGCACUUCAAGAAGUGUAAAAGCAGAGUCAAAAUUUUGGAUAAUGGGAUGAAAACUUACCUUGGUAACCACAUAAUCUAUAUAAGGUUCAAAACUUGCGGGUAUUUUCUUAGUGAUGUCAUUAGGAAUCUGAUCCAAGGAGUAACCAACUGAUAGUUUAGCAGCAAUAUUCGCUAUGGGAAAACCAGCAGCUUUGGAAGCUAAAGCUAAAGACCUUGAGACUCAAGGAUUCAUCUCAAUCACCAUUACCUCUCCAUCUACAGAAUUGAUCGCAAACUGAACAUUUGAACCACCACAUUCAACCCCAAUUUCCCUGAUAAUAGCAAUAGUGUAAUCCCUAAGCCGCUGAUACUCUUUGUCUGUCAAAGUCUGUGCAGGAGCUACAGUGAUAGCGUCCCAGUAUGGACCCCCAUUGGGUCAAUAUUCUCAAUCGAACAGAUAAUAACCACAUUGUCUGCCAAGUCUCUUAUAACCUCAACCUCAUAUUCUUUCCAUCCCAAAAGAGAUUUCUCCACCAAAACCUGAAAAGUCAUGCUAGCUGCAAGCCCUGACUUACAUAUUGCCUCAAAUGCCUCCCUAUUAUAAGAAAUACCACCUCCAGUUCCUCCUAAUGUAAAAGCUAGCCAAAUGAUCAAUGGAAACUCCCCAAUAGAAUUUGCUAUCUCAAAACACUCCUCCAGAGUAGUUCCAAUCCCGGAAGGAGGAGUCUUUAGCCCAAUAUUUUCGAUAGAUUUUUUGAAUAAAUCUCAAAUUCUCAAUCCUCGGCCUUCUUGAUUGCUUCAAGCUUCGCCCCAAUCAACUCAAUGCCAUAUUUGUCGAGCACCCCACUUUCAGCCAAUGCCACAGCAAGGUAAAGAGCUGUCUGCCCUCCCGUAGUUGGCAAUAAAGCAUCAGGCCUCUCCUUCUCCAGCACUCGCUCAACCAGCUUCGGUGUCAUAGGUUGAAUAUAAGUCCUAUCAGCCAUCUUUUGGAUCAGUCAUUAUAGUGGCAGGAUUCGAAUUGAUGAGGAUCACCUCAUAACCCUCUUCCCUAAGCGUCUUACAAGACGGACUCCCCGAAUAAUCGAACUCACAAGCUUGCCCAAUCACAAUAGCCCUGCACCUAAAAUCAAAAUCUUCUUGAUAUUCAUCCUCUUUCCAACUUUUUGGAAACCAAAAGCCCCACCAUUCGUCGAACCAUUGCUGUCACAAACGGCAUCCUUCUCACAUCGAAUUGAGUUCACCUUCACUUUCUGGUUAAAUCUCGCAGAAUGCAGGAACAACGGACGGCAUUGAAAGUUCAAAUGUGAUAUCACACUCCUCUUGGUAGGUGGCUUGGUGGGAUUGAAGUAUAACAUAAAAAGAUUGGAUUUUGAUAAAUAAUUUUUAGUGGGGUUGAAACACUAUAUGGCUGUGAUGAUGAUGAAAUGAGCGUGGAUGAAACAUUUUCACAAUGAUUGAUACAAUAGGCCAUCUCCCACUAUCCCUCCUCCAAUCCCUCUUAAUUAUUAUUCUCCUUCAAAUUUUAGAUAAGCUGCGCAACCAGAAAACACAAAGCAACAAUAAUAUGUAUAUAUAAAUCACUUGAAAAUAAAAUUCAUGUUAAACAAAAGGAAAAUGGGCUAAAAGGCUUAAGGAGCAGAACAGAUAAUAGGCAAUUACAAAAAUAGAAAGACAACUAGCUCUGCCUUAUGCAUUUUCUUUUUUUUACUUUCCGAAUCAAAAUAUAAUAUAAUCCCUAUUUUUUGGGAGGGGAAGGUGGGGAAGGGGCUUUUCAGGGACUGCGGCAUUAGGGUUUAAAAGAAGCCACAGGCCAGCCGGAGACGACGAUUAUCCAAGUGAAGCGAGUAAGAUAUGUGUGAGUUGUCAAACUGCCGUUUGCCAAAAAAAUAAAACUAAUAACUAAUGCUAAAAAAAAGGUGGGAUUAAGUCAAUUUCUUGAGUGGAUAAAAACUGUCAAACUUGAAAUAUACGAUAAAAAUAUACAAUAAAAAGGUGUACUGUUGUAGUCUUUUUUUUUUCUGAACACAAUAAAAUCUAUUCUAAAUUUAGUUUUACAAAACCUGAAUUUUUAAAAUACAAGUUUUGCUCAAGUAAAAUUUUAAAUCUCUUUCGCGGGGGUUGUUGAUUGUGAACUGUUGUAGUCAUGCUAUGAAGCAUCAACACCUCGACCGCGACUCCGGGAGUUAAGUUGGAGUCGCCGUCAAAGGUUGGCGCUUGGCUUGACCGAUACCCAUUCUGCGCAAAAUACUUUGGACAGUAGCUAUUAGGGUUUGGAAUUAUGGUAGCUUAUUAUUGAAAGUAAAAGUAUUAAGUAUUUGAAUAUUUUGAAGUAUAUUGUUUGAAAACAUAAGAUUAAUAACUACUUAUUGUAUUAAAUAAUUUAUAACUUAAAAAAUUUUAAAUAUAUUUAUCUCUUUAUUUAGUUUAUAAUAUAGGAUAAAAUAAUUAAAUUUAAUGAUUUAUUUUAAAAUCACAAAAACUAUUCUAAAAACACUAAAUUUGAGUUUUUACUAAAAAUACUUUUAAUACCAAAAAAACUCCACUCUUAAUUUUAUAAAAUGAUAUUUACCAAAUGCCUUAUCGUGAUUCCACUCAAAAUUAUGAGGCGUCAUGUAGAUAUUUUCCACCGUAGUAAAUACUCACAAAACGAAUUGGCCAAGGUUUAAAUAUCUAAUGCAUAACAAUUUAGUCAAUUUUGUAGUUUUUUCUUUUUCUUUUUCUUUGGACAGUAGUCUAAUUUCACCAAGUAAAACAAAGACAAAUGGGAUUGGAGGAAAAAAACAAAAAAACGAAGACAAAUGGGCUCUGAGACUCAUAGAGGGCGUCUUUAUCCAUUAACUCGAGAACUACAGACACUACUGAACUUGAAUUUGACAUUUUCCCCCUACAAUUCCUUCAAUUAGCCUCUCAACUAUCAAAUUAAUCUUCAAAAUCCAUCCCUUUUGAAGGUACAUCUCCAAUGCAUACUGCCUUGUGUGAAAAAAGAAGUUUGUAAACUGCAACAAUCUUGCAUGUUUUUUUUAAAAAAAAAUGUUCCAAAUUGUGCUACCUUUCACUGCUGGGCAUUUGCUGUUUGGUGCAAUGUGCUGCUCAAAAUUUGGCCCUUUGCUCCAAGUAUUAAAACAAGACAAGAAAAGAAAACGAAAUUGUGCAUGCUCGAGCCUACAAGAGAUUUCUAGAUUACAUAGUUUGGGUUUUUUUUCAAAUACUGUUACGAUCUGUCUAUAGUAUGUGAUCAAGAUGAUGCAUUAUUGAUAAUUGGUAACCGCUCUGAAAUGGUGUAUUCCUUUGCGUAGCAGGGGGAGAAGACACAGAGAUACUACCGUUUCUUUCCGGGGGCUUCUAAGAAAAGUGUAGUGGUAACUACUAACAAGUCAGGAUUAUCACGUUAUUUACCAAUAUUUUAGGGUACUAUCCCCUCAAUUUAUUUUUAAUUUAACGGCUGAUUAUCACGUUAUUUACCAAUAUUUUAUGUUACUGCACUCUUUUUUUUUUUUUUUUGAGGACUUCAUGUCGCAUUACAAGAGAGAAGAAAGUUGAACAAAGGAUCUCACAAUGGGCCUAACUAAUUUCUACACUAUUUAAGGGUUCAUUUGGGCUUGUGAUAGUGUAUUGAAAAGCACUUUACCUAAUAGAAUUGACACUUAUUAAGUGUUCAAGUACUUUUAACAAUAUUGUUUGGAUAUAUAAUUUAAUAAUCACUUAUUUGUAUUGGAUAAUGCAUACUUUUAAAUUUUUUAAAAAUAUUUAUAUCUUUAAAAACACUAAAAUUUAGCUUUUGUUCAAAGUGCUUUUAACACCAAAAUUUUGAGAGAGGGAUGAAUUGAAUGGUACAGGAAGAAUGAAUGUCAGUGACUCGUUUUGGAUUCAAAACCUCCCACUUACACUAUAAGAAGAAAUAAAAACUUCACUCUUUAUUUUAUCAUAUAAUAUUCACCAAAUACCUCAAAAGUUAUUUUUUACCAAAUGGAAAAAAUUCACUUUUUGUCCUUAAAUUUUGAAUUAUGGACACAUUUUAUCCUCAAACUUUUAAACGCAUCACAUUUAGUACAUGAAUUAAUUAUUUUGCACCACAUUUAGUCCAAAAAGGAUAAAAUAUUCAAUUUGGACAAAGAAGCCUGACGUGGCUAUUGAUUUUGACUGAGAAAUUGUUUUUACUUAACGGCCAUGUGCCAAACAUGUGACUUUCUCUGUCCAAAUUAAGCAAUUUAUCGUUUUUUGACUAAAUAUAGCAAAAAAUAAUUAAUUCAUGUACUAAUGUGGUGCGUCUAAAAGUUUUGGGAUGAAAUGUGUCCCUGACUCAAAAUUUAGGGACAAAAAGUAGAUUUUUCCCAUUACCAAAAGCAUUGCAACUCUAAAUGAGGCAUAAGUUGGGUGUUGAAUACUGGGUACUAAGAACUUAGAACUUAUUUGAUAAUGCAAUUCAACACUUUAAAUUUAAUGGAUUCAGAUAUUAAUAUGUUCAAAUGUAUUUGAUAAUAAAAUUUAGAACAUCUUAAUUAAUUAAGUGAUUCUGAAUUAUUUAAGCAAAAUUUACUCUAAAUUGUUCAGUUAUCACUUAAUGCAAAAUACACACAAAUGUUAAAAUUUUAGUACUUAACAAUUUGGUACUUUAACAAAUUCAUAUAUCAUAUUUCAGAUUUCAAUUUUCAGUUUUAUUACAUGUACCAUUAGUAUUAUUGCACUUACUCUAAUAGGGUUAAUUCUACUUUGCACCCUUUAACUCUACUAAAAUUGCUACUUUGGUCCUUCAAUUGUAAAAUGAGAUACUUUAGUCCCUAAGUUAUAAAUUUUAUCCCAUUUAAUUAAGAUCAUCGAGGAAAUGGAAUAGAUUUUAGACUUAUGUAGAUAUACUUUAGGGACUAAAAUAGAAAUAAUUUUAUAUUUUAAGAACUAAAGCAGUGGAUAGGGUAUUAUUUGAAAUAUUAUUUGGAAUAAUUACUGUAGCACUUUUUGUGAUGUGAUGUAUGUGAGAUAAAAAGGUAAUUGGGAAGAUAAAAAGUUGUAUUGAAAAUUGUAAUGGUGAUAUCAGCAAAUAUAUUUGGCCAAAUAGUCUACUGUCCAAACAAACCCAUUAUUUAGGGAUUAAAGUGGAACAAACUCUAUAGUUUAAAGACUAAAGUAUCCCAAUUUUAAGUUUAGGGACCAAAGUAGAGAUUGGGUACAAAAUUGUGUUGCAUCAAAAGCAACUAGUAUAUGUAUCAUGCUAUAAUCGUAAGUUUUAAGUUUUUAUUUUUAUCAUUAGGACGUGUUAACACAAAAAGUCAUACGGAGAAAGAUAUUUAAGUUUAUGAACCAACAAACACGACGAGCCGAAGAAACAAAAUUUGAGGAAAAUUAACCAUUGCUUAGAAUAUGGUUAAUUUUGAGAAGUUUGUGGGGAAAAUUGUGUAAUACAUAAUAAUGCCUGUCGCAAAAAGUGCUAUCGUUUCAUAGUUUUAUUUGAAAAAGGGGACGGCUCCAUAGUUUAAGUUAGGGGUGGCAAUUUUCGACACGAUCUGAAAACACGACACGAAUCUAACACGAAAUUAAUGGGUUUGGGUUGAGGUUUCGGGAAUUCGGGUCAGAAUCGGGUUGGACCCGAUGAACCCGAAAAGAAAACAGGUAGAUUUCGGGUCAACCCGUGGUGACCUGAUAUGACCCGUUUACGAAUUAAAAAUAAUUUAAUAAACAUAAAAAUAAGUUUAUCUAACUAAACUAAGUUAUUCUUUUUUUCAAAGGCAUUAAUUACUUAAUCCUAAAUGAAUUUAUUUAAUUUGUGUGAAGUUAAAAUUAUUAUAUUUGGACAAAUAAUAUAUUAUAUUAUUUUUUACUUUUAUAUUGUUUUAAUUUAUUUUAUAUUUUGUUUGGGAUAAAACACUUUUACGGUGUUUAAUUUAUUUUAGAUUUGGUUUGGAAUUAUUUAUUUAAAUUUUUAUUACUUGAUUAUGUAAUUAGUUUUGUGAGAAAUUGAUGUUAUUAGAAAUUACAGUGAUAAAUUAAUAAAUUAAAAUUAAGUUUCGGGUCAUUUCGGGUCGACCCGCCAACCCGUCAAUCUGAAAUUUUCGGGUUCGGCCCAACAGAUUUUCUGACGGUUGACUCGAACCCGACCCGCCAACCUGAUUUAGACCCGAAUUGCCACCCCUAGUUUAAGUGAAGAGCCCGGUGAGAGUAUUGAAAGUCGCGGAGCAAAAGAGUGGCUUGUAUUUGUUGUUCUUGAGACUUGAUUUAAUUAAAUUAUUGAGUUUUGUUUGGGUGUUUAUCUCUUUCCCUAUUUUCACAUAUUUUUUAAACCAUGUUAAUAUAUAUUUCCAUUUUUUGACAAAAAAAAAAUAUAUAUAUAUAUAUAUUUCCAUUAUAGUUUUUCUUUUGCCAACAGGAUGAAAGCUCAAUUUAUCAUUACAGUUAGGAUUGAAAAAUGAAUCGAGCCAUUUGAUACUCGAAUCAAACUGUUCGAUAGUCAAGUUAUACUCGACUAAGUAAGAACUUGUUCGAAUUUAGUUCAUCAAUUAGUUAAAUCAAAAUUAAACGGGAUUUAGCUAGUCGACUAGUCAAGUUAACAUUGAACGAUACUUUAUGUUUGAUGACAUUCAAAUUUAAUAAAAAAUUCAUUCAAACUUGAUUCGAUAAAUAAACAAACUAAAUUUAAAUAAAAUUUUAAAUUUAUUAAAAUAAUUAAAUAAAUUUGGACACUAAUAUGUUCAGAUUAAUUAGCAUCGUUUGCAUCCUAGUUACUGUCUGAUUCACCGCUUUACUUUCUUGUUUCUGUUUUUUGACUUUUUCUUUUCCAUUUUCCCAUACGGAAAGCUGGAGAAAGGAAAAAAGGAGUAAAGGACAAAAUGACACGGACACUGGAUUGAAGCCAUUUGGUGCGAUUGGUUUCCUUCCCGCUGCCUCAGAAUCUUCCAAGAAGAUGUGUUGUCCCGCUGACAUACAAUUGACGAAUAUUAAACGGUCUAUCAAAUUGGGCCGGCUGUCCAAUUUCACACGAACCAGACAGUUAAUUGACGGAAACUUAUGCCGUCGUCAUCGGCCCAGUCAGAGCUCAAGAGGCGUGCGGUGGACUUUGACUUUUUUGUUUCAAUCAACGCGUCUUUUACUUCCAUUUCAACAAAACUCGUAUCAUUACUCCCAACAUUUAACCCCUCCGCAACUGGAAAGCGCUUUAUGGAACUAACGAUUUGUUUAAUACUUUCCAACGCAUAAUCUGACGAGCUCCUCUCGUAACGUCAGUUAAUCAAUAACGUCUACUAACGCAAUUCCUUAAUAGUCUCUUUGUCUUCUUCAAAAACUUAAUCCGCCAAAAAAAAAAAGAGAAAACGUUGUUAUUAACUUCCUUCUCUUCCACAUUUUCUUCUCCAUUUGAACAAACACAAGUUACAACAACGUUGGAGAUUUGUUGUAGGUUCUCUUGUUGCUCUUGUUGUUGCUGCAAAGGUUAAGGCCUUCGAAAAAAUGGUUCUGAUGAAAGAGUUGUAUCCUUUUUUUCCCUCAUGAGAGCCAUUCAAAUAGAGUUCGGUUUAUUUGAGAAUUUUGUCGACAGGGCUUGCGAAAUUUUUACAUCAUCUUUCUUGCUUUACUUUCCCUUUUGGAUGCCGGGUAUACUUUCCCUUUUGCGUUACUUUCCCUUUCGGCUGUUGAUUUUUUUUUUUUUUGUUUUGCUAGUUCAUUUCCUUUUUUGUUAGAUUGGAAUUUGGGCUUUUGGAAAUAGUUUUACUCUUAUCGAUAUUCAUUAAAGUUCUUUAAGUUUUAUAUUUAUGGUAUCCUUAUAAAAUCGGUUAUCACAUAUUUAUAUCCCAUCUGCAGUUUUUUUUUUUUUUGGGCUAAGAAAAUGUGCAUGGAUAAAUCUUUGUUAAUAAGCUUAAAUAUAUGAAAAGGGCCUGAUGCCUCCGAUUUUCCCAAACCAUACUGUUUCUGUUCGUUUUGCCCGUUUUUGCGCAUAUUCCUUGACCAGAGAUUUUGUUGACUGGGGGCUUCUUUGAAGUCGAGUUGUCAUGCCUUUGACAUUGGAAGAGGUAAGCUUAUCAUGGAUGAGCUUCUGAAACUUUUUGACAAGUCUGGUAAUUCUUGAAAAUUAGCACUAAUUGCUUUGUUUUGAUGGGCUUAAUAAAUUGCAGUAUCAGAUAGCUCAGAUGUACAUGGUCAUGAAAAUGCAGCAGGAGAACACCGCGGGAACUGAAGGGGUGGAGGUUUUGGAAAAUAGGCCUUUUGAAGAUGAUGAAUUUGGAAAGGGUCAAUACACAUUGAAGUUGUAUAGGCUACAGAGGUAACUUGGUGCAGAAUAAUGGUCUUUAAUUUGAACAUACUUGUUACAUUUGAUUUGUACAAGAAAGAAGAUGCACUAUACUGCUAGGUGAUUUCUUUUCAUGGAAUGUCUUAUCAGAGGGAAUCAACCACAUAAGUGGUUCGAACAUCAUACAUUUUCUGCUUUGGUCCAAUUGAUGAGUACUUGAUAAGAUUUCUUCUACAUCGCUGCUAAUCGGUAAAUGUUGCGUUGGCUAGUUCAUCUUCAGAAGCAUUAGGUUUUAGGCCUCCAUAUUCAUCUGCAACUCUUUCUCGAGUCUUGUUUAGAUACUAUAUUCAUUCAUGGUUGAUGCUAGUGCUCUGUGAGGCAUUGCUAACUUUUUCAUUGAAAUGGCACUCUUGCUUUUCGUAGAAUAGGCGUUCUACUUUGUAUCGUUACUUUCUACAUCAAAUUCCAUCUAGUAAGAUGUGUGGUUAUGUCAGCAUCUAUUUCUAGAAUGUAAUCUUUCCUGUACUGCUGCAUUCACUUCUGUUUGCAGCAAAGCUCCUUUAUGGUUGACAACCUUUGCACCAGCUGAUGCCCUUGUGAUGCAAGAGGAAGCUUGGAAUUCUUACCCCAGAUGCAAAUCAGGUUAAAUUAUAAAAAACUUUCCUUGCAUUUGUUACUGCAGUACUUAGUCACAAUUGUUGAUUCUUUUCAAUUAUGGGAUUAAUUGUUUUUUCUAAACUUACUUUGAUGUUUCCACUGUUUGCCAUCUGAAAUUUGGCAUCGUGUUGCACAGUCAUUCAGGUAACUAGACUUUAACCUUGGAACAAGUUUUAUUCUGUCCGUGUCCUUGUGGAAUGUUUAAUAUUGAACUACUCUUUGAUAUGUUAUUUUGCAGUGCCCAUAUUUUACAAAGUUCCGUCUAACUAUUGAAACUAUUCACAAGGCUGAUAACGGACAAUCUGAAAAUGUAAGGUCUAAGUUUCUUUUAACUUCUUUUUUUCACCUUGAUCAGGUCAUUUGACCAGUGGAUAACAUAACCCAUACAUGAUCUGCGUGAAGAAAAAUUCAAACUGUAUUCUUGUUAAUAUUAACUUGACAACUUACAUUUUGCCUGCGAACUCCUGUACAUGUGCUUCCCAAACUUCAUUAAUGGUAUUUUGACAAUAUAGGUGCAUGGUUUAAGCAAAAAUGAACUAGCAGCCAGAGAGGUAGAAGUACUUGACAUUGCUUCAACAGCUAGUGAUUAUUGGAGUUACAUUAUUGGAAGGAACAAUAUUGAUUUCUCUACAUUCCAAUCAGCAAGGACAGGCCGGGGUCCACUUCUAGAGGGUUGGCAGGUUGUUUUAUCUACUUCUUUAUUUGUAUGCAUUGAUACAUAAUUCAGUCAAAAGUAUAUUCAUUAGCAUAUUUUAGGAUAAACGUAUCAACAAACUUAUUUUUUAGGUUCAACCUCUUCGACUGAGAAACAUGGCCUAGUUCUUAUCAAACAGGAUUGGAGAGCUUAGUAAUAUGAAGUGGCUUAAGACGAAAUGUGCUUGCACUCAAGUAUUUUGUGUAUGGAUACAUAAAAACGCUUUUGAGGGACUAAAUGGCAUAGCUCGUCUGCAUGGACCCUUUUUUGAUCCUUAAGCCGAGUAAUAAUAUCUAUUUAUCUUAUGAACUGACCUUCUUUUUUAUGAUGCCAGAAUAGCUGUGAUCCAGUUAUGACAGCAUACAAAUUGGUGACAAUUGACGCUCCAUAUUGGGGCUUUGGUAGCAGACUCGAGCAAGCUUUGAUGGCGGUAUACAUUUCAACUCUAGACAAUCUCAAGUCAUUGAAAUUCAAAUUGGUUGUAUACUGGAUCCUUAGGAUUCUAUUGAUAAUGAUUAUUAAAAUUUACCCCUUACGCCAGUGCUAGGACCUCAGGUUAGAUGGCAUUGUCACUUUUAUUCAAAGAGUAAAAGCUACUAAAUGAUAUUCACAUGAUGGACCUUUUAUAAACUUGAAUUAGUUGUGUUAGCAACUUUUGUGAAAACAUUCUAUUACUUAACUGAAGAAACCAAAUAGCACCAGAAGAUACAGCCCUAAAACAAAGAGGGCUUGCCUGCCAUAUCCAAAUACAAUCUAAGAGCCUGCAUUGAGGGUAUAAUGUUGAAUUUUAUAGAUAAGAUUCCUGAUGCUCAAAUCUAUCCAAACCCUAAACUGCACACCUGUUAUAUAACUGAACAGUGAAAAAUUAGUUUAUUAUUCAUAUACUGAUACAAACCACUCAUAGUUUGGAAGAAUUUACUGUUCUUAUACUAGCGCAGUUUUGUGGCAACAUGUUCUCAUUUUGUCCUGAUUGCCUUGAUGGUUUAAGAACUUUCCAUCCUUCUGAAUUUUAGUAUUCUUUUGAUUGUUUUCCUUCAUACUUCAAAUUGUCCUUCUUUCUGAGUUGGGUUUUGAUUUGGUUGUGCCUUUUAUAUGAGGUUGGAGCAAUGAUUGCUAAAUGAGGAAACACUGUAACAUAUUGGAUUUUACAGCAGCAGGAAAAAAAAAAAUGCUAGUUAAAAAGGGGAAAGCUUCCAACCAUUAGCAAAUGUUGAUUUACUCUGCACUACCAUAGUUGCCUUGUAUCCUUUACUUCUUUCCCUCCCAUAAAUUUAUUCUUUCCUUCGGCAAUCAUUCAGUAUUUCAGUUGAGGUGAUCCAAAGUGCCGUCUUGGACUCUCUCUUUUGCUGACCUUUGUCCACCCCUGAUGCAGUAUGAGAUCCCAUCAGUCGCUAGGGAAUUAAGGAUUUACAGUACCAAAUGCACCAACCUCUUUUUGUUGUUUGAUGACAAUGCUACUUGUGUUGGUCUCUGUUGUGCAUUAGAUUGCAGUAUAUACUUGGCUUUACAGGAUUUCAUCUCUACAGGGUGAAAGGGCACUUUUCCUUGAAAGUCAUCGGAAUUCUUUUGCUUGGAUUGAUGAAUGGUUUGGACUGACAGUGGAGGUGAUGCGUGAGCUAGAGCAACAAAGUGACACCUCACUUAACGAGGUAAGGAAAUACAGGACCCAGAUUUUGGUAGGAAAUUUACUCUCGAUUGAUAUACCUUAGGUUAGAUUAUUAUAGCACAAUUAUUUCUGCUGUAAUGGUCAUGACAUUAUUGUUUUUCCAAAUCAGAAAUUUGGUCGGCAGUGUUUGGUCGAAAGCUAGGAGAGUAACACAAUGAAGUGUCCUCUCUUGAUAUGAUCGAGGUGCUACGCCCUAAUUUCGCCAGUUGAGCACCAUGCUAAAUCCGUGGUAAAUAGAAGAUGGAAAGGAUGAUGCAUCGGAUGGUGCAGAAAAUUGGAAGAUGGCAGUCGUCGCGUUUUAAGUUGAGGAAUCCAUGAUGGGUCCCAGUUUUUCCUCGAAUUUAUGAUGGGAUUCUAUUGAACUUUUUUUUCUUUUUUUGGUAGAAGCAUGUACAUUUGAAACUUGUAUAAAGAACUGUAAUCUGAUUACGGUUAAAAAUUGAUGUAGAAGGUGGAGAUUGGUGCAAAAGCAUUAAUAAGAAAAAUGUUCUUUAUUUUAAUAUGGUGGAAUAUUUUUUUCACCUGCAUCUGCAUGGCGUUGCGAGCGGACUAUUGAAUUUAGUUGGAUAAUUACUCAUAACUUGUAUCAUCGACACAUUUUGUAACCAUGUCUUCAUUUCAUAUGUAUCGCAUAAAAGAUGUAUUAUCCCCAAGUGUGUAUGGUUUGGAAGGUCAAUAGAGGCAGCUAGCCCAUUCUCAACCUGGUCAGCCCUCUUAUAUUUGGGCCGAAACCUCACAUGCUCGGCUGAUUUCGCCUGAUGAAUUACGGAUAAGGUUAGCCCAUUAAGCAUGAGCCUCAACGAGACCCCAGCCCAUGUUUUAAUCGGCAGCGAAACAAAAAGAAAAUUAAAUUUGAAGAAAUCAAGGAUUUUGUAGGAGAUUUUGCAGUGUCUUUUGAGCAUCUUUACUUCGAGUGAAUAUCAGCGUUAGGUGUUUAAGUUUAAAGUGUUUUGGGCUCUAAGAUUACAGUAACUUUAAAGUAUUUUGAAUUGAAGAAACGAAUAUUAAUUUGUUUCUAUAUAAAGAAACACCCAAAAAAAAAAAGAAAAAGAAAAAGAAAAAGCGGGCCACCACUCUGGUUUGAACUCACUUCACAUUUGGCCUUUCAUGACUCCUGAUGAAUGCUAUUAUAUAAUUUAUGGAUUUUUUGCCCAAUUUUCUUGUCAUUAUUUUAAUGUACCCAAUGCUUCUGUAACACGUAGGUCCUUCUAGGUAGUAGUAUUUGCGAAGAGAAGCUGGGUAACGACGAGUCGUCGUGGAUGUAAAUUAGCAUGGUGUGGAUUUCGUCGCGUACCGGCAUACAUCAUCCAUCUCUGGUGCAUUCCGAGUAUGCCAUGAUUGUUUUGUCUGAUGACAGUGGUACGUAGAUAUAGAGAGGACUCCUAGGUUUGCUUGGCAGAGAUUUGGAUCAGUAGUUGUGUUUUUUCUAGGUUUGCUUGGCAGAGAUUUGGAUCAGUAGUUGUGUUUUUUGCAGUAUCUGACGACAAUCUGCUGAGCUAGCUCACGUGUCUUUGGUUUCUAGUUGAAGAUUCAUUUCUGCAAAUUGCCAGUCUCUCUUGUUCUUGUUCUCUAGAAAACAUUGAAACUGGAGGCUGGGGACAGGUUGGCCCAAGUGUUAACGUAGGACAGAAAAAAAAUGCAUGGAAAAUUUGGAAGAGGAAUCAAAUCAUGUUGCGUCGUACAAGUAAAAUUGAAGCUUCAAGGCUCUUCAUGCUGUCACAUACACGUCCAAAUGCUUCUUUGGUUCUAAAGCUUAAAUCCUGUUAGCCAUGCUUUAAUUUUAUCAGACGCAUCCUAAGAUAACCAUGUAUUAUUGAUUGUGUAAUUCUAUAAUUCAAUACAUUUCCAGCAUCUGUUUCGAUGAAUUUGUGCCGUCACCAUAAUAUUCAAGCCUCUCUCAUCAAUUCAAUCGCCAACUUAGCAGUUGUCAAUGUAAUUCAUUUUACACCUUCAUUUAUUUAUUUGUUUUAGGUAGAAAAUUCAGAUUCCUCCUCCAAAGCAAAAAAACAAAAAAAAAAAUCCCCAAUAAUUAAUACUCCGAGCGCUUGGGGAGACGAUGACCUUUGCUAUGAUCUGCAUAUCCCAAAAAAACCGGCUCACCUUCCCCUCAGGAUGCGUCGGUGGUGCCCUCGCAGAAAACGAAGCAAUUUAACAGGGCAAACACCCGACCCGAAGCACUCUUGCCCAUUUUACUUUCUUAUAUAAGUUGCCUCGAGUAAGAUGCAUUAAAGAUUCUCCUCUCUUUUCUUAUUUGUUUAUAGUUUGGAGACCACAGAAGAAAUCUGGUGAUGGCUCGUGGUCUUAGUGCUUAAAUUUCAUAUCAGCAUAUUAUAGGCAGUCAACUAUUCAUCCCUGAGGAAGCUAAUCAUUCAACCCUCUCAACCAGCGACCCAAACUUAUAAUAAUACUAGAGUACUGUUCUUCCAAUCUUCAGAAACAAAUUCCGAAAACACGACUUUGAGAAGAACAAUAAAAUAUACACGCAUCUACAGUCAACCUUACCAUCCAAUAUCAUAUUUAGUACAAAUCUUUUCACCUAAAUAGGGAUUGUGAACGAGCAAACUCAGAAGAUAGAUACCAAAUUUGCUUCGCAUUGAGCUUGUCUCAAAAAUGUAUCCUGGUGGGCUGUACCUUCUCCAUUCGGGUUUCACCGUAAGGUUCAUCGUUGUCCAUCCGCUUGUCGUGCCUAAAUGCUGCA